rnacentral:lncRNA from 1 species
AUGCUCGUCAAACCUCAUUCGUGUACACUCGUAAGGAGUGGUUCUGAGCUUAUUGUGAAUGCUCAGUACCAAGAAGUAGAAGAGAGAAUGCAUAAGAGAGAAUUAACUUGGCUAAAGAAUUAGGAAACAAAUGAGGGAUUUUUUAAGAAAUUAAUUCUCCAACUGCCACUUUUGGAAAUUUUCUAUCAACAACUAGCUACCAAAACACUAGCACAUAGUAAGAAAUUGGGAUAAUUUCAGAAACCUCGCUUGAGGCUUUUAAUAAUCUCAAGAAGCUCCCCUCAAAAUUUUAAAAUUACACGUACCAUUCCUAUUGGUGCAAAAGUACUCUACUACCCCUAAUAGGAUACUCAAAAGACUUUUUUAUGGGAAAAAAGAAGGCCAGAAAUCCAAGCGAAAACAAAAAAAAAUCAAUUUCUUUUCUCUUUUAGCCUUUUACGCUUGUGCCUUCUACCUUUGCUCACUUUCCCAUGCCAAUCUUCCUAUAACCACUUUCCUAAUCCCUUUUCCCCAACUUUUCUUCUCUACUUCAAGACCAAUUUUUGUCCAUCAACCUUGGCUUGUGCUUUGUUCCAUUCCCUUCCCUUCUCCUUCUUUGAUUUCCCUUACAUCUCCCUUUCUCUUUGCAAAAGUGACUAGGCUCAUCUCUCUCCUUUUUUUCCCCAUAUUUUAAGUGUAGUGGGUUUGAUUAUUUUGCCUCUAUUUUAUUUGAUUUUGGUGGAUUAUGGGUGAUAAAACUUGGUGAUGUCACAUAUUAAAAGUUUGAUAGAUGGAUAUUGGGCUUUAGACAAUGAUUUGCUGAAAAAAAAUGGCCGCAAUGAGAGGAAGAGGCAAGGGGAUUUGAGUGUGGGGGUUGAUUGUUGAUGAAUUGUUGUUUUGGACAAAAUUUGAGGUUGAGUUUUAUCAAAUUUGGUAGCAAGUGGCGAGAUUUGUUUAGGUUGCGGGAAAUAAAUUGGAUUGUGGUUUCUUGGGCAUCCACAGUCGUUGGAAUUGGUUUUGAUUCAAAUUAGGGUGGUUACUUGAUUUUCCUAAUAGUGUUGCUUAAAAGCACACGAUCAUCAAAAUUCCUUAUUUUUAUCUUUUAUUUUUUUUGUGGAAAAGAUUUCAUGACUUUCGUGAUAGUCUAAUUUGGAAGAAGGCAAUCAAGGGAUGCAAUCAACAUUUAGCAAAAGCUUUUGUUGUUUUCUUUGUAAUUUUUAGGGUAAAAAGGGUAGUUUAGGUUAUUUGAAGGAAAUGAUAGUCUAUUGGAUCUAUUUUGAAGCAUAAAUAGUGAACAUAAGGGAGGUUGGUGUUAUUUCUAAAAUCUAAGGGGAAUUGUCUGAAAUUGUCCGAGACCUCGGAGGAGGUUUUCAAAAUUAUCCGUAAGAAAUCAAAUGCGAAACUUGAUUAGUACACGCACACACGACACCGCACCACGCCACGCGUGUGUUGAGGACUGAUGUCCGUAACCAACGACAAGCAGGUUUUCAAUUUUUUUUUCCUUUCCUAGAUUCAAAGAUGGUGUCAGCUUCUAUUAUUGGUGAGCAGGAGGAAAUCCACAAUAUACAUUACACAUCACCCAUAUUCUUUUUAAUUGAACAAUGUAUGAAAUUAUGGUGAUUCGAAAUUAAAUUAUAUGUUUAUUGGGCAACGAAUCCAAAAUAAGAGUUGGAAAUGUAUUGUGACAACAAUUGUUAACUUUGGCCACAAAUGAUCAAAAUAAAUAUUUAAGGUUUAAUAUGACAUUAUGGGUUCAAAAUAUAGUUACUUGUUAUGAAACAACUAAAAGUGCGGAUGCCCAUUUGUAUUCUCAAAAGGAUCAAUUCACAAUUCAUUGCUCCCAAGAGGAUUAAUUCAUAAUUCAUUGCUAUAUUAUGUAAAGGAAUUACAUUGGAUGAACGGUUUCAAUCCAUAAGAGCUAUUCAUGUAUUGGAUGAACCAUUUCAUAUGGCUAUUUAUAUUCUUGUAGUAAUGAGUGUUUAAUAGAAUUGUUGUACCUCUAAUUUUGUAGUACCUAUAUAUAGAGGUACCUUAGCACCUCUUGGGUGUACUUUUUGAUUAGUUGGAAUAAUAAGAAAAUCAUUCUCUAUUUUUGUACUUCUUUCUCUAAUAUUUCAAUUCCUAUUAUAGUAGUUCAUUUUUUUUUUAGUUUUACAACACGUUAUCAGUACAAGUCUCUACUUUUGAACAAAAAGGUGAAAACGGAGUCUCUACCUUAAAAAAAAGUGAAACACGAGAUUCUGCCGAAAUUCUGCCCGUAUUUUUCCAGUAACUUCUGUCUACUUAUUGAGAAACGGAUGCCAAAUAUUUGGGAUUAAAUAAUGGUGAUGAUGACAUUUGUCUCAUUGAUAGUGCUACUACGCACACUAUAUUGAAAAAUAAGAAAAUUUUCUUGUAUGAAAAUGAGAGAGACAAAUGUUAAUACCAUAAGUGGUAGUGCAAAAUUGAUUGAAAGAUUCGAAAGAGCCACUCUAUUUCUUACUGAAGGGACUAAAAUUGUCGUAAAUAAUGCACUACUGUCUCCCAAGUCUCGGAGAAAUUUAUUGAGUUUUAAAGAUAUCCACGAAAACAGAUAUCAUAUCGGGACAAUAACUGAGACAAAUAAAGAAUUUUUAUUAAUCAAAAGUAUCAUUUCUAGGCAGAAAUACGUAGUAGAAAAAUUACCUUCUUUUUCUUUUGGCUUAUAUUAUGCACAAAUUAGUGCAAUUGAAAUUUAUCACCUAGUAGACCAGAAGUCUACUCAUCCCAAUAAUUUUAUCAUUUGACAUGAUCAUUUCAGAAAUCUUGAAUCUAUAAUGAUGAGACGAAUAAUCGAGAAUUCACAUGGUCACUCAUUGAAAAAUCAAAAGAUAUUAAAAGCAAAUGAAUUUUCCUGUGUUGCUUGUUCCCACGGAAAAUUAAUUAGACCAUCACCCGCUAAAGUUGGGACUGAAUCCCCUACAUUUCUAGAACGAAUUUAUGGUGAUAUAUGUGGAUCAUUUCGAUAAUUUAUGGUGCUAAUUGAUGUAUCAACUGGAUGGUCACAUGUAUGUUUAUUAUCUACUCCCAACCUAGUGUUUGCGAGAUUGCUUGCUCAAAUAAUUAAAUUGCGAGCACAAUUUUCAGACUAUCCAAUAAAGAAAAUUCAUCUAGAUAAUGCUGGUGAAUAUUCAUCACAUACUUUUGACGAUUAUUGCAUGCCCAUUGGAAUAACUGUUGAACAUCUUGUAACUUAUGUUCACACAUAAAAUGGUCUAGCCGAAUCAUUUAUUAAACGGGUACAAUUAAUUGUUAAACCAUUGUUGAUGAGGUCUAAACUACUUUCAUCUGCUUGCGAACAUGCUAUAUUACAUGCAGCAACACUUGUGAGAAUUAGACCGACAAGUUAUCAUACUUAUUUUCCCCUACAAUUAACUUUUGGUGAUAAAUCCAAUAUUUUUUAUUUACGAAUAUUUGGUUGUUCGGUUUAUGUUCUAGUUGCACUGCCCCAACGUCGUAAAUUGGGCUCGCAAAAAAGAUUGAAAAUAUAUGUCGGGUAUGAAUCACCUUUAAUUAUUAAGUAUAUGGAACCAUUGAUAGGUGAUUUAUUUACUGCGAGAUUUAUAGAUUGUUAUUUUGAUGAAUCACAUUUUUCAACAUUAAGGGGAGAUAAAAAUCGACCAAAAAAGGAAAUCACUUUAAAAAUAUCAUUGAAUUUCUCGAUUCUCGUACCGAAGUAUGUGAACUAGAAGUUCAAAAGAUUACACAUUUGCAAAAAAUUACAAAUCAAUUACUGGAUGCAUUUAAUGAUUCCAGAAGAGUUACUAAAUCACAUAUUCCUAUUGAAAAUGCUCCAAUUAAAAUUAAUGUCCUUGAAAGACAAAUUACAAGUGCUAAUGAGUCUAAAGUGCACCUGAAGUGUGGGAGAUCUCUUGGUUCCAAAGAUAAAAAUUCUCGAAAGAAAAGAGGAGCAUAUGAAUCAACAAUUAGUGACAAAAUUCAACCUCUUGAAGAGAUCGCUCCUAAAGAACCAAUUCUUGAGAAGAAUGAAAUCAUAGAAAAUUCAAUAAAUUUUAUCACUUCAGGAAAAAGUUGGAACCGAAAAGAAAUAAUUAUUAAUAGUAUUUUUGCAUAUAAUGUAGCACUUGAUAUUAUGGUAGAGAAUGAGGAUCACGAGCCUAAAUCGAUUGAUGAAUGUCGACGUAGAAAUGAUUGGCUAAAAUGAAAAGAUGCGAUCCAAUCUGAAUUGAACUCACUGGUUAAAAGAAAAGUUUUUGGACCUAUAGUCCAAACACCUGAAGGUGUAAAGCCAGUAGGAUAUAAGUGGGUAUUUGUGAGAAAAAUGAAAUCGUAAGGUAUAAAGUAAUACUUGUAGCCUAAGGAUUUUCACAAAGGCCUGGAUUUGAUUAUGAUUACACUUAUUCACCUGUAGUAGAUGCUAUCACAUUGAUAUUUUGUGAGUUUUGCAGUACAUGAAAAAUCAGAUAUGCAUCUAAUGGACAUCGUUACUGCAUAUUUAUAUGAAAAUCUUGAAAAUGAUAUUUAUAUGAGAAUUCUCGAAGGAUUCAAUAUGCCUGAAGCAUGCAAAUCAAAUCCUAAAAAUAUUUAUUUCAUUAAAUUACAAAGGUCUUUGUAUGAAUUCAAACAAUGUAAACGCAUGUGGUACCACCUCAAUGAAUGUUUAACUAAAGAAGGCUAUACCAAUGAUCCAAUAUGUCCAUGUGUCUUUAUAAAAAAAAUGGAUCAAAUUUUGUGAUAAUUGUUGUAUAUGUUGAUGAUCUAAAUAUGAUUGGAACUCCUGAAGAGAUUCAAAACAGUGUUGAAUAUUUGAAAAAAAAUUUGAGAUCAAAGAUUUUGGAAAAAUAAAAUUUUGCUUUAGUUUACAAAUUGAGCAUUUGAAAAGUGAAAUUUUUGUCCACCAAACUGCUUAUACCUGGAAGGUAUUAAAGCGAUUUUAUAUGGAUAAGUCACAUACAUUAAGUAUUCCAAUGGUCAGAUCAUUAGAUCCUAAUAAGGAUCCUUUAGACCGUGAGAGGAAGAUGAAGAGAUACUUGGUCCUAAAGUACCAUAUCUCAGUGCAAUUGGUGCACUACUGUAUCUUGCUAAUUGUACAAGACCUGAUAUAUCAUUUGCAAUAAAUUUAUUAGCAAGAUUUAGUUCCUCGCCCACAAGACGACAUUGGAAUGAUAUUAAACAUAUUUUUCGUUAUCUUUAAGGAACAAUUGAUCUUGCGUUAUUUUAUUCAAAUAAAUCUAAACUUGAAUUGCUUGGUUAUGCUGAUGUUGGAUAUUUAACUACUCUGCAUAAAACAAAAUCUCAGACUGGUUAUCUAUUUACAUAUGGAGGUACAACCAUUUCUUGGCGAUCUACAAAGCAAUUAUUAGCCACCACCUCAUCGAAUCAUGCUAAAAUAAUAGCAAUUCAUGAGGCUAGUCGAGAAUGUGUUUGAUUAAGAUCAAUGACCUACUAUAUCCGGAAGAGUUGUGGAUUAUCCUCUGAAAAAGAAAAUCCUCCAACUAUAUUUUAUGAAGAUAAUGCAGCUUGUAUAGCUCAAUUGAAAGGAGAAUAUAUUAAAGGAGAUAGAACGAAACAUAUUUCACCAAAUUCUUUUUUACUCAUAAUUUACAAAAGAAUAGUGAAAUUGAUGUGCAACAAAUCCGAUCAGAUAAUGAUUUAAUAGAUUUAUUUACUAAUGCAUUGCUGACUGCAAUAUUUGAGAAAUUGGUAAAGAAUAUUGGAAUGCGAUGACUAUAAGAUCUCAAAUGAUAUUUGCAUCAGGGGAAGAAAUCAAUACACAAGAAUAGUGUACUCUUUUUUCUUCACUAGAACUUUUGUCCCGUUGGAUUUUUUUCUAGUAAGAUUUUAAUAAGACAUAUUCUUUGUGUAAUGAAUAUUCAAUGGGGAGUGUUAUGAAACAACUAAAACUGUGGAUGUCCAUUUGUAUUCUCAAGAAGAUAAAUUCAUAAUUCAUUGCUUUCGAGAGAAUUAAUUCAUAAUUUAUUGCUACAUUAUGUAAAGGAAUUACAUUGGAUGAACGGUUUCAAUCCAUAAGAGCUAUUCAUGUAUUGGAUGAACCAUUUCAUAUGGCUAUUCAUGUUCUUCUAGUAACGAGUGUUUAAUAGAAUUGGUGUACCUUUAAUUUUGUAGUACCUAUAUAUAGAAGUACCUGGCACCUCUUGGGUGUACUUUUUGAUUAGUUGGAAUCAUAAAAAAAUCAUUUUCCAUUUCUGUACUUCUUUCUCUAAUAUUUCAAUUCCUAUUAUAGCAGUUUUUUUUUUUAGUUUUACAACAUUACUCAAAUAAGAGAGUUAUUGGACUACAUGUUUAUUGACCUCUACUAACUUAUUUAAGGUCAUUUUAUAUCACUAUCCAAAGAAGAAUUAAGGUCAUUUUAUAUCACUAUCCAAAGAAAAAUUCUUGGGCGUUAGCAUUUUUCUUACAUGCGAAGACUAUUAAUGAAAGUUGACCCAAAUCUCUCUGUCUCUCUCUCUCUCUCAAUUCUUAGGACUGAUGCCAAUUCUUACCAUUUAGAAAGAAAAAUUAGAUUGUUUAUAUAUAUGAUGAGUUCCCUCUAAGUCAUGGUUAAGAAAAAUUCUUAGUUAAACGUAGUUUUAUGAAAUGUGAAUUUCCUUUUCGUUGUCUUUAUUCAUUAGUAUUAUUGGGAUUAUUGUAUUCUAAUUGCAAUGCACAGAUACAUGGAUUUUUGACAUUUUUUCUUUUUAAUUGACUCUGACUAUGUCUCAAACUCGAGACAUCAAACCUGGAGACGACUUUUGUCCAAAAUGCUUGUAAAAAUUCAGAAGAAUAAUUUUGGACCUUAUUAUUUAAUAAUGGUAGAAUUAUGAGAGUCAUUCCUAGUUAAUUAUCAAACUUGGAACUUGAAAAAAAUGUCGACAUCAUGUCAUUAUUAUUUGUUUGUUUCAUAGAAAAAUAAAGCAUUCUCCGACUCCACAUUAUCAUAUUAUUUUCAAUUGGCAGCUUAAGUGAGAAAGACAGGUGAAAAUUUUGUGCAUUACUAAUUUAUUUAGGCCUCACGCGUCGCGCGAAUGUGCCCACAUCAUCUUCGCUGUAUUGGAGAAAUUUGAGCGCUUUGAUCAUAAGAAAUUCACAAUCACAACUGGCCACAAAGAAAGCACUAACUGGUUUAAACAAAGCAUGCAAAUUUCUUAAACAAUAGAUACCUAAACCAACCAUUUUACCGUCCUGCCAAAAAAAGGGCAUUAAAGUAAAAACAACCUAUGCCUAACACAGCUAACAAACUUCAGCACCUUCACUUCACUGCCACGUCAUCAACAACAUUUGCAAAUUUCCAAGGAAGUCCACGCACUAAAGGUGCCCAUGCCCCAUAGGUAGGGCUGUCAACGGUCCGGGUCUGGACCCGAACCCGACCCGGACCCGCCAAUAUUUGUCGGGUACGAGUAGGCAUAUAGUUCCGGGACCCGGACCCGGACCCGGAACCGUUUAACCUAAUAGAUUUGCGGGUAGAAUACGGAAUAUGCCGUUCCGACCCGUAUAGGACCCGACCCCGUUUUUUAAUUAAUUAAUAAUUAAAAAUAUAUACCCAAUUUUGUUCAACCCUAAAUCCCUAAUAGUCUAAUACCCACGUAACCCACCGCCGCCGCACUCUCUUUUCCUUUGCUCCUUACCCAGCCCCAGCGACCAUUUUUCUCCUCUGCCUCCCAACUCCUGAGUCGCGCCUCCACCACCACCACUCACCACUCACCAGAUCUGCAAUUUUUCAGGAAAUUGACUGAAGUUUGAGUCUGACCGAAAAGGACUAAACGUCUAAACCGAACGUCUUCAGUCUUCCUGGAGUUUCUGCUCGGCUGCCGCCGACUGCUUUUGCCGACUGCAUGUCGCAGCUAACGUGGCACACUACAAGAAAGUGAGAAGACUGCAGUUCGUGGACGCGAUUCCUAAAUCUCCUUCAGGAAAGAUAAUGAGAAGGCUCAUCAAGGAGAAGAUGGCAGAAAUUUAAAUAAGAAGAUGCGACCAGUGGGCGUUUUUGCUCAGAACCAACACGGGUUCUGUAGGAAUAAUCAAUUCCCUCCUCUUAGUCUUCGGUAACAUAUGGGCUGCUAUUCCAUUCUCACCUUUACUAUUGUGAUUGUAAUAAGCUAAUGCGAAAUUCACUUGGGUCGGUCCCAUGGAGAUAUUUUAAAUACUAGUACUAUGUCUGGCUUAAAGCAGUAAAGGCCUCAAAUAGUCACAACCACAGCACACCAGCAGUACUGCCUUUCACACGCCACGAGGUUAUCUCAUCUCGAAGAUCAACAUAGGUAAUUAAGUAGAGCUCCCAAAGUUUGCCACAGGUUUUAACGGGUCUGAUUGCCGGGUAGACCCGGCCCGGAUUCGGGACCCGUCGGAUACGGGUCCGAUGACCGAUUAAAAGAUCCGUCGGGUAUUCGGGCCGAAUCCGGAACUAAUCUAGUAUAACGGGUCCGGAUUCGGAUAUAUGCAUUCCGGCCCGGACCCGGCCCGUUGACAGGCCUACCCAUAGGGGACCUCAGGUUAGUCUUCUUAACAUCAACUCCUGUCUUUCUAUUCUUAGGAAAUAUUGAAAUUAAACGUUAUAACUAAUCCUGAUUUCCUUGUGCCAUAUUUGUACACAAUUUGGCAACAAGGGUAAAAAAAAAAUAAAAAUAAAAAGGUUUAUCUGCAAACUGUAGUUCGGCCUGGCUCUUUUUUUUUUUUUUUUUGGGGAUAAGAUCAUCUCAGCACCCGCAGACCCCGUCAUGUAUCAAUAUUUCUGUACUUAGCAUUGGCUUCUUCCGCCUGAAGAACACACGAACCACCGAAAUAGAUGGUGAAUGAAAGUGCACUUAACCCUUUUAAUUUUUCAAAACAAUUGCUUUUAGAAAAAAUAAUAAAAACUUUUUUGAAUUUAAUUUUAGAGAAGAAGAAUUUUAAACCUUUUUGAAUUUAAUCUUGGAGAAGAAGAAGUUUAAAACGUACUUUAAUUUUCACAACUGAUGAUGAAAAUAGCAAAAUGUUCACGGAGAGUGACAAAAGUGACAUCUUAUCUUUUUGCUGACUGCUCCGCUUUCCAAUGAGAGGGUCCAGAAGGGACCACGGGGAGCAGUUGCAGGUCCAAUCGUUUCUAGUGAUUUUGUGUAUUUUACACAUCAUGUAACUUUAUUUGUAUACGACGUAAUUUUAUUUGUACAACAUGUAAUUUUAAAAUAAAUUUUUGUGAACCCUACACACGUUAUUAAAAAUGAGGUACAAAAAGUAAUUUGGAUUGCAAAAAUUUUUUGAACCAAAUCUUGGCCGUGAACAGCUCAGGAACGAUCCAUCUAAUGAACGCUUCUGCCUCUUAUCCAUCCAGAAGGGGGUGCCUCUGCUUCAUAUUUUAUCCAUAUUGAUAUUUUUUUUUCCUGUGCCUCUAAGUAUUAAAUGUGAAAGGUUGCCCACCAUAUUUGACGAAACCGUUUAUCCUAAUUGAUUAUUAUCAACAGGGCAUAACUUUAAUAUUCUUCGUCCAACCCUUUCUGGUGAUUCCUGCAACUCCAGCCGUCCGUCAAUGACCAUAAAGCACCAUUAACCGACAACUAACUAACCACUACUAAUCUAUUCUCAAAUUUUAAUGAAAUUGCACAAUUAGUUUUCAUUUCUCACUUUUAUUUCAAAUUUGGUCUCAAUUUAAUGUGAACCCCAACAAAUAAGAUCGGAGUUGAAAUCAAAGAAGGUAUUUCAAUCACCAUCAGAUAAAUUCGUCAUAUCUAGUUUUGUUUUUGAGAUGCAUAGAAAAUGUAAGCUGAUUUUUCAAUCUACGAGAAAAACGAAAGUCUAAGAGAAUAAUUUUGUCAAAAUUUGACAAUGGAAUAACAGUUGUGAACGGGUGGCCACUGGUUGGCAGCUAGAAGUUAUAGCAGUUUUAAAACAUAAUUGGAGAAAGUAAAAGAUUAAAACUACGUUGUCUACUAUUAACGACUUACAUUGACAAAAUGGCUAAAGUUAGGGUUGAAAAAUAAAUUAAACUACGCGACAUUCGAAUCAACUUCGAUUGGUAAGAGUUUAUUUCAAUUUGGUUUGUUAACUAGUCAAAUCAAAUUUCAACAACAUUUUAUAGUCGAUAACUUUGAAACUUGAUAAAAAAGUCCGUUUAAACUCGAUUUAGUAAAUAAACAAAUCAAGUUUGAACAAUAUUUUAAACUCAUUAAAAUAAUUAAAUAUGUUUGAAUACUAGGGUAUUCGAUUUAAUUAGAUACGUUUGUACCCCUAAUUAAAGCAUGCACUUUUAUAAGUUUAGGAAUCAACAUUAUACAUUUAAUAGCUAGCUAGAGGGUCAAACAGUUAAUUGCCUUAAAUUCUUUUAGCAGCCAUAAGGUAUAGUUGGAGGGAUUCCCUUGAAAUUGGUUAGAUUCUUCUAUGUGACUAAAGAAUUUCGGGUGCGACGCAUUACUAGUCCUACCCUAAAAAAAAUGGUAUUACUAGUCCUUUUUUUCUUUUUUGGCGUGCCCCCGCCGUGGGAUGUGGGGAGGGGAGUCUGUGCGAGAAUUCUAGGUGGGGUACAAGGAGCCAAAGUUCACCUUAUUCAAAGUAAACAACCGUCCAUCUCAGUUGUCGACUUUCCUGUCGAUUGCGUAUAUAUAUUACUAUCUUUUACCAUGACUCUAGAGGAUAGCUAAUUUUGCUUGCUAUUAAAUAAUAAUUUCGGUAGUCUAUAAAUACUCUUGUUCCUCACCGCUCCUAGCACCACAUAAUUCCUUCAAGAACAGCCAAAACCUUCUUGAAAUCCCUCUUUUUCCUUCUAGUUCAUUUCCAAGAAACAAAUGGCCCCUGUCACUUCCAGUUAUGAGGUCACCUCCUCAAUCCCUCCUGCAAGGUUGUUCAAGGCCACCAUCCUUGAAGAGAAGCAUCUUCACAAGAUCUUGCCACAGGGUGUUAAGAGUGUCGAAAUCCUUGAAGGAGAUGGUGGAGUUGGCACAAUUAAGUUGACCACAUUUGUUGAUGGUAAGAUAAUCAAUACAAAGUGAUUAUUUUCACACAUUUGAAGUCUUCAAAUUGCUCCUUUUAUUUGGGAAAAACUAAUGACUUUUUUUUUUGGUUGCGUUAAAUAUUUAGGUGGCGAGCAUAAGACUGCCAAACAGAGAGUUGAUGGAAUUGACAAAGAAAAAUUUACAUACAGCUAUACUGUACUUGAAGCUGAUGGAUUUAACGAUGUAAUCGAGAAAAUCUGUUGUGUCAUCAAAUUUGAACCCUCUGCUGAUGGAGGUUCAAUCUGCAAAACCACUAACACAUACUACCCCAAAGGUGGUGCUCAGAUCGGUGAGGAACACCUCAAGGGAGGAAAAGAGAUGGGUUUGGGAAUGGUUAAGGCUGUUGAGGCUUACCUCCAUGCAAAUCCUACUGCCUACAACUAAUUAUAAUGAAUGCUACUGAAGGACUCUUCGACAUAUUUUCUUCAAGAUUGAAGUACACACUGAGGGUGUGUUUCCUUUUUUGCUUGGUUUGCUUUAAGCUGUUUGGUUAAGUUAAAAACAAAAUUGAAUCAUAGAGAGAACAAAAAAAAUAUAGUGUUUCUUAUGGAGAAAAAAAUGGAGCUGAUGCCUAAAAUCUCACAUGGAUCCAACAAGGAUAUGCUCAAAGUUGGAAAAAUGUGCUAUAAUUAUGAUUACUCCUUUAUGAAAUAAAGCUGAAAGCAGCUCAAUUUCUUUUUGUUUUCCAUAUUAUUCAAUUUCGUUGUCGAUUUUUGAUAGUUGUAUUUUUUUUAUUGCUUUAAUAAGGGCUAUGAUUGGAUAUCCUGUUAUGCCAUUGGCUGUCGAUGCUAAACCUGAUAAAUUAGAUGGAUCAUCCAAAUAAAGACAAAAUUGGCUAUGUAAACAUUGGUGAGGGACUAUUUCAGCUUAAGAAAAAUAGUUGAGGGACUAAAUUGGCUUAUAAUAAAAUUAGGGACUACUUCAGCUUUGUAAAAAUAGUUGAGAGACUAAAUUGACUCAUAAAAAGUUUAGGGACUAUUUUGACAUUAACGAAAUAGUUUUGAGACUAUAAACAUUAGGUCACAAUGUUGAAAUAUCAAAACCCAUGUUUGGGACCAAAACUCAUAGAACUUCUUCACGUCGCUAGCGAAAUUUGAUUCUGAAGUAAUGCUAAUUUUAUUUAUUAUUUGUUUCCUUGCUGGUCUUCUGUCUUUUUGGUUACAAUAUUAAAAUGUAUCCAUAAUUUUCAAUUCCAAAAGUGUUGAAUAUUUAAACGAAUUCUAGAAAGGGCACUGAGAGUCAAAAUCUUAUUCAAACAGCCAGCCAUCUCAGAGUACAUAUUUUUUUAUUAUCAGGUUCAAAAUGUAUCUAUUGCAAUUUUUGAAUGAUCAGCCAUGACUAAGAGAAUAAAAUAAUUCACUUGCUGUUUUUAGAUGUGAAUUCAUGACUGUCAGUAGUCUAUAAAUACACUUAUUGCUCACCACUCUUUGCACCGCAAAAUCUUUUCAAGAUCUAUCAAACCCUCCUGUUCUUGAUCUUUGUCCAUUUGUGAAAAAGCAAAUUAAAGCAUCAUGGCCUCUAUCACUUGUAGUGCUGAGAUGACCUCCCCAAUCCCUCCUGCAAGGUUGUUCAAGGCCGCCAUCCUUGAUGACCACCUUCUUCCCAAGAUCAUGCCACAGGCUAUUAAGAGUGGAAAUCCUUGAAGGAGAUGGUGGAGUUUGAACCAUUAAGUUGAGCACAUUUGGUGAAGGUUAGCAGUUAUAUUAAAUGUAGAACCCAAAUUUUAAGGAUCUAAUAAUAAUCAAUGCGUGCAGGGUUACAGAAUUGGAGGGAUAAAAUAAAUACUCAAAAUAUACGUGGAAGAAAAGAAAAUAAUAAAUUCAACUCAUAAUAUUAUUGAAAUUUCAAACAAUGAAGAAAAUCAUACCACAAUAAAUUCAGCUGGUUCUAAUAAUAAUCAAAGCAUACAAGGUUGCAGAAUUAAAAGGAUAAAACAAACACUCAAAAUAUAUGUGGGAGAGAAGAAAAUAAUAAAUUCAACACACAAUAUUACUGAAAUCUCAAACAAUGAAAAAAGUCACACCAUAAUAGAAAACCUUGCUAAUUCUUCUAGAUUCUUUCUCUUGAGAAACCAACCUAAAUAAUGUCCUAUUUAUAAUCUACCAAACUUGUUAGGAAAGAAACCACUUGCAUAAGAAAUUACCAAAUAAAACAGAAAUUCCUAAAUCACACAACUACUAAAAACAUAACUCAAAUAAAACUAAAAAUAAAUAAAUAUUUCUUGGCUUAGUUUAAUUUGUCAACAUUGCCUCCCUUAAACCAAACUAUCCAUUGAGAUAGGUUCAACACCAUCUCGAGCAAUAAUUUCUAUGUUGUAGUACACUUGACAUGAAACUCUAACUUGUUACCAGUUAUUAAUUUCAUUUUUACAUGUAACAAUGGACGCACUAUGUAUUUUGUAAAAAAUUUCUCAGCAAUUUCUUCUUGAUCAAAGUACUCACUUAUACAAACACAUUCAUCACCAGAAUCACCAUAUUUACCACCAAUGUAAGUGCCUAAAAAUACAAAAUCAUAGAUUGCUUUCUGGCUAAAAUUAUCAUCACCAAAUAAUUCAAAAUAACCACUACUACAAUCAUCCAAAAUUUUCAUACUGUCAGUCAACUCUUUUGGAGUAAAGUAUUUUUCAACUCCGAUGACAUCCAUAUCUAUCAAAUCAAACAUUCUCCCAUGACUUUGAAGAGAGUCCGCAACCAACGAAUUUUUCAACAACAAUUUCAUGUUCUCUUCUCUUAUCAAAUCAAAAUUUUCUUCUUCUUUUGUCAAAUUACCAUUUUAUUUUUUUCAACAAAUUCAUUACUUCUAAUUUCUCCAAACAAGGUACGCAAAUCAAAACUAUCAAUUGAUUCAAAAUUUUCAAUAUCACCCAUAUUAUCAACAAAUCUAUCAUUUUUAAAAUCCACAAACUAAUUCCAACAACUAGACUUCGGUUUGAAAGCAUAAUUUCUCUCAAUCGUGUGCAAAACAUAGUAAAUAUUCUUCCAAAAUCUCUAAAGUAUUUUAGUACAACCAAUAAAGGUUUUAUAAAUACUUUUUGCCAUUAAUUUAUGCAUCACUUGAAAGAAUAAUUGUGCCUUUUUCUUAAAAACAUGUUUUGCCAACUUACUUGCGUCAACCCAACAAAGAAUAUCAUCCAAAUUACAUUGUUUGACAUAUUUUUCCACUGUUAAAAUCCAACCAAAUAUGUAUGUAUAUUUGUGCUUAUAGGAGUCAAUAUGAAAAAUUUUUCACCGUCAAUCAGAUCUUUAUAAUAUUCCAUUAUUUAACAAUUUGUAUACCUGAAUAAAUUUUUUUCCUCCAUCCUGUCAUGUUUUCUUGGCCUCCCUGGUUGACUAACCAAAUUAUUGUUGUAUGUAUACCCAUGCUCGUCAAACCUCAUUCGUGUACACUCGUAAGGAGUGGUUCUGAGCUUAUUGUGAAUGCUCAGUACCAAGAAGUAGAAGAGAGAAUGCAUAAGAGAGAAUUAACUUGGCUAAAGAAUUAGGAAACAAUUGAGGGAUUUUUUAAGAAAUUAAUUCUCCAACUGCCACUUUUGGAAAUUUUCUAUCAACAACUAGUUACCAAAACACUAGCACAUAGUAAGAAAUCUGGAUAAUUUCAGAAACCUCCCUUGAGGCUUUUAAUAAUCUCGAGAAGCUCCCCUCAAUUUUUAAAAUUGCACGUACCAUCCCUAUUGGUGCAAAAGUACUCUACUACCCCUAAUAGGAUACUCAAAAGACUUUUUUUAUGGGAAAAAAGAAGGCCAGAAAUCCAAGCGAAAACAAAAAAAAUCAAUUUAUUUUCUCUUUUAGCCUUUUACGCUUUUGCCUUCUACCUUUGCUCACUUUCCCAUGCCAAUCUUCCUAUAACCACUUUCCCAAUCCCCUUUCCCCAACUUUUCUUCUCUACUUCAAGACCAAUUUUUGUCCAUCAAUCCUGGCUUGUGCUUUGUUCCAUUCCCUUCCCUUCUCCUUCUUUGAUUUCCCCUAUAUCUCCCCUUCUCUUUGCAAAAGUGACUAGGCUCAUCUCUCUCCUUUUUUUCCCCAUAUUUUAAGUGUAGUGGGUUUGAUUAUUUUGCAUCUAUUUUAUUUGAUUUUGGUUGAUUAUGGGUGAUAAAACUUGGUGAUGUCACAUAUUAAAAGUUUGAUAGAUGGAUAUUGGGCUUUAGACAAUGAUUUGCUGAAAAAAAUGGCCGCAAUGAGAGGAAGAGGCAAAGGGAUUUGAGUGUGGGGUUGAUUGUUGAUGAAUUGUUGUUUUGGAAAAAAUUUGAGGUUGAGUUUUAUCAAAUUUGGUAGCAAGUGGCGAGAUUUGUUCAGGUUGCGGGAAAUAAAUUGGUUUGUGGUUUCUUGGGCACCCACAGUCGUUGGAAUUGGUUUUGAUUCAAAUUAGGGUGGUUACUUGAUUUUCCUAAUAGUGUUGCUUAAAAGCACACGAUCAUCAAAAUUCCUUAUUUUUAUCUUUUAUUUUUUUUUUGUAGAAAAGAUUUCAUGACUUUCGUGAUAGUCUAAUUUGGAAGAAGGCAAUCAAGGGAUGCAAUCAACAUUUAGCAAAAGCUCUUGUUCUUUUCUUUGUAAUUUUUAGGGUAAAAAGGGUUGUUUAGGGUAUUUGAAGGAAAUGAUAGUCUAUUGGGUCUAUUUUGAAGCAUAAAUAGUGAACGUAAGGGAGGUUGGUGUUAUUUCUGAAACCUAAGGGAAUUGUCUGAAAUUGUCCGAGACCUCGGAGGAGGUUUUCAAAAUUAUCCGUAAGAAAUCAAAUGCGAAACUUGAUUCGUACACGCACACACGACACCACACCACGUCACGCGUGUGUUGAGGACUGAUGUCCGUAGCCAACGACAAGCAGGUUUUCAAUUUUUUUUUCCUUUCCUGGAUUCAGAGAUGGUGUCAGCUUCUAUUAUUGGUGAGCAGGAGGAAAUCCACAAUAUACAGUACACAUCACCCAUAUUCUUUUUAAUUGAACAAUGUAUGAAAUUAUGGUGAUUCGAAAUUAAAUUAUAUGUUUAUUGGACAACGAAUCCAAAAUAAGAGUUGGAAAUGUAUUGUGACAACAAUUGUUAACUUUGGCCACAAAUGAUCAAAAUAAAUAUUUAAGGUUUAAUAUGACAUUAUGGGUUCAAAAUAUAGUUACUUGUUAUGAAACAACUAAAAGUGCGGAUGCCCAUUUGUAUUCUCAAAAGGAUCAAUUCAUAAUUCAUUGCUCCCAAGAUGAUUAAUUCAUAAUUCAUUGCUACAUUAUGUAAAGAAAUUACAUUGGAUGAAUGGUUUCAAUCCAUAAGAGCUAUUCAUGUAUUGGAUGAACCGUUUCAUAUGGCUAUUCAUGUUCUUGUAGUAAUGAGUGUUUAAUAGAAUUGAUGUACCUUUAAUUUUAUAGUACCUAUACAUAGAGGUACCUGGCACCUCUUCGGUGUACUUUUUGAUUAGUUGGAAUAAUAAGAAAAUCAUUCUCCAUUUCUGUACUCUUUCACUAAUAUUUCAAUUCCUAUUAUAGUAGUUCAUUUUUUUUUAGUUUUACAACACGUUAUCAGUACGAGUCUCUCCUUUUAAACAAAAAGGUGAAAACGGAGCCUCUACCUUAAAAAAAAAGUGAAACACGAGAUUUUGCCGAAAUUCUGCCGUAUUUUUCCAGUAACUUCUGUCUACUUAUUGAGAAAUGGAUGCCAAAUAUUUGGGAUUAAAUGAUGGUGAUGAUGACAUUUGUCUCAUUGAUAGUGCUACUACGCGCACUAUAUUGAAAAAUAAAAAAAUUUUCUUGUAUGAAAAUGGGAGAGACAAAUGUUAAUAUCAUAAGUGGUAGUGCAAAAUUGAUUGAAAGAUUCGGAAGAGCCACUCUAUUUCUUCCUAAAGGGACUAAAAUUGUCGUAAAUAAUGCACUAUUGUCUCCCAAGUCUCGGAGAAAUUUAUUGAGUUUUAAAGAUAUCCGCAAAAACGGAUAUCAUAUUGGGACAAUGAUUGAGACAAAUGGAAAAUUUUUAUUAAUCACAAGUAUCAUUUCUAGACAGAAAUACGUAGUAGAAAAAUUACCUUCUUUUUCUUUUGGCUUAUAUUAUGCACAAAUUAGUGCAAUUGAAAUUUAUCACCUAGUAAACCAAAAGUCUAUUCAUCCCAAUAAUUUUAUCAUUUGGCAUGAUCAUUUCAGAAAUCUUGAAUCUAUAAUGAUGAGACAAAUAAUCGAGAAUUCACAUGGUCACUCAUUGAAAAAUCAAAAGAUAUUAAAAGCAAAUGAAUUCUCCUGUGUUGCUUGUUCCCACGGAAAAUUUAUUAGACCAUCACCAGCUAAAGUUGGGACUGAAUCCCCUACAUUUCUAGAACGAAUUCAUGGUGAUAUAUGUGGAUUAUUUCGAUAAUUUAUGGUGCUAAUUGAUGCAUCAUCUAGAUGGUCACAUGUAUGUUUAUUAUCUACUCCCAACCUGGCGUUUGCGAGUUUGCUUGCUCAAAUAAUUAAAUUGCGAGCACAAUUUUCAGACUAUCCAAUAAAGAAAAUUCAUCUAGAUAAUGCUGGUGAAUAUUCAUCACAUACUUUUGACGAUUAUUGCAUGUCCAUUGGAAUAACUGUUGAACAUCUUGUAACUUAUGUUCACACACAAAAUGGUCUAGCCGAAUCAUUUAUUAAACGGCUACAAUUAAUUGCUAAACCAUUGUUGAUGAGGUUUAAACUACUUUCAUCUGCUUGCGAACAUGCUAUAUUACAUGCAGCAACACUUGUGAGAAUUAGACCGACAAGUUAUCAUACUUAUUUUUCCCUACAAUUAACUUUUGGUUAUGAAUCCAAUAUUUUUCAUUUAAGAAUAUUUGGUUAUUCAGUUUGUGUUCUAAUUGCACCGCCCCGACGUUGUAAAUUGGGCUCGCAAAGAAGAUUGAAAAUAUAUGUCGGGUAUGAAUCACCUCUAAUUAUUAAGUAUAUGGAACCAUUGACAGAUGAUUUAUUUAUUGCGAGAUUUGUAGAUUGUCAUUUUGAUGAAUCAGAUUUUUCAACAUUAGGGGGGAGAUAAAAAUCAACCGAAAAAGGAAAUCACUUUAAAAAUAUCAUUGAAUUUUCUCGAUUCUCGUACAAAAGAAUGUGAACUAGAAAUUCAAAAGAUUAUACAUUUGCAAAAAAUUACAAAUCAAUUACCGGAUGCAUUUAAUGACUCCAGAAGAGUUACUAAAUCACAUAUUCCUAUUGAAAAUGCUCUGAUUAAAAUUAAUAUCCUUGAAGGACAAAUUACAAGUGCUAAUGAGUCUAAAGUGCGCCUGAAGCGUGGGAGAUUUCUUGGUUCCAAAGAUAAAAAUUUUCGAAAGAAAAGAGGAGUACAUGAAUCAACAAUUAAUGACAAAAUUUAACCUCCUGAAGAGAUCGCUCCUAAAGAGCCAAUUCUUGAAGAGAAUAAAAUCAUAGAAAAUUCAAUAAAUUUUGUCACUUCAGGGAAAAGUUGGAACCGAAAAGAAAUAAUUAUUGAUAGUAUUUUUGUAUAUAAUGUAGCACUUGAUAUUAUGGUAGAGAAUGGGGAUUACGAGCCUAAAUCGAUUGAUGAAUGUCGACGUAGAAAUGAUUGGCCAAAAUGAAAAGAUGCGAUCCAAUUUGAAUUGGACUCACUGGUUAAAAGAAAAGUUUUUGGACCUGUAGUCCAAACACCUGAAGGUGUGAAGCCAGUAGGAUAUAAAUGGGUAUUUGUGAAAAAAAAAUGAGAAAAAUGAAAUCGUGAGGUAUAAAUUAAUACUUGUAGCCAAAGGAAUUUCACAAAGGCCUGGAUUUGAUUAUGAUUACACGUAUUCACUUGUAGUGGAUGCUAUCACAUUUAGAUAUCUUGUGAGUUUUGCAGUACAUGAAAAAUCAGAUAUGCAUCUAAUGGACGUCGUUACUGCAUAUUUAUAUGAAAAUCUUGAAAAUGAUAUUUAUAUGAGAAUUCCCGAAGGAUUCAAUAUGCCUGAAACAUGCAAAUCAAAUCUUAAAAAUAUUUAUUUAAUUAAAUUACAAAAGUCUUUGUAUGGAUUCAAACAAUCUGAACGUAUGUGGUACCGCCUUAAUGAAUGUUUAACUAAAGAAGGCUAUACCAAUGAUCCAAUAUGUCCAUGUGUCUUUAUCAAGAAAAAUGGAUCAAAUUUUGUGAUAAUUGUUGUAUAUGUUGAUGAUCUAAAUAUGAUUGGAACACCUGAAAAGAUUCAAAAUAGUGUUGAAUAUUUGAAAAAAAAUUUGAGAUCAAAGAUUUUGGAAAAAUAAAAUUUUUCCUUGGUUUACAAAUUGAGCAUUUGAAAAGUGGAAUUUUGUCCACCAAACUGCUUAUACCCGGAAGGUAUUAAAGCGAUUUUAUAUGGAUAAGUCACAUACAUUAAGUAUUCCAAUGGUCAGAUCAUUAGAUCCUAAUAAGGACCCUUUUAGACCGCGAGAGGAAGAUGAAGAGAUACUUGGUCCUAAAGUACCAUAUCUCAGUGCAAUUGGUGCACUACUGUAUCUUGCUAAUUGUACAAGACUUGAUAUAUCAUUUACAAUAAAUUUAUUAGCAAGAUUUAUUUCCUCGCCCACAAGACGACAUUGGAAUGGUAUUAAACAUAUUUUUCGUUAUCUUUAAGGAACAAAUUGAUCUUGGCUUAUUUUAUUCAAAUAAAUCUAAACUUGAAUUGCUUGGUUAUGUUGAUGUUGGAUAUUUAUCUGAUUUGCAUAAAGCAAGAUCUCAGACUGGUUAUCUAUUUACAUAUGGAGGUACAACCAUUUCUUGGCGAUCUAGAAAGCAAUUAUUAGCCGCCACUUCAUCGAAUCAUGCUAAAAUAAUAGCAAUUCAUGAGGCUAGUCGAGAAUGUGUUUCGUUAAGAUCAAUGACCUACUAUAUCCGGAAGAGUUGUGGGUUAUCCUCUGAAAAAGAAAAUCCUCCGACUAUAUUUUAUGAAGAUAAUGCAGCUUGUAUAGCUCAAUUGAAAGGAGAAUAUAUUAAAGGAGAUAGAACGAAAUAUAUUUCACCAAAAUUCUUUUUUACUCAUGAUUUACAAAAGAAUGGUGAAAUUGUUGUGCAACAAAUCCGAUCAGAUAAUAAUUUGAUAGAUUUAUUUACUAAUGUAUUGCCGACUGCAAUAUUUGAGAAAUUGGUGAAGAAUAUUGGAAUGCGACGACUAUAAAAUCUCAAAUGAUAUUUGCAUCAGGGGGAGAAAUCAAUACACAAGAAUAGUGUACUCUUUUUUUUUCACUAGAGUUUUUGUCCCGUUGGAUUUUUUCCUAGUAAGGUUUUAAUAAGACAUAUUCUUUGUGUAAUUAAUAUCCAAUGGGGAGUGUUAUGAAAUAACUAAAAGUGUGGAUGUCCAUUUGUAUUCUCAAGAAGAUCAAUUCAUAAUUCAUUGCUCCCAAGAGAAUUAAUUCAUAAUUUAUUGCUACAUUAUGUAAAGGAAUUACAUUGGAUGAUCGGUUUCAAUCCAUAAGAGCUAUUCAUGUAUUGGAUGAACCAUUUCAUAUGGCUAUUCAUGUUCUUGUAGUAACGAGUGUUUAAUAGAAUUGAUGUACCUUUAAUUUUGUAGUACCUAUAUAUAGAUGUACCUUAGCUGAUAGGUUGCAAUUUUAUCAUUUAUUUUAUAAUUAAUUUCUCCUAUUACCUGACUUGAUGUGGAUUAAUUGCGGGAUUCUACUCACUUUUAGUAUUUUGCAUUUAUUUCAGGGAGUAGAGCGAAAAUAUAAUAACAGGUGCUAAUUUGACAAAAAAAGAGUCCAAGGCACAGAGCUUAUCCCGGGGGCAUUAUUGGCAAAGGAAGACUUUUGCCCAUUUUGGUAAUUUCAAAAGAAGAGAGCAGGGCAGAGGCCUCUAUUUUACUGGAGGCUGGAGCGCCGCACAAAGGGAGCUUCUUCUUCCUUCGGAGGCUCCGUCCUCUCCGCAAGGGGGCUGCCGCACACAGCAGCCAUUAGAAUAGGAGCAAUUGAUAUAUGACAGAGAAUGAGCACUAGCACCAGGGAGUUGCCUUUGUUGACUUUUCUUCCCUUUUAGUUCUUAGUAGUUGUUUUACCUUCCUCGUACGUAGGACCUUUAGCAUAGUUUCCUUUUGACUUUCCCUUGAGUCUUGGGUGGAUGUCUCCUGCGCAUGUCAGGAGCAAUUGAAGGUCUCGGUCACUUUCUGUAUUCUUCCAUCAACUGAGCGAACUGAGCUCCCUUGGUCAAGGGCAAUGGCUGCGGCUUCCUCUCCAACUUUGUGUGGGAUUCGUUCACCAGGAAUGAACUAAUUUUUCUUUUCUAGUCAAGGAACAACGGAGGUCUUGGUUGGCCUAAAUUUGUGAGAUCGAAUUAGUUUUUAUUUAUUUCCAUUAUUCACUGGUAUUUGUCUAUCUUCUGCUUUAUGUUCAUAUGGUUGUUUUAUUAUUCGAUUAUCCAGGGCCCGGAUACUAGAUUAAUUCAAUAACCUGAAGCCAAUUAGGAUAGUUAAAUCCGUAAUUGUUUAAUUAUUCUAAACUGCUGGCAACUGGCAUGAUUGGGUUUGUGUCAGGGGGAUAAACAUGCUAACUUAAAGAGACCCUCGUAGCGUGUUGAUUGGUUAGAAUUAGGCUCUUCUAAUUAUUCAUGCAAUUAGGGAAUUGAACUUCUAUGGUCGUACCUAGGGUUAUUUCCUGAUUAGAGAAAUAGUCAACGGUCGUACCUUGGCUAUCGACAAAUUGAGGAAGAGUUGGUUGUUUAUCGCGUGUAUGGCAACUAUAACUAAUUUAUCAGAUAGUAACUGGAAUAAUCCUUGCAUCUGUGAUCGAAUUAAGUGAACCAUCUCCGAAGUUGUCUCUUGGCUAGAGUUCGUCAAUUAUUAUUUUUAUUGUGAUAAUUAGUUAUUUGAGUUGUAGUUAUUUUAUUUUAUUUAUUCCAAGUAAUUUAGUUACUCUCAUUUUCAAAAACCCCCCAUAUCUGGAACUUGAGAAGAAAUUAAAUUAUCCCCAGUCCCUGUGGAUUCGACCCUGCUCACCGCUAUAUACAGAAUUUGUAUUUUAUUUGAGCAGGUAUUUAUUAUUGCACAGGUUCGGCACCUGUCAAUUUUUUGCUACAUUAUGUAAAGGAAUUACAUUGGAUGAUCGGUUUCAAUCCAUAAGAGCUAUUCAUGUAUUGGAUGAACCAUUUCAUAUGGCUAUUCAUGUUCUUGUAGUAACGAGUGUUUAAUAGAAUUGAUGUACCUUUAAUUUUGUAGUACCUAUAUAUAGAUGUACCUUAGCACCUCUUGGGUGUACUUUUUGAUUAGUUGGAAUAAUAAAAAAAUCAUUCUCCAUUUCUGUACUUCUUUCUCUAAUAUUUCAAUUCCUAUCACAGUAGUUAUUUUUUUUUAGCUUUACAACAUUACUUAAAUAAGAGAGUUAUUGGACUAUAUGUUUAUUGACCUCUACUAACUUAUUUAAGGUCAUUUCAUAUCACUAUCCAAAGAAGAAUUAAGGUCAUUUCAUAUCACUAUCCAAAGAACAAUUCUUGGGCGCUAACAUUUUUCUUACAUGACUAUUAAUGAAAGUUGACCCAAAUCUCUCUGUCUCUCUCUUUCUUUCAAUUCUUAGGACUGAUGCCAAUUCUUACCAUUUAGAAAGAAAAAUUAGAUUGUUUAUAUAUAUGAUGAGUUCCCUCUAAGUCAUGGUUAAGAAAAAUUCUUAGUUAAACGCAGUUUUAUGAAAUGUGAAUUUCCUUUUCUUUGUCUUUAUUCAUUAGUAUUAUUGGGGUUAUUGUAUUAUGAUUGCAAUGCACAGAUACAUGGAUUUUUGACAUUUUUUCUUUUUAAUUGACUCUGACUAUGCCUCAAACUCGAGACAUCAAACCUGGACACGACUUUUGUCCAAAAUGCUUGUAAAAAUUCAGAAGAAUAAUUUUGGACCUUAUUAUUUGAUAAUGGUACAAUUAUGAGAGUCAUUCCAGGUUAAUUAUCAAACUUGGAACUUGAAAAUAAUGUCGACAUCAUGUCAUUAUUAUUUUUUAGUUUCAUAGAAAAAUGAAGUAUUCUCCAACUCGACAUUAUCAUAGUAUUUUCAAUUGGCAGCUCAUGUGAGAAAGACAAGAAAUUCACAAUCAACUGGCCAAGAGAGUGCCAACAAAGAAAGCACUAAAUGGCUUAAACAAUGCAUGCAAAUUUGCUUGGCACUUAAACAAUAGACACCUAAAUCAACCAUGUCACUGUCUUGCCAAAAAAGGGCAUUAAAGUAAAAACAACUCAUGCCUACCACAGGUAACAAACUUCAGCACCUUCACUUCACUACCAUGUCAGCAACAACAUUUGCAAAUUUCCAAGGAAGUCCACGCACUAAAGGUGCCCAUGCCCUUAGGGGACCUCAGGUUAGUGUUCUUAACCUCAACUCCUGUCUUUCUGUUCUUAGGAAAUAUUGAAAUUAAACGUUAUAACUAAUCCUGAUUUCCUUGUGCUAUAUUUGUACACAAUUUGGCAACAAGGGUAAAAAAAAAUAAAAAUAAAAAGGUUUAUCUGCAAACUGUAGUUCGGCCUGGCUCUUUUUUUUUUUUUUUUUUUUGGGGAUAAGAUCAUCUCAGCACCCGCAGACCCCGUCAUGUAUCAAUAUUUCUGUACUUAGCAUUGGCUUCUUCUCGCCUGAAGAACACACGAACCACCGAAAUAGAUGGUGCAUGAAAGUGCACUUAACCCUUUUAAUUUUUCAAAACAAUCUUUUAGAAAAAAUAAUAAAAACUUUUUGAAUUUAAUUUUAGAGAAGAAGAAUUUUAAAAUUUUUUGAAUUUAAUCUUAGAGAAGAAGAAGUUUAAAAUGUACUUUAAUUUUCACAACUGAUGAUGAAAAUAGCAAAAUGUACACGGAUAGUGACAAAAGUGGGAUCACGGGCAGGAAAUCCUGAAGGUUGCGUGCAUUUUACACACGGCAUAAUUCUGUUUGUAUAUAGUGUAAUUUACUUUUUACAACGUGUAAUUUUAAAACAAAAUUUUGUAAGUCUCACACAUUUUAUUAAAAAUAAGGUACAAGAUGAAAUUUGGACCAUAUAAUUUUUUUUAAUCAAAUCUUGACCGUGAACUGCUCAGAAACGGUUUACCUGAUGACCGUCCCUGGUCCAAACCCGACAAAGGUGCCAUCUUAUCCUUUUACUGACUGGCCCGUUUUCCAAUGAGAGGGCCCAGAAGGGGUGCCUCUGCUUCAUAGUUUAUCCAUAUUGAUAUUUCUUUUCUGUCCCCCUAACUAUUAAAUGUGAAAGGUUGCCCACCAAAUUUGACGAAACCGUUUAUCCUAAUUGAUUAUUAUCAAUAGGGCAUAACUUUAAUAUUCUUCUUCCAACCCUUUCUGGUGAUUCCUGCAACUCCAGCCGUCCGUCAAUGACCAUAAAGCACCAUUAACCGACAACUAACUAACCACUAUUAAUCUAUUCUCAAAUUUUAAUGAAAUUGCACAAUCUAUUCUCAAAUCAAAUUUGAACAACAUUUUAUAGUCGAUAACUUUGAAACUUGAUAAAAAAGUCUGUUUAAACUCGGUUUAGUAAAUAAACAAAUCAAGUUUGAACAAAAUUUUAAACUCAUUAAAAUAAUUAAACACGUUUGAAUAUUAGGGUAUUCGAUUUAAUUAGACACGUUUGUAUCCCUAAUUAAAGCAUGCACUUUUAUAAGUUUAGGAAUCAACAUUAUACAUUUAAUAGCUAGCUAGAGGGUCAAAAAGUUAAUUGCCUUAAAUUCUUUUAGCAGCCAUAAGGUACAGUUGGAGGGAUUCCCUUGAAAUUGGUUAGAUUCUUCUAUGUGACUAAAGAAUUUCGGGUGUGACGCAUUACUAGUCCUACCCUAAAAAAAAAUGGUAUUACUAGUCCUUUUUUUCUUUUUUGGCGUGCCCCCGUCGUGGGAUGUGGGGAGGGGAGUCUGUGCGAGAAUUCUAGGUCGGGGUACAAGGAGCCAAAGUUCACCUUAUUCAAAGUAAACAACCGUCCAUCUCAGUUGUCGACUUUCCUGUCGAUUGCGUAUAUAUAUAUAUUACUAUCUUUUACCAUGACUUUAGAGGAUAGCUAAUUUUGCUUGCUAUUAAAUAAUAAUUUCGGUAGUCUAUAAAUACUCUUGUUCCUCACCGCUCCUAGCACCACAUAAUUCCUUCAAGAACAGCCAAAACCUUCUUGAAAUCCCUCUUUUUCCUUCUAGUUCAUUUCCAAGAAACAAAUGGCCCCUGUCACUUCCAGUUAUGAGGUCACCUCCUCAAUCCCUCCUGCAAGGUUGUUCAAGGCCACCAUCCUCGAAGAGAAGCAUCUUCACAAGAUCUUGCCACAGGGCGUUAAGAGUGUCGAAAUCCUUGAAGGAGAUGGUGGAGUUGGCACAAUUAAGUUGACCACAUUUGUUGACGGUAAGAUAAUCAAUACAAAGUGAUUAUUUUCACACAUUUGAAGUCUUCAAAUUUUUCUCUUUUUUUCCCUUUUAUUUGGGAAAAACUAAUGACUUUUUUUUUUUGGUUGGGUUAAAUAUUUAGGUGGCGAGCAUAAGACUGCCAAACAGAGAGUUGAUGGAAUUGACAAAGAAAAAUUUACAUACAGCUAUACUGUACUUGAAGCUGAUGGAUUUAACGAUGUAAUCGAGAAAAUCUGUUGUGUCAUCAAAUUUGAACCCUCUGCUGAUGGAGGUUCAAUCUGCAAAACCACUAACACAUACUACCCCAAAGGUGGUGCUCAGAUCAGUGAGGAACACCUCAAGGGAGGAAAAGAGAUGGGUUUGGGAAUGGUUAAGGCUGUUGAGGCAUACCUCCAUGCAAAUCCUACUGCCUACAACUAAUUAUAAUGAAUGCUACUGCAAGGACUCUUCGACAUAUUUUCUUCAAGAUUGAAGUAUAAACUGAGGGUGUCUGUUUCCUUUUUUGCUUGGUUUGCUUAAGCUGUUUGGUUAAGUUAUUCGCAGCAAGAGAAUAAAAUAAUUCAUUUGCUGUUUUUAGAUAUGAAUUCAUGACUGUCAGUAGUCUAUAAAUACACUUAUUGCUCACCACUCUUUGCACCGCAAAAUCUUUUCAAGAUCCAUCAAACCCUCCUGUUCUUGAUCUUUCUCCAUUUGUGAAAAAACAAAUUAAAGCAUCAUGGCCCCUAUCACUUGUAGUGCUGAGAUGACCUCCCCAAUGCCUCCUGCAAGGUUGUUCAAGGCCGCCAUCCUUGAUGACCACCUUCUUCCCAAGAUCAUGCCACAGGCUAUUAAAAGUGGAAAUUCUUGAAGGAGAUGGUGGAGUUUGAACCAUUAAGUUGAGCACAUUUGGUGACGGUUAGAUGUUAUAUUAAAUGUAGAACCCAAAUUUUAAGGAUCUAAUAAUAAUCAAUUAAUAAUAAUCAAUGCGUGCAGGGUUACAGAAUUGGAGGGAUAAAACAAAUACUCAAAUAAAUGUGGAAGAAAAGAAAAUAAUAAAUUCAACUCACAAAAUUAUUGAAAUUUCAAACAAUGAAAAAAAUCAUACCUUAAUAAAUUCAGUUGGUUUUAAUAAUAAUCAAAGCAUACAAGGUUAAAGAAUUAAAAGGAUAAAACAAACACUCAAAAUAUAUGUGGGAGAGAAGAAAAUAAUAAAUUCAACACACAAUAUUAUUGAAAUCUCAAACAAUGAAAAAAGUCACACCAUAAUAGAAAAUCUUGCAAAUUCUUCUAGAUUCUUUCUCUUGAGAAACCAACCUAAAUAAUGUUCUAUUUAUAAUCUACCAAACUUGUUAGGAAAGAAACCACUUGCAUAAGAAAUUACCAAAUAAAACAGAAAUUCCUAAAUCACACAACUACUAAAAACAUAACUCAAAUAAAACUAAAAAAUAAAUAAAUUUUUCUUGGCUUAGUUUAAUUUGUUAACAUUGCCUCCCUUAAACCAAACUAUCCAUUGAGAUAUGUUCAACACCAUCUCGAGUAACAAUUUCUAUGCAAAUCUAUGUUGUAGUAUACUUGACAUGAAACUCUAACUUGUUACCAGUUAUUAAUUUCAUCUUUACACGUAACAGUGGACGUACUAUGUAUUUUGUAAAAAAUUUCUCAACAAUUUCUUCUUGAUCAAAGUACUCAUUUAUACAAACCCAUUCAUCACCAGAAUCAUCAUAUUUACCACCAAUGUAAGUUCCUAAAAAUACAAAAUCAUUGCUUGCUUUCUCGCUAAAAUUAUCAUAACCAAAUAAUUUAAAAUAGCCACUACUACAAUCAUCCAAAAUUUUCAUACUGUCAGUCAACUCUUUUGGAGUAAAAUAUUUUUCAACUAUAAUGACAUCCAUAUCUAUCAAAUCAAGCAUUCUCCCAUCACUUUGAAGAAAGUCCGAACCAACGAAUUUUUCAACAACAAUUUCAUGAUCUCUUCUCUUAUCAAGUCAAAAUUUUCUUCUUCUUUUGUCAAAUUACCAUAUUAUUGUUUCAACAAAUUCAUUACUUCUAAUUUCUCCAAACAAGGUACGCAAAUCAAAACUAUCAAUUGAUUCAAAAUUUUCGAUAUCACCCAUAUUAUCAACAAAUCUAUCAUUUUUAAAAUCCACAAACCAAUACCAACAACUAGACUUCGGUUUGAAAGCAUAAUUUCUCUCAAUCGUGUGCAAAACAAAGUAAAUAUCCUUCCAAAAUCUCUAAAGUAUUUUAGUAUGACCAAUAAAGGUUUUAUAAAUACUUUCUGCCAUUAUUUUACACAUCACUUGAAAGAAUAAUUGUGCUUUUUUUCUUAAAAACAUGUUUUGCCAACUUACUUGCAUCAACCCAACAAAGAAUAUCAUCCAAAUUACAUUGUUUGAGAUAUUUUUCCACUGUUAAAAUUCAGCCAAAAUAUGUAUGUCUAUUUGUGUUUAUAGGAGUCAAUAUGGAAAAUUUUUCACCAUCAAUCAGAUCUUUAUAAUAUUCCAUUAUUUAACAAUUUGUAUACCUGAAUAAAUUUUUUUCCUCCAUCCUGUCAUGUUUUCUUGGCCUCCUUGGUUGACUGACCAAAUUAUUGUUGUAUGUAUACCCAUGCUUGUCAAACCUCAUUCGUGUACACUCGUAAGGAGUGGUUUUGAGCUUACUGUGAAUGCUUAAUACCAAGAAGUAGAAGAGAGAAUGCAUAAGAGAGAAUUAACUUGGCUAAAGAAUUGGGAAGCAAUUUAGGGAUUUUUUAAGAAAUUAAUUCUCCAACCGCCACUUUUGGAAAUUUCUAUCAACAACUAGUUACCAAAACACUAGGACAGCGAUCCGUCUCUAUUUUACUCUUCAAGUCUUCGCCGGGGAAGCAACCCGGCCUUGCGAGACUAUAAUGAAUAGGCACUUGCCUUCUGUUUUUACUUUUUUUUUGUUCAAAGACUAUAAUGCCCUUAUUAUUUGACUGCGCAUCUCGCAAGAUAAUGCUUUCCAUCAAAAUUAACUGUUGGGUUUGACAGAAGCGCCACGAAUAUUCUAUUUUAUUAGAUCCAGAGUCAAAAUUUUACCGUUAAUUGUUAGAGGGUUAAAACUUUAUCUGGAAAGGAGUUGGAGGGCCAUUGGAACUCUUUUUCCAAAAAAAAAAAAAAGUCACUUUUGUCAUUUGUCCAAGAACAGUUCUGGGGCCAUCUCGACAGUAUAUAUUUUUCUUACAUGCCAAGACAAUUAAUGAAAAUUGACCAAUAACACACGCACACACACACACACACACACACACUCUCUCUCUCUCUCUCUCUCUCUCUCGGUUGCUGCCAAGUCUUUCCAUUGAAAAAGGAAAAUUCAUAUUGUUUACAUAGAUAAAUUACCUCCAGUCCGUGGAAUGUCUUGAUGUUAGGUGAGUUCUAAUAUUUUGGUAUCAUCUAGAGGUGGCAAAUCAACCCACUUAACUAAAUUUACCCAUAUCCGCCCAUGAAUAGAUGGGUAUGGAUAUCUUAAAUUUUUGUAUAUGAGUAUAAAUGGGUUACCCAAUAAUACCCAUUUAAAUGGGUAACCCAUCAAACCCAAUUAACCCAUUUAGAAUUCUCUUCCCCUCAAGUCUCUUCUUUUCCCCCACCUUUUUUUUUUUCAAAUUUUUCAUUUUGUCAUGAUGUUAACUACUUUUGUUUUAUUAUUAUUAUUUGUUGGUUUUAUCUUAUUAUUUUAUUUUCUCUUAGUUUGUUAACUUACUCAUUUUUUACCAUUACCAAUUUAUGAUAAAUUUUAGCCUAUUUUCUUAUCUUUAUAAAAUGAAAUUUUAAAUUUAUAUAUGAAAAAAAUGUUAGGGGUUCAAAAAUUUUGGAUUAAGUUUUUAUAUUAAUUUUUAUAGUACUUAGUUCAAAAUUUUAUAUUCUUAUUAUUCAAUUAUUAAAUAAUAGGUAAUUUUGUGACAUAGAGUAUAAAUGAAAAAAAAUUGGUAAUUAAGUUUAUUGAACAUUAUAAGUAAAUAUUUAAAACUAAUGAUGGGUAUAAAGAGUGAUAUAAAUUGAUAACUUAGUUUGCAAAAAUGAAUUUAAAUGAGUUUGCAAAAAGUUAAAAUAAAUGGGUUAUAAAUGGGUAAUUGGGUUACCCAAUUCAUUUUUUGACUUGCCUAUUUAUACCCAUAUAAUUAAAUGGGUAUAAAUGAGUUGACUCACUUAUACCCAUUACCCAUUUUACCCAACUCAAACCCGCCCAAGUCACCCAUUUUGACACCUUUAGUAUCAUCUAAUGUUCAUUUGUGAAAGAUUGAGAAAUGAUAAAGAGCAAAACACCAAUUUAUUCCAUAAAUUAUUUUGCUAAAAUCAAAAUAGUCCAUAAAUUUUCUUUUGGCCAAAUUUUUGUCAUGAACUUUCAGAAACGGUUGCAGGGGAUUUCAUCCGGAUUGCUUGUGCAGUUGAGUAACUAUACAGAAAUUCUUUUUGGGAUGCUGAGUAUCUUAGGAUGGGUACAAUGAUCGCUUAGAUCAGUAGAGAUGAUUGAUGAUGUAGUAGGGGAAGAUUCCCUUUAUAAAGCUGAUUUUCUCAUGAUUAAUAAGAAUAUAAAUGUUACCAAAUUUUCUUUUCAAAUGUGUAACGAAAAUAUUGGCCAUGAUCAGCAAGACCUCCUUAAUUAUAAAAGUUUCUUGAAUGUCAUCAUCCAAUUUGUUUAAGCGAGGAUUUUUAAAUGCUAUCUUUAAGCAAAUUGAUUUUUGUAUUAUAGAUACUUACUACUAUUACUUCAUACCUAGCUACAAACCUCAUGUAUGUUUUAGUUUUAAUCCAGAACAAAUCAGGGCCACGGGCCACCUUGCACAUAGCGAGAGUGGAAAAAUAAAACUACACAAUUGCUUUUUUGAAGCCAGUGACUCAACUGAUUUUGCGCUCGGCAAUUCAUCCGAUUUUCAUUAAAAGGGCCCUAAGAGGCCAUUGGCGUUUUGGGCCUGUGAAAAUUUGGAUGAUUUGGUGUGUCCAAUGCAUGUGUAAGCACAAAUUUUGUUGUCUAAAAUAAAAGACAAGAAAACUUACAUAAAUAUCAAAUUUAUUAAAUUAAAUAACAAGAGGGUUACAAUAUUUGAAAAUUUUUGAAUCAAAGAAAUUAAUCUCCUAAUUUUUAUCUUCAAAAGGCUUUAAUCGGAAGGCCAAAAAGGCUUGUUCUCCGAUCAAGAGGGUGUUUUCUAUGAUUUCUAUGUAAAAAACGGCUGCUUUGAUGAUGACGUUAAUAUUUGAAUCUUUAAAUCUUCAACGCCGAUGGAAGGAGGAUUUAUUUAACUUAAUUUGGAUUUGGAUUUGAAUUUGAGGGAAAAAGCUCUCAAGAGAAUUUGACAAAGUUACUUUGAAAUUUAGGAAUUUUAAUGUAUUUUUGCCUUGAGGGAAGACCUUUAUUUAGAGUCAACAUAUGCAAGCUAUGUCUUCAAGAGAAUCCUUCAAAACCAUCUUGCGUUUGGGUAACUUGUACCUUAAGAAACCCAUUUAACUUGGAGUUAAAUAGUCGGCCGACCCAAAUAGUCAAUUGUGAAUUAACAAAUCAAUUAAAUCACUUUAAUUUAAAUGGGCAUCACAUUUUUUAUUUGAUUUAAUAGCUCAUAUAACAUUGGCUCAAUUUGUCAAUCCAAAACAUAAUGAACUUCUAUAAUUUAAUUUAAUUUAAUAAAAAUCAAUUUAAUUUACUUAAUCUUGCCUAAAAAUAAAUUAAAUAAAUUUUCGUUGUCUAUGUCCCCACUUCAAAACUUGGCAAGGCAUUGCAUGUUUAUUUGAAUUAACUUAAAACUUCUUAAUACGAUUCAUCUAAGCACCUUUAUAUAUAUAUAUAUAUAUAUAUAUAUAUAUAUAUAUAUAUUUAUUUAUUUAUUUAUAUAUAGAGGUACAGAAGACAUGUCUUUGUCUUGAAACUGUGACAAACAGGACACUUAAGACAAGGGCGUGUGAAGACUAUCGCACUAUUUGAGCGAAAAAAACCUGUUUUGCACGUAUAUUUUGAAGGUAAUCAUCUUUAUUGUCUUUUGACAACUUCAUGUUGGUCGAGUAUCAGAUAUUCACCAAAUUUUGUUGAAAUUUGUCAAAACUUGAUUUGUUUCCAAUUUGGAGAAAAAAAAAGAUUUUUUUCUUCGUUUCUGCAAUUUUCCAGGUCACUCUUUCCUAUCAACAUGUUACGAUUCAGAAAUUGAGACAAAUCUUGUACAUAGGAAUCUUUUUUAACAGCUGAUGGUUGGAAUUUAGCAGACACCUUGAAGUCAAAGAAGGCAAAUAGCAUUCCAAUAGCAUUAUUUGGUUGCAUGCCAUAUCCAAGAUUUUCACUAGUAAGCCACCAUUUUCUUGCUUUUGAUUGUUAUUCAUUCUCUGUUGCGCAAUUUUAUUUUCGCACAAUCUAUUUUUUUCGUUGAAUUUUCUCUUUUGCAAAACAGCGACCACCAAGGAAAGACAGAAAGAUUUUUUUGUUUUUGUUUUUGUUUUUGUUUUUGUUUUUUUUUUUAUGGUUGCACCUUGUGUUGGCACCCCUUAUUUGAAGCAAGUUGAUGUUCCAGUUGUGUUGGGGAUUUUAGGGCCAUAGCUCUUAGAACUCAAAAUACUAAUGUAAUUUCCGCACUCCAUGACAUUUACUUCUUGUCAAUGCCAAACUCUCCUCUUUUUUUUUGUGAUAUGAAAGGAAGAUCUCUCGUUGCAACAUAUAUGGUGGACACUCAAUUUGAAAGAAGGUGCAACCACCAACUUGCACGAGAGCCAUAUCAUGGUUUGAGGAGUAUAAUGAAAAUGAUGCAACUGCAAACUCUUAUGAGAGCCAUAUCAUGGUUGAGAAGUACAAUGAAGAUAGUGCAAUCAAAAAUUUGAAAAAGGUGCAAUCGCAAACUCCCAUGAGAGCCUAUCAUGGAUUGAGGAGUACAACGAAGAAUGUGCCACAAAAAGUUGAAAAAUGUGCAAUCGCAAACUCGCACGAGAGCCUAUCAUGGUUUGAGGAGUACAAUGAAGAAGGUGCAACUACCCACUUCAAUGAGAGCUUACCAAAACUCGAGAAGCCCUUUCAUUUAACUUCACAUUGACUAUUUAUUACUUCUCUCACUGUCUUCGAUCACACCAUUGUAAUCAAAUUUUUUUCUCUUGCUUUUGGUCCUAACGAAAUGGUGAUGGUCAAGGAAGUUACAUCUUCAAACAAAAGGCACCUCCUUAUCACUAAUAGCCAUGAUGACUCUGCUGACAAAGGAACGAAAUUAUUGGUGCAUCCCUCUAUACAAGAAAUUUACUCUGGUGAUUGGUUUUCUCACAAGUAUUCCGAAUUAAAGGAUUGGUCACUAAAAUUUUCUCAAGAUGAUGGUACGAAAGUUCACUCCUUGAAAUUCCUUAUCAUAAUAAGGAGCCAAGGACAAUUGGCAGGCGAAUCCUAGAUGAGACUAAGGGUGCAAACGAGGCAAGUCGAAUCGAGUUUUGAAGUUAUUGAGUCGAGUUACACUUAUUUAUAUGCGAGCUCGAGUUCGAGGUCGAAAAAUAGAGCUCGAACUCGGCUCGAUGUAGGAAAAGGAAAACUCGAGAUCGACUCGCUUAUGGCUCGCGAGUUUAGCUCGAAUUCUGGCUCGCGAGCAGCUCGAGUUUUGCUAGAUUUUCUGGCUCGCAUGAAGCUCGAAGUCAGCUCGAUUCUAGCUCGUUAGGAGCUCCAGUUCGAACUCGAAAACAGCUCGAUUUUCUGGAAAUUUAUGCAAGAAAACAGAAUUUUUGUCCGCAUAUUUUUGAUAAAAUUUGAGCAUGAUAACAAUAAGUUUUCACAUAUUCUUGAUCUUGAGGCCUACAAAUUAUGCACUAAUACAAUCAUAAAUGUCCAAAUGUCCACUAAUACAAAUUAUCCAAAUGUCCACAAAUGUCCACUAAUACAAAUUAUCCAAAUGUCCACAAGAAGUCUGAAGAAUACCAGCUUGUUGUCCACAAAAACCAAGGCAUGACAUGAAGCGAGAAUUUCCUGACUGCGUCCUGGAACUUUACUCAUUUCUGUCUCUAAUUCCUCAUGAUCAGUUAGUCCACCAACAUUGAACAAUAUGGAUCAGGAAUGGGGAAAAAUCACUUUCUAACACUCAAGAUCACAUACAACUCAUAUCCAACAAAUAUCCUGAAGUUUCAUGAGUAUAAUCACAUUAAAAGAGAAAAGGAUACUGACAAGCAUGCUAAUCAAACUCAAGCAGAAAAGGUACUUUCUCCUUGCCGUCUCCGACAUCCCAGCCAGCAAAUGGCUGGGGUUCGUGACAGCUGUUUGGGUCCAAUCCAUCUCCGGCAACAACUAUACCUUCUCCAAUUACUCCGACGCCCUCAAAUCACUCAUGGCCCUCACUCAGCUCCAACUCAACAACCUCUCCGUCGCCAAUUGAUGUCAUUAAAGCAGAAAAUCGGCCUGAUGGCCUCCACCAGCUGCCAUCCCUAAUCCAAGAAGGUCGAGUGUAGUAUGCUUAGGACCAAAUACAGAUGGAGUUCCCAACAUCAGUUCCUUCAAGCUAGACCCACCAUCACACGGCAGCCCUAGUCCUAGGCCUACUACCAAUGAUGCACUAUCAGACUCAAUUGCCCUCCCACUCUUCGCCCGGAAAGACAGUGGUGAAAAGAGGUAAGGAGGUGGCGGCAAAGAGCGACGGGUUAGCCAAAGUUAGAAGAUCCUCUUUUUCUAGAUUUGCAAGUUUCCUACUCUAGAGACAAAAAUGUCCUUGAUAUUUGGUCGUGCAUCUUACAAGAUAAUGCUUUCCGUCAAUUUUAACCGUUGGAUUUGACGGAAGGGCCAUGAAUAUGCUAUUUUAUUAGAUCGAGAGCCAAAAUUUUACCGUUAAUUGUUGGAGGGUUAAAACUUUAUCUGGAAAAGAGUUGGAGGGCCAUUGGAACUCUUUUUCCAAAAAAAAAAAGUCACUUUUGUCAUUUGUCCGAGAACAGUUCAGGGGCCAUCUCGACAGUAUAUAUUUUUCUUACAUGCCAAGACAAUUAAUGAAAAUUGACCAAUAACACACGCACACACACGCGCACGCACACACACACACACUCUCUCUCUCUCGGUUGCUGCCAAGUCUUUCCACUGAAAAGGAAAAUUCAUAUUGUUUACAUAGAUAAAUUACCUCCAGUCCGUGGAAUGUCUUGAUGUUAGGUGAGUUCCAAUAUUUUGGUAUCAUCUAAUGUUCAUUUGUGAAAGAUUGAGAAAUGAUAAAGAGCAAAACACCAAUUUAUUCCAUAAAUUAUUUUGCUAAAAUCAAAAUAGUCCAUAAAUUUUCUUUUGGCCAAAUUUUUGUCAUGAACUUUCAGAAACGGUUGCUUCCUGCAACCGUUGGUGAGGGAUUUCAUCCGGAUUGCUUGUGCAGUUGAGUAACUAUACAGAAAUUCUUUUUGGGAUGCUGAGUAUCUUAGGGUGGGUACAAUGAUCGCUUAGAUCAGUAGAGAUGAUUGAUGAUGUAGUAGGGGAAGAUUCCCUUUAUAAAGCUGAUUUUCUCAUGAUUAAUAAGAAUAUAAAUGUUACCAAAUUUUCUUUUCAAAUGUGUAACGAAAAUAUUGGCCAUGAUCAGCAAGACCUCCUUAAUUAUAAAAGUUUCUUGAAUGUCAUCAUCCAAUUUGUUUAAGCGAGGAUUUUUAAAUGCUAUCUUUAAGCAAAUUGAUUUUUGUAUUAUAGAUACUUACUACUAUUACUUCAUACCUAGCUACAAACCUCAUGUAUGUUUUAAUCCAGAACAAAUCAGGGCCAUGGGCCACCUUGCACAUAGCGAGAGUGGAAAAAUAAAACUACACAAUUGCUUUUUUGAAGCCAGUGACUCAACUGAUUUUGCGCUCGGCAAUUCAUCCGAUUUUCAUUAAAAGGGCCCUAAGAGGCCAUUGGCGUUUUGGGCCUGUGAAAAUUUGGAUGAUUUGGUGUGUCCAAUGCAUGUGUAAGCACAAAUUUUGUUGUCUAAAAUAAAAGACAAGAAAACUUACAUAAAUAUCAAAUUUAUUAAAUUAAAUAACAAGAGGGUUACAAUAUUUGAAAAUUUUUGAAUCAAAGAAAUUAAUCUCCUAAUUUUUAUCUUCAAAAGGCUUUAAUCGGAAGGCCAAAAAGGCUUGUUCUCCGAUCAAGAGGGUGUUUUCUAUGAUUUCUAUGUAAAAAACGGCUGCUUUGAUGAUGACGUUAAUAUUUGAAUCUUUAAAUCUUCAACGCCGAUGGAAGGAGGAUUUAUUUAACUUAAUUUGGAUUUGGAUUUGAAUUUGAGGGAUAAAGCUCUCGACAGAAUUUGACAAAGUUACUUUGAAAUUUAGGAAUUUUAAUGUAUUUUUGCCUUGAGGGAAGACCUUUAUUUAGAGUCAACUUAUGCAAGCUAUGUCUUCAAGAGAAUCCUUCAAAACCAUCUUGCGUUUGGGUAACUUGUACCUUAAGAAACCCAUUUAACUUGGAGUUAAAUAGUGGUCCGACCCAAAUAGUCAAUUGUGAAUUAACAAAUCAAUUAAAUCACUUUAAUUUAAAUGGGCAUCAUAUUUUUUAUUUGAUUAAAUAGCUCAUAUAACAUUGGCUCAAUUUGUCAAUCCAAAACAUAAUGAACUUCUAUAAUUUAAUUCAAUUUAACUAAGAUCAAUUUAAUUUACUUAAUCUUGACUAAAAAUAAAUUAAAUAAAUUUUCGUUGUCUAUGUCCCCACUUCAAAACUUGGCGAGGCAUUGCAUGUUAAUUGCUGGAGGCAAGACUUGAAGUAUUAAUUUUACUGCUGACCUAAAGUCAAACUAAAUUAAAGACUUCAAGCGUUCGGCAUACGGGUGAUCCACUUUUUUUUUUUUUUUUUUUUUUUCCUUUUUCUUUGGGAAGAGAAUGGUCCACAUCAAUUGUAGAAUUGCACCUCAAAGUCCAAUUGAAUAGGCAACGGUCACGGGUCUUCACUUUCACCUACUACUUGAAUAAAGCCUUGAAGCUCUUGAAUUUUCCAACUCUUAAUUUAGUCGUCAAUGGAAGUGCAGCCCCACAAUAUUAGACCGCAACUUUGACCCGUAGAAUUAGAAACCCCCGUUUGAUUAUGCGAUGUGGGCUCCUGCGCAGAAACUCCCAUAUGCUGAAAUUUGGAGUUUGCUCGUACGUUUCUGACCACCAAAUCUUGUUUUGGCACUUGGCAAUAUGGAAUUUGCUGAGUUUCAACGCUUCCUAAACGGAACUUUAAUGUAUUUCCAAAACCAAUGUUUGCAACUUCUGAAUAAGAAUAUGCCAAAUUUUAAGAGCUUCCCAAAUUGACUUCCAGCCAUUGAAAUUAUUCUUGGGAACCAAAUUCAAAUGAUUUCCAAAAAGUUAAACGAUAAUCACUGAAUUUAGUAUCUGUCCAAAACUUAAAACUUCUUAAUAUGAUUCAUCUAAGCACCUUUAUAUAUAUAUAUAUAUAUAUAUAUAUAUAUAUAUAUAUAGGUACAGAAGACAUGUCUUUGUCUUGAAACUGUGACAAACAGGACAUUUAUGACAAGGGCGUGUGAAGACUACCACGCUAUUUGAGGGAAAAAAAACCUGUUUGACACGUAUAUCUUGAAGGUAAUCAUCUUUAUUGUCUUUUGACAACUUCAUGUUGGUCGAGUAUCAGAUAUUCACCAAAUUUUGUUGAAAUCUGUCAAAACUUGAUUUGUUUCUAAUUUGGAGAAAAAAAAAGAUUUUUUUCUUCGUUUCUGCAAUUUUCCAGGUCACUCUUUCCUCUCAACAUGUUACGAUUCAGAAAUUGAGACAAAUCUUGUACAUAGGAAUCUUUUUUAACAGCUGAUGGUUGGAAUUUAGCAGACACCUUGAAGUCAAAGAAGGCAACUAGCAUUCCAAUAGCAUUAUUUGGUUGCAUGCCAUAUCCAAGAUUUUCACUAGUAAGCCACCAUUUUCUUGCUUUUGAUUGUUAUUCUUUCUCUGUUGCACAAUUUUAUUUUCGCACAAUCCAUUUUUUUUCUUUGAAUUUUCUCUUUUGCAAAACAGAGACCACCAAGGAAAGACAGAAAGAUUUUUUGUUUUUGUUUUUGUUUUUGUUUUUGUUUUUGUUUUUUUUUUUUAUGGUUGCACCUUGUGUUGGCACCCCUUAUUUGAAGCAAGUUGAUGUUCCAGUUGUGUUGGGGAUUUUAGGGCCAUAGCUCUUAGAACUCAAAAUACUAAUGUAAUUUCCGCACUCCAUGACAUUUACUUCUUGUCAAUGCCAAACUCUCCUCUUUUUUUUUGUGAUAUGAAAGGAAGAUCUCUCGUUGCAACAUAUAUGGUGGACACUCAAUUUGAAAGAAGGUGCAACCACCAACUUGCACGAGAGCCAUAUCAUGGUUUGAGGAGUAUAAUGAAAAUGAUGCAACUGCAAACUCUUAUGAGAGCCAUAUCAUGGUUGAGAAGUACAAUGAAGAUAGUGCAAUCAAAAAUUUGAAAAAGGUGCAAUCGCAAACUCCCAUGAGAGCCUAUCAUGGAUUGAGGAGUACAACGAAGAAGGUGCCACAAAAUGUCGAAAAAUGUGCAAUCGCAAACUUGCACGAGAGCCUAUCAUGGUUUGAGGAGUACAAUGAAGAAAGUGCAACUACCCACUUCAAUGAGAGCUUACCAAAACUCGAGAAGCCCUUUCAUUUAACUUCACAUUGACUAUUUAUUACUUCUCUCACUGUCUUCGAUCACACCAUUGUAAUCAAAUUUUUUUCUCUUGCUUUUAUUGCAAGUUGGUCCUAACGAAAUGGUGAUGGUCAAGGAAGUUACAUCUUCAAACAAAAGGUACCUCCUUAUCACUAAUAGCCAUGAUGACUCUGCUGACAAAGGAAUGAAAUUAUUGGUGCAUCCCUCUAUACAAGAAACUUACUCUGGUGAUUGGUUUUCUCACAAAUAUUCCGAAUUAAAGGAUUGGUCACUAAAAUUUUCUCAAGAUGAUGGUACAAAAGUUCACUCCUUGAAAUUCCUUAUCAUAAUAAGGAGCCAAGGACAAUUGGCAGGCGAAUCAUAGAUGAAGACACACACUGGGGUGCUUCCUUGAGAUUUAGUGAUGAAUUUGGUUAUAUCGAGAAUUAUUAGGAGCGGUUGGAAGAUAUUUUUGGAAAAAACAAACAAGUGUUUCGUGAAAAUUACUUGUUCGAUGUCUUAUAUGCUUCGCUUCUCAUAUAUAACAAAAAUUCUCAUGUGUUUAGAGCAUUUUGCGAGACAUGGUGCCUAAACACUAAUACCUUGCAUAUGUCAAUUGGAGAAUUAUCUCUCUCACUUUGGGAUCUGUGUAAAUUAGAAGGACUUCCAAUCAUCGGAUACAUCUAUGAAGAGGCGAUCCCAUGUGUAGAGGAACUAACUGGAGUUAAUGAAAAGAAGUUGAUGCAUAUUCCGCAAAAUUGUGAGUAUUUGUUCGCGGCUCUGCACUACCUUCAACAUGGAGAAUACUACAAUUAUGGAGUUUCUGCUAGCCAAUAGAUUAACUUUUGGUUUAAAGGCAACGUGAGGUAUUCAAAACCAAAACAGAGAAGGAUAAAGAGAGCAUCUAGUGCUUAAGCAACCCAAAAUCCAGAUGGAAAGAUUGGACAACCACGUAAUUUUUAAUUCAAGACAAUGGCAUAUAUGAUACCAUUGGAGACAAGUCUCACUUACGAGAAGAGACUUAUCUUGUAGCAUUUAUAUCUUGUUGACUCUACGUUUUUACUCUACCAGAUGAGGACGUCUAUUAUAUUAGACUAUCUACCUUCAAAAUGGCUAGCAUGAUGGCUGUCGGAUAUAAAACUUGCCUUGCUGUUCCUGUCUUGCUGAGUAUCUAUCACGGAUUCAAUAAAAUUUCAAAUUCAUCUACUCCAAGGUGUGCGCGUGCAUUUUUUUCAAUGCACUACGUGUAUGCUUAACUGGCGAGUUAUUUCUCUACCCAUUAUUCAACUCCGAAUAUCAUGCCUGGACCAACAAUUAUCAAUUAUUCUGGAAAGGGUGUGCACAAUAUUUUGAUGAAAAUAGUGCUUGCGACCUCAUUCAUCAAGGAGACAAAGUAACUUGGGGGACAACUUCUCUUGUGAAGAAUUAAAAUGAAUUUUUUGUUGAUGAUGGCAAGUUAGCGAACCCAGAACUGAUUUAUUUCGUAAGUGCUUGCUCAAAUUAUUUAGUCUUACAUGCUGAAGGAGAUUUUCUUGUUGAGCCAUACAGGUUUGCAAGGCAAUUCGAAUUUUAUCAAAACACCCCACAAGAACUGGGAGCAGAUGUUCAUUCUACAAAUUAUGACUUGAGUCAAAUACUUUGACACAUUGCUAUUCAUAAUAAGACAGAGUCGAAGGUAUUUUUUUCUAGUUACCCCUUGAAUGCUAACAAGCAUAUAUCUCCAGAUUUUCAAACAUGAUGUUUUGAUUAAGAGUGUCCAACCAAAUUUGAAACAGAAGAAAUCGAAAGGAAAGAAACUUGCAAAUUUGAAUAAUCCUGUCAAGGUUGGCAGUAAUCUUGAGGCGAAACAGAAAAUCACCAAGACUGUGAGGAUUGAGGAGAAAGCAUUGCAGAGCUCCAGCAACUCGUGAAAUUCUAAUUUUCAAUGAAGAAUUUUCGAAUGGUAAUUCAUUUUGUCUUCCUUCAAUAAUUGUAAAAGCCACCAAUCAUGAGUCUCGCAAUUCCAAUGAAAAGAAGAGGAGCAACUCUUUUGAUGAGAAGGAUGAGCAAUCUACUAGUACAGACUAGCACUAGAAGCAUAAGAAAUUCAAGGUAAUGACUUUCUCUUUGGAUGAUAUUGUUUUAGACCCUAAAGAAAUGUUUAAGGACAUUCUGGACAAAUAUGUGCUUGGUAUAAGUCAUGCCAAUAUUAUAAGAACAUUCUCUUGCCUUCUUUAGUUUGGCAUUUGAAAUUUACUUAUCAAUUUCAUAUUCAUGAUAUGUCUCAUAACAUUUUCCAUGUAGUUGAAUGAUCAAAACUUGAUUUUUAUUAAUGAUGGGAAAUCAAGCUAAGAAUUCGUUGAAGGACCCACUAUAUUUUAACUUUUAACAAAACAAGUGGUCAAUUCUACUCAAUAAAAGGGCAUCAUUGAAAAUUUCAAAAAGGCAGUGCAUGAUGAAAAUUCAGUUCAACAAAUCAUGCUACAGAAGAAAGAACAUGUGACUUCACCGGAGAAAAAAAAGUUCAAAAUUUUUGAUCCACAACCGUAGCCAAGGGCACCUCAAGUGUCUGAAUUUUGCCCCCAAACUAUGAUCUUAACAUGUCAUCGAGAUUACAUUCAAAUGCUCUGAAAUAAUUUGAAGGUGCUGAUAUCCGAAACAAUCCUGGAACGCAUUUCUGCUCUUAAGAUGAAAGCAAAUGAAAUCAUGGAGGAAAUGCAAAGUUUCAAUGCUAUGAAUAUUUCAAACUUGUAAGGCCUUUUAAAGCCUUUCUUUACAAAACCAAUUCGUUCUGUCGUAAUAAAGUCUUCUUUCUCAAAUAAAAUUUCAAUUGAAUCAUAUAAUGAGUUGUUUUCUAUAGCUACCCAACAUCUUAGAGAUGCUCAGAGUAAGGAGAAAUAAUAACUUAAAAAGUUCUCAACGUACAUGUUAAAAUUUAAAGAGAUUGACCAUGAGAAAAUAGAGCUAAGGAAAUGACUUGAAUCUAUGGGUACUCAUAGGAUGGAAAUACUUUCACUGCUACGAAAGAAACAAGACGAGCUUACCUAAAUGCAAGGCAAGAUGAUCAACUUAUGAAAUGAAAUUCAAAAGAUUGAAGAUUCCCUAUCUUUACUUGUUGAGGAGAGCCAAACAUUGAACAAAAUGCAAGCACUACUUGAAAGCAACUGCAAAAAACUGUCAUCAUUUGAACUUUAGAAUUAGUUACAAUCUUUUACUUUUUUCAAAUUUUAUUUAUUGUCACUUGCCUAUAUUAUAUAGCCACAGGCAUAAUUAAUUUUUUAUUUCACCAUGAAUCAUGAUUUUUUUUAUUUCAUGAUACUCUUGUGGAUAUUUCUUACUUUCCUUUGUUGCUUUCAUUAACCACCAUUUUAGACUAUCGAUUGCAAAAUAAACAAUUCAACAUUUGCAUAAUUUUAAUCACAUUUGAAGAGGUAAUUGUCUACAUAAUUUGAUAAUUUGAACAAUAUACUUUCAGGUGUAUGUUGCAAAGUAAUUUGAAUUGCCCUAAAGAGAAAAACUUUUUAUCUUUUAUUGCAUGACAUCUUUAUGGGGUUGUAACUGAAUUUCGAAGUUACCAUCUAAACUGUUUGCAUAUCCCAAAAGGGAAUAAAUUCACGUGUAGUUCCUACCAUCCACAGUUUAAUUUCUUGCAGGUCAGGAGUAUCUAUUUGCUUAUCACUUUAAACUUGGUGGAGUGUUUUAGUAGUUUAACCAUAUACUACACUAUUGGUGAUUGCCGUCCACAGUUUUAACUCAUAUGGACCAAGAGCAACAUGCAGUUUAGACUCAUGUGUCAUGAAACAACAUGCAGUUUAGGGUCAUGCGUCAUGUUGUCCUUUAUUUUUUUUAUGGCGUGUAUAAUCUUAAGAAAUUUUCAUUUAUGGGUCAACAUUUACACCAUUUUGUCAACUACCUUGUACGCGUUAUUUGUAUAAACAUUUCGGAUAAUAUAUGGUCCAUCCUAUUCGGAGACAAAUUUAUCUUUAGCAUGAUGAGUCAUAACUAUUGAUUUUCGAACGGCGAACACUAUGUCACCAAUUUGAAAGGAAUGAUGAUGAUAGCUUUAGAAAGGUAAGCCUGGUAGCAUUCAAGAUUUUGUUGAGUUUCCAAUUCCUUUUCAUCUAAAGUUUCUAAUUCUUUAAGAAGCAAGCAAAUAUUUUCUUUCUCCAUGAGCCCUUAUUGGAUGGCAAUUCUCAGAGAAAGAAUUUGUUGUUCAAGAAGCAAGACAACUUCUACACCAUAAACUAAGGCAUCAGGGGUGGCUUGCAUUGGAAUUCGAUAUGUGGUGCGAUAAACGCAGAGAGUUUCACCUAUCAUUUCAUGCCAAUCCUUCUUUGAUCUGGCCAUCACUUUUUUCAACAAGUUGCAUAGAGUUUUAUUGAAUGCCUAAACAAUACUGUUGGCAGGGACAUUAUACAUAAAGGACUUGCGAUGUUUGAAUUUAAAUUUCUCACACAACCUAUCCAUUAAACAGUUGAAGAAGGGUUUCCAUUAUCAGUGAUAAUGUGUUAGAGAAUUUCAUAACGAUAAAUAAUAUUUACACGAAUGAAAUUCACCAUAUCUUCUUUUCUCACUUGAGUGGUAUAGUUUCAUCCCAUUUAGAGAAGUAGUUGGUUGUAACCAAUAUAUAUAGAUGUUGUCCGAACGACUUAGGCAAUGGUCCAACAACAUUAAGGUCCCAGGCAUCAAAAGGCUAAGAAGUAAUAGUCAAAUGUAAUAGUUCGGGUAAUUGAUGAAUGUAAUUUGCAUAGAAUUGACAAGUUUGACACCUUUGAGCGUAUUCCAUACAAUCUUUGACCAUAGUAAGGCAAUAAUAGCCCAUCAUUUUAAUCCAAAAAUGCAACUUGGGACCGAAUUGGUGAGUUUGACAUAUUUCAAAAUGUGCCUCUUGCAUAGCUUGAUAUUCAUUAUCUUCAUUCAGACAGCGCAAGAAUACACUUUCAAAUGAUUUUUGAUAUAGCGUAUCUUUGUAUAAGAUGAAACGGGGGCACGACAAUAGAUAUCAAAUCUUUUAUGUUGCUCCUUAGGUACCUUUUGAUACUUGAUAUAAUUGAUAACAGGUUGUCUCCAAUCUUCUUUAUCAACUUCAUAAGUUGAGACGACAUAAGCAUCACCUUCCUCAAUAUUUUCAUUAUCAAAUAAUGGUGAAACUAUCCACUUUUGAUACACACGAACUUGUAUUUCAUAAUUUGACAUAGUCAGAGAAGAAGCAAGCAUAGCUAAUGCAUGAGUUUGCUUAUUUUCUCUUUUAGGGACAUGUUCAAUACUUGUACCUUCAAGUUACCUUAUAAGUUGCGUUGCAUUCUUGUGAUAUGGAAUUAAUUUAAAUUUUUUAACAUCAUAAUUUCCCAAGGGUUGACUAACGACUAAUUGUGAGUUGCCAUAGAUUUGAAACUCAAAUUAUUUCAUGUCAAUAGUUAUUUCAAGUCCGAAUAUGAGGGUUUGAUACUUAACGACAUUAUUUGAACAACGUUGAUUUAGAAUAAAGGAGUAUGGCAAAACUUCUUCAUCAGAUGUUGUAAAUACAAUUUUGACUCCAACUCCAUGACGAUGAGUAGCAGAUUUCAAUAAGGAGUACAUUUUUAUUUGGUAGAUCAUCACUUAACUCCCAUUCAACAAGUAUCGGGUGAUCAAUAAGAAAAUCUACUAGUACUUAACCCUUCACGGCCUUUUGGAAUACAUAAAUAAUUUUAAAUUAUUGUAACUAGGUACCAUUUAGCUAGACAGUUGGAUAGUGUUGGUCUACUUAUCACGUAUUUUAUGAAGUUUGCCUUGAAGAUGAGUCUCACACUGUGUGCUUGAAAGUAGUGUUUUAACUUCUAUAUUAUAAAAAUAAGAGUUAAACACAACUUUUCAAUCGGUGAGUAGUUUAAUUUAUUAGAGAUCAUCAUAAAUAAUAAAGGGCAGUUUCUUUCACUUCAUUAUUUUCUUGUGCAACCAAUACCUCCACUAAACGUUCUUGGGUAACAAUGUAAAGAAUUAAUGGCUUUCUAUAAAUAGGUUCAAUCAAGACAGAUGCCUUCAUGAGAUAAGAUUUAAUGCUAUUGAAUGUAUUGCUGUACGCUUCAUUCCAUUGGAAUGGUACACCUUUCUUCAUAAGGUGAUUAAAUGGUUGACACCUUUCAAUUAAAUUUGAGAUAAACCUCCACAGAUAGGUUAAUCGCUCUUGAAGGCUUUUUAUUUCUGAAUAUUGCGAGAUUCAGGCAUUCUCAAUAUAGCAUCAAUGUUGACUCGAUCAAUUUUAAUACCUCGAUGACAGACCACAAAAUCAAGAAACUUUCCUGAUGUAACUCUAAAUGCACAUUUGAGAGGAUUCAAUUUGAGUUGAUAUAUUUUCAACCGAUCAAAAUUUUGUUUCAAAUCCUCCAAGUGAUUAUUUCUUUUUUUUUUUAUUUAACAACCAAAUCGUCCAUAUAACAUUUAAUAUUUUUAUGAAGCAUGUCAUCAAAAAUAUUUUACAUUAAUCUUUGAUAUGUAGUUUUGAUAUUUUCAAACUAAAGGGUAUUAUGUUAUAACAAUAAAUACCCUUAGGAGUAUGAAAUCUAGUGAGUUAUUUAUCCUCAGGUGUUAUUCGAAUUUGAUUAUAGUUAGAAAAGCUAUCCAUAAACGACAAACCCUCAGACCCAAUAAUUGCAUUAAUCAUGAGUUUGGUGAUGGGUAGAGAAAAAUCAUCUUUGGAACAAGCACUGUUAAGAUCCCUAAAAUUUACGUAGAUGUGAAUUUGCCUGUUCUUCUUUCGUACAGACAUGAUAUUUGAAAUUCAUGUGAAAGACUUAAAUUCAUGAAUAAAUCCAUCAUCAGUGAAUUUAUUGAUUUCAACUUCGAUCAAAUAGACCAAAUCGGGUCUAAAUCACCAUUGUACUUACAUUACAGGUCGAACUCCCUUUUUAAUAGGUAAAUGGUGGACUGCUACUUUUGAAUUUAGACCUAACAUUUCUUUAUAAGUUCAUGUAAAAAUAUCUUGAUACUCUUGCAAGAACUCAACAUAUGUCUUCUCUUCAUCAGAAUUCAAUAAAGCACUUACCUAUAUAGGAUAUGGGUCCUGUGAAGUGCCAAAAUUGAUUUUUUAAGUCAUCUACAGUGGCCUUAACGCCUUGUUCAAAUUCAGGUGAAGCAUCUUCAACAUCUUCUUCUUCUCCAAGGGAAUUAUUAUCAAAUAUGGUUAUAUGGUUGUAUGAAACAAUACUUUCUUCAUCAUCUUCCUUUGAUCUUGUUUCUACAAUAGUAUGCUCUCUAACCUUUAGUUCAGUCCCAUAAAUUAUUAUAAGAUUUGUACAUCUCCUCAUUCUUGAGAGAAUAAUGUUACCAAACUUAUAAAUGUUAUGGGGACAAUCAAAAGAUUCUUCAAAUUCUUUCAGUGAUUUUGUCAUUCUCCAUUUAUUCUUAUGAGAAUUUUGAGACUUUUAUUUUCUUUGUGGUCCUAGUCUUUUGAAGACGAAUACUCACAGAGCCUUAUCCCUAUUUUUAUGAAAAACGUGUGACUUAUUGACUAUUUUAGAAGAUUCAUCUCUUAUAGCAAUAAAUUGACUACCAGCUCUAUUGAUUUUGAUGCGAAUUGGUACAGGUGAAAAAUAGUAAAGAUCAGAUUUAGAAUUCUUAACAGCAUAUCCUUUCCCUUUCAACAUCUUUUGAGUAAGGUUUAACCCAUAAGUCACAUCGCUAGUGGCUUGAGGAGGUUUCAAUACCAGAGAUUUCUUGAAAUCAUACCCAAUUUUGGUAAGAAGUUUAUAAGCAAUAUAAUCAAAAGCUUCAUUAAUUCUUGACGUCAGUAGCAUAUCUUGCUUGAUGUCAAACUCUUUAUUAAGAUGAUCAAACCCUUUGAUUAAAGGCGAUGGUAUAUUCGUAGCAUCAAGUUUAGCCACAGGAAGAGUUAAUCCUUUCAGAGUUUUGUGUGGAAUUGAAGAUGGUUGUCCUUGUCCCAAUCUUGACUUGGGAGGGUAUCCGAAGACAACUGAUUUAUUUUUUAACAAUGAGGCAUCAAUUUUUUUAUGAACUACCUCUUUUGAUUUUGGAAUCACCACUUUCUUCGUUUUGCACUUGAUGAUUCGAGAUCUUGGAUUUUAACCAUAGAUGGAGAUUGUUUAAACUCAUUCUUUAUGUUAUACUGAUUUAUUUUUUAACAAUGAGGCAUCAAUUUCUUUCUGAACUACCUCUUUUGAUUUUGGAAUCACCACUUUCUUCCUUUUGCACUUGAUGAUUCGAGAUCUUGGAUUUUAACCACAGAUGGAGAUUGUUUAAACUCAUUCUUUAUGUUAUAUUUUUGGAUAUAAAAUUUAGCAUUAGCGAUAUGCAUUUCUACUUCAGUGUAAAGAUUAUAAUCAGUUUUCACACUUUUUACCACUCCAUUUCGGUAAUACUUGAAAUAUUGGUGAAGAGUUGAAAGCACAACCCCAUUUUCAUGAAUCCAGGGUCUUCCCAGUAGCAUAUUAUUUAUUGUUUUAGUAUCUAUUACAUACAGUUGUGCUUUAGACAAUAUAUCAUCGAUAACUAUCUCUAAAUUUAACGAUCCAAUAGCUCUUUGCCCUCCUUGAUUAAGGUCUUGUAUUAUUAGUCAGCUUAUUGGAAAGUUUAUCAAUGGAGAUGCCAAAUUCCUUUAGAGUUUUUAAGACAAGGCUAUUGACAGCAGAACCUCUCUCUAUCAAAAUUUUAUUCACAUUUUAUUUUUUAGCAUAAACAGUUACAAACAAAGGACGGUUAUGUGAUGUUGACCCAAAAAACAAGUUGAUAGGGUGUUAAUUGUUAGUAAUUUUAUUGCUAUUUUUCCCCUUUGUCCUUGCCAAAUAUUAUUUUAAUUGUUAACAUAUACUUAUUUUUGGUAUUUGGACCAAUCUACAGGAAGUGGAACUGACAAAUGCUAAAAAGGAGAUUUUAUUGAGAAAAAUCCUUCACAUGCUAGAGCCUCCAGCGGAUAUACAAGUUGGGCCCACAUGGUGUUACAAAUUCGGUUGCUGAUGGGGAGCUCUUAUUAUUGGGAGUUGACUUGUACGUGUAGGAGUCCUCCUACCAAGAGGAAACAAGAAAAAAGGAAUUCGGCAGAGGCCCAUCUUUUGUACUUAGCUUUCUCAAUUCGGUAGGGACCAUGGACUAGAGGUUUUCAUUAGUGAUUGGACUUUAAAAGGGAAGAAACGUAUAGAGGCUUGGGGAUUAUUAUGAUUAGCGUAGCUUUAGUUUUAGUGGUUAGCUAGCGUUUCCUUUUCAUGCGCACGAGGUGCUCGACAAUAUUUUUCAACGGGAAAAAAAAACAUCUUUUACUCUUGCUUUCUAGUGAAAAACUUGAUGCCUUUGCAAUCAAUUAAUUUGCGUGGAGAUUUAAUUAUGCGGCGUGGCUAAGCCUUUUAUCUAGUCAAGGAUCAACUCGACGGCGCAGUCCCAAAUAUCUGUGAGAUCUAAUUAGUUUUCACGCGUUUCUUAAUUUGUUAAUAUUUGCAUGUUGCCUAUUUGAAUUUCCACGGGAUUAUUUUGUUAAUUGGAUAUCAAGAGCCCGAUGUUCAAUGUGACUUAUUAAUUUCCUGCCAAAUUAGUCAAUUAAAUCCGUAAUUGUUUGAUUGAUUAAUAUUAGUAGCAACUGACAUGUUUACACACUAGAAGAACGUGCAAUCUAAUUUAAAUAACCCUCGUAGCGUGUUAUUGAUUGGGAUUAGAUUUUUCUAGUUAUUAAUGCAAUUGGGAAAUUAAUUCAUACAGUUGUACCUAGGAGUAUUUUCUGGUUAGGAGUAAUCAUUGGUCGUACCUUGGUUAUCAAUAAAUUAAGGAAAAAUUGGUCGUUAGAAUUCGUCGGCGACUAUAACUAGCCUAUUAAUAAAUUAAGUGAACCUCCCUUGCAUCAAUGAUCGGGUAAGUGGACUGUGUCUGAGUAGUUGUAUUCUUAACUAAAAUUUAUCUAUUCUUGAUUUAAUUCCUGCCUAUAUUCGUGCUAAUUAAUUAUUUAUUUUUAGUGAAUUGCUUAAUUAUUUUUAGUUUUACUCCAAUAAAAUUCCUCUUUACCAAUUGGAAUCUCAAAAAGACAAAUAUUCUCAGUCCCUGAAGAGACGACCCUACUUGCCAUUGUCUACUAUUUAGUAAGUUUUGUCAACUAAUUAAUUUUGGUAUAUCGGAUUAAGCAAAUUUUUCGGGAACAGGGUGAAUUAAGUAACCUAUUGCACAUCUAGAGUCCCGGCUCUAAUAUCUAGGAUUCAUUAUUGACUGCUUUUAGUGGUAUUUAGGUUAUUAUUAUUAUUAUUGCACAGUCUCGACACCUGUCAAUUUUUGGCGUCGCUGCCAGGGACUGGCGUUAAUUAUUUGUUUUUUUAAGUUCAAUUUUGUUCUAAUUUUCUGGUAUUUUUUCUAAUUUAUGCAUCAUUCUUCUCGUAUAAGUGAAUUAAUUUUCGACCCUGAAGUAGAGAAGAUCGCGCGUAGAACGAGAAAAGAAACCAGACAAUUCAGAGAAGAGCACUCAAGUACUACAUCUCAGAGACUUGAGCCGGAAGUUGAACCGGCAAAUUCGUUUGGUAACACUUCGAGUGACUCGGAUCAAGAGAAACUCACCAUGGCAAAUGCACAAACAUUAAGGGAGUUGGCUGCUUCUAAUUUAAAUCAACAGCCUUUAUGCAUUGCUUUCCCAAGUUUGAAUGAUGACACCCUCUUUGAACUAAAAUCUGGUCUAAUUCAUCUCUUGCCAUCUUUUCAUGGUUUACCAGGUAAGGAGCCCUACAAACAUUUACAAGAGUUUGAUGUUGUUUGCAACAGUAUGAAACCCCCGGGAAUCACAGAAAAGCUGAUAAAAAUGAGGGCCCUCCCCUUCUCUUUGAAGGAUUCAGCGAAAGAUUGGCUAUACUACCUACCACCAGGUAGUAUCACCACGUGGGACCAGUUGAAAAAAAAAUUCUUAGACAAAUAUUUUCCUGCGUCUCGGGCCGCCAGCUUAAGGAAAGAGAUAUGCGGUAUCAAACAACACCCAGGCGAGUCUCUCUAUGAGUACUGCGAGAGGUUUAAGAAGCUGUGUAUCAAAUGCCCUCAGCAUCAGAUAAGUGAGCAACUGCUCAUCCAAUAUUUCUAUGAGGGACUACUCUUCACGGACUGGAGCAUAAUCGAUGUUGCCAGUAAAGGGGCGCUAGUGAACAAGACCCCUCGAAAAUCUUGGGAGUUGAUUGAGGGGAUGGCUGAAAAUUCACAGCAGUUUGGUGGGCAGUGGCGAUGGCGAAGGCUCGCGGGGGUGGAAGAGCCGUUGGCGCGACUGGGGCCGCGCGGCUGCUAGAAUCUAGUUGCAUCAGUCUCUGUGGUCCUUGGGAUCUUUGAUUCGGCUGUUCCAUAGCUUGUCGAUCCUUUGUUGCAUCCCUGUAGGCAUUGUAAUUCCUGUUGAUUGAGUUGUUAUCUAGUUUUUGAGGGCACCUCUAGUAGUUCCUUUAUUUGGGAGUUAUUUGGGGUUGAGUUGGGAGUUAUUGGCCAAUUGAUUCCUAUUUUGCUUUCGUCCUGUUUCUGGUACUGUAUGGUUUUGAUUGGGGGGUGUCUCAGUGGUUUGGGUUGCCUGUUUGAAUUGGUUCUUACCUGUGUGUGCACCAGUGGUACUGGUUGUGUUGGGAAUCCGUGACUGAUUUGUUCUUGUCCAAUUGAAGCCAUUUUGAGCAAUUUUGGGGUGAACACAUUUUGUCAUUAAUUGUUGAUUGUUGGGGGACGUUUUUGGUAACACUUGAGUUGAUAGGGUGUUAAUUAUUGGUUAUUUUAUUAUUAAUCUCCCUUUUUAUUCUUGCCAAAUAUUGCUUAAUUGUUAAUAUUUACUCAUAUUUGGUAUCUGGACUUAAUUUCAGGAAUGAAGUAGAAAACUACCAAAAAGGAGGGAUUUUAUGGAGAAUAUGGAAACUUCUAAGGGCUUCAAUUCUUGGGCCCUUGAAUUGGUGGGGACCACAAGCUAGUGAAAGGCAUUUAGUCAUUUGAGCUCUUCAAAAGAAGCUACGUAUAUUUUAUUUUAUUUUAUUUUAUUUAUUUUAUUUAUCUCUUAUUUUUUUUUAUAUAGUUUAUGGCUUCUAACACUUCGUAUUUUGGUGAUAUACUGGAUUUUGUUUCCGGGAAAGGCAAUGUGACUAGUUUUUUUGCUAAGUCUGCAUAUGCAGAGGCACUAAACUCUAUUAGAGAAAGAAUGGCUGCUGCAACCUGUAAAAUUUGUUAUACCAGGGAUCAUUCAACCGGUAUGUGCCCCGAAUAUCAAGAUAAUCUGAGUGUCCCAUUCGAUAAUUAUGGAGAAUUUUCACCCUGGUCUCAAACGUGGUACGACCCUAAUCCAAACGGGUAUGAUCAAGGAUGGUGGGAUAACUCCAAUUAUAAUUAUACAACGGGACCAAUGAAUUUUCAGCAGUAUGAGUCUCAAGAAUCGUCAUCUAUGUCAGGUAUGUCUCUUGAAGAAAUAGUUGAACCAAUAGCUACUAACACAUACCAAUUCCAACAGGAGACACAAAUGAGGAAUGAGAUGAUGAAGGAUGCAAUGAGUUAUCUGGCAGAUCAACUAUGUCUAUUGACAUCCAGAAUAAAUCGAUGGGCUUCUCAAAUGGAAGAACUGCCCUCGAAAACCAUUGUUGACCUAGAAGAAAAUGAGAGUGCAAUUUGCUUGACUAGUGAUGAGGAGAUGCAAGAGUGUCAAAAUGAAAAAUCUACAGAUACAGUUGAAAAAGAAGCCGAAAAGGAAGAAAUGGAACCCCAACCGCAACCCAUUCAAGUGAAAGAAUCCAGUGAAGAAUCAUCAAAUGUGGUGACACCACCUCCAUUCCCUAACCCGCAUUUUUUCUAACUCUUACUCUAUGAUUUCUGUUAAUGAGAUUGAUUUUGUUAUACCGGAAGUUUUUGAGUCUCAUGGCAGAAAUAAGUUGAGAGUGGAGAUGGCGAAAUAUCUUGAACCGUUGAAUGCUCUUGAUGGAGGAAUGGAUGAAGAAUUGCGAUCAAUGCUUGAUUAUGUGGCGCCAUCAACUAGUCCAUGGAAGCCCGUGGUUCGUGUGCUCAAAGAUUACUCCAUCUAUGAGGGUUACCAGGAUCAUAUUGAAGAUGAAGCAUUGAAGCGAGCUACAAGAUUUUAUCCUCCAUGAACAAGACAUAACAAUGUCUAGCCAAAGACAUUAAAGAAAGGCGUUUUUUGGGAGGCAACCCAAAUAUUGAUUUUAUUAUUUUUAGUUGUUCAAUUCUUUCGUUCUGUUGUUUCUCAUUUGGAUAGUAGUUGGUCUUGAUAUUUUUCUCCACUGUGAUCAGGAAGUGAAAUCUUGGCGUGCCCACGCGGUGUUUAGGUCUCCUGAGAUCAGAGGACGAACACCAAUCUUGGCGUGCCCACGCGGUGUUUGGGUCUCCUGAGGUCAGUGAAUGUUUUGUAAUCUUGGCAUGCCCACGCGGUGUUUGACGACCCAAAACAUGAAAAAAAAAAAGUUUCAAAAUUUCACAUUGAGAAAAUUCAAAAAUUCAAAAGGCAUUUUUCUUUUUCUUCAAAAAUUCAAAUUUUGGAAUUUCAAAUUCAGGAAAAAAUUUGAAAAAAAAACAUUGAGAAAAAAAAACCCAAAAAGAAAAAAUUAAGAUUCAAAAAAAAAAAAAAACUAUUUUUUUUUCUCUCUUUUUCUUUUUCUCUUUUCUUUUUCUUUUUUCUUUUCUUCUUUUUUCUUUCUUUCUUCCUUCACCACCGCAGCAGCUACCCCACGCGACUCUCCUCCGCCUACCCCAGCGCACAGCCCAGGCCACGCGCUCCCUCCUUCCUGCAGCCCGUCGACGAAGCCCACCAGCCACCACCAGCAGGCCGCGGCUCCUUCCCCCUUGCGCGGCCACAGCUCGCGAACCACCUCUCCCACAGCGCGCGGCCUUCUCCCUUAUCUUUUGGCCGCGCGUCAUUGGCUCGCCCAAGGGCAGCCGCCGCCGCCGUUCCUCACAGUCAAGCAAUCGCAGGCCAAAGCCCACAACCCCAGCCGGCGCCGCCCGCAGCUCCUCGUGCGUGACAGCCGUGCGACGCCGCGCCUCCCUCAGCAACAGCUCCAAGCUCCAGCUCACUCGCAGACAGCCGCGCGAUUCUCAGCCAUUCACCUCGCGCGACCCCGAGCGCACAAUUCCGCGUGCCGCCAUCGAAGACCGCCGCGCCUCUCCCUCAGCCCGCCAUUGCGCCCCACCACUGUCCCGCUGUCUACGGUUGGGCACAAGGGAGGUACUUUUAAAAGAAAUUUUUAAUUUAAAUACGAGAAUGUCAAUUUCUAAAUUCUGGGGCUGUUUAGUGAUUGUUUGGAUUUCUUGGUGGAUUUGGUUGGCCGUCUGAUUAAAUUCUUCCUUGUGUGAUAACCAGUGGUACUGGUUGGGGUCUUUCGACCAUAGUUGUUGCUUAUAUUUGGUCAGAUGUCUGCUUGUUUGAAAGUUCACGUUCUUGUGAUUGAGUUGUUGCUCAAAUUCUGAUCUGCUGUUGCUAGAACUUUUGGUUGGUUGAGUUGUGCAAUUGACUGUCCAAUUGGAGACAGUUAUUGAGAUCUUAGGUGGGAUGGUGUCCAAUUGCUAAAAUUUGUUGCUUUGUUUCGUCACUCGCACUGCUCCUAGUUUGUUCGAGUGAAAUUGGUUGGAUGUUCUUUGCCCGUGGAGUGUAACUGUUACAUUGUUUGGGGCAGUUUUUUGGUAUUGAUUGAAUUGUUGGGCGUAAAUUGCUCAGGACUUUACAUUGCUAAUUUGGUGGGCCAUUUAUUGUGCAUUACCCUUUUGAAUUGGGAGAUACCUGUGCUUAUUGGGUUUUGACUACUUGAGAUUUCUGUUGCAUCUGGGGGAUAAAAUUUGAUGACUUUUGUGCCAGUUUAUUUGUUUGGAAAUUGUUGGGGGUAAUUUGGGAGUUACUUGUCAAUUGGGUCCCGUGUUACCCUCUACCAUUCAGUGGUACUGAUUGGUGUGUUUGGCUUUAUCACAUGUCUUGGGUUGGCCAUUUGAUUUCAAUUUUCCUUGUGCAUGCACCAGUGGUACUGGUGAGGGUAGUUUACAUAAUAUUUGUUACUCCUGUGUUAUUGGUUGCCUAAUCGACUACUGGGCAUUUGUGGUUGAAUUGUUUCUGUCCAACUUCUGAACUGUUGUUGCUGGAGUGCCAUUUUCUUGGGUCAAUUGCUGAUUUUAGCAAGUUGAAGUGGGUAAUUGACUGUCCAAUUGGAGACAGUUGUUACGAUAUUGGGUCCGAUUGUGUCUAAUUGCUGGAAGUUGUUGAUUUAUUAAGACACUAGCACAGUUCCUAGUUUGUUCGAGUUGCUGUUCUGUUGCAUUAUUGGGAGCUGUGCUCUAGUAUUGUGGCUACUUUCCUGCGUUUAUUUGUUGAAUUGGGAUAUGAAUGUGCCUAUUGCUCAUUUUGUUGCAUCUAAUUGACUUGCUUGGGGUAAUCUGCCCAUCAAUUUUAAUUACUCAAGUCUUUGGAGCAGUUGUUGCACAUUUGGACUACUUUGUUUCUAUAUCUGACUGAAUUGGGACCACAAGUGCUUAUCAAUUGCAUUUGCUAUAAGUAUUGGGGUAUUCGUAUAGAUUUUAGGAGCCUGCAUUGUGCAUUUUAUUGUUUGGGUUGCCUACUAGUUACCAUGGUGAAGCCACGAUCCUCCCCCAGGGGCCGAUGACUGGCUCCAACUUUCGAUGACAGUUGAGAGACUGGAGACUCGAGUGACCCACAUUGACAUCGACUUGCAUAACAUGGCGCAGAAUUUGGCAGCACUCCGCCCGACCCGCCCCUGUUUUGACAAUUUCAAGGAAGUACCGUUGCCCUUCUCUUUACUUUUGUUGUUGGUUUAUCACAUUGAGGGCAAUGUGUGAUUUAGGUGUGGGGGGAUCAGUUUGGGUGCUAGUAUUUUUAGUUUUUAGGUUCUAGAGGUUUUUCUUUUGUUUUAGUUUGAUAUUUAGUUCUUUUUUUUUCGUCUAUUUUAUUUUAUUAUUAUUAUUUUUUUUUCUUUCUCCUUUUUUCUAGUGGUCAGUCUUCAUAUGAAUACCAAGUUUGAUACUGGAUUGUUGUCUCUAAUUCUGCUAUUGCCAAGUCUUAUUAAUAAAAGGGUAUUAAGUUAAUGUGCUUGAGUUCAGGAAUAUCUCUUUGGUGAAUAUCGGUAAUUGCUUAACUUUUUCAAUUUUUGGUUAACUUUUCUAGGCAUAGGGAAUGAUUGUUGGCAUUUUUCAUGUGAAUUGGUUCAGUUAUUAAUUUUAGUUCUCCAUGUCUGGAAAUUUGAGGCUGGCUGCUGUUAAUCUUAUGUUGCUUUUAGAUAUCGUGUUAUAUGGUUGUAAAUAAGAGUUGACUGUACUCCGCUAGUGGUUACUACUGAGUAACCGGGGAUUUUCACCUAAAGUGUCGAUUCUCGCGUCAAAAGGUAGUAGUUGCUAUGAAUGCGUGGUCCUGUAGCGAUCGGAGCUGAGUAACCGGGCUCCUCCAUCUGAUAAAUGUUGGAGUUCGCGUCAAAAGGCUCUAAAUGGCUAGAGACUAAGUCUUUUGCUAUUCCCAAAAAAAAAAAGAAAAAAAACAAGUAAAGUUUGUGUUAGUAUUUAAAAAAAAAAAAAAGAAAGUCAGCUUGCCUAUUUGUGAUCUUAAUGUCGAGAUUUUGGUUAAUAGAUGGACCAUUUGCUGAUAAAUGUGAGCAACCAUUCCUUUUCCUUAGAUUAGUUUGCUUCAAAUUGAAGGAGUUGGUGGUUUAGAGGCUAAUCGGGGUGAUUUUUCUUGGAUGUUGACCUGUGAUGCUUGAUAUUUAUUUUUCUUGGACAUCUUGGCAAUACGGUAGUUGGAGUAACAGCCAUGGUCAACUUUUGGUGUUCAAUUGUUGUUCCCAUACUUGAGGGCAAACAUGAUUUAGGUGUGGGGGGAAUUGAUAGGGUGUUAAUUAUUGGUUAUUUUAUUAUUAAUCUCCCUUUUUAUCCUUGUCAAAUAUUGCUUAAUUGUUAAUAUUUACUCAUAUUUGGUAUCUGGAUUUAAUUUCAGGAAUGAAGUAGAAAACUACCAAAAAGGAGGGAUUUUAUGGAGAAUAUGGAAACUUCUAAGGGCUUCAAUUCUUGGGCCCUUGAAUUGGUGGGGACCACAAGCUAGUGAAAGGCAUUUAGUCAUUUGGGCUCUUCAAAAGAAGUUACAUAGAGAGACUUGGAGAAAGAAGUACUUUGGAGGCUUUGUCCAUAUGUGUGGGGACCACCUAGAUAGCUUUUAGUCAUCUUUCUUUUGUUGCUUUAAAAGGGGACAACGUACAGAAGCAAAGGACAUCUAGGGCUUUAGUUUUAGUUUUUUUAGUUUAGUUCUAGUUUCCUUUCUUUGGACUGGCCUCUGACACACGCCAGGUGUUCGACAAUAUUCCCCAACGGGAAGAUUUUCUCAUGAGGCGUGGUUAAGCUUUUCUAGUCAAGGGGACAACUGACGAUUUGGUUCGACAAUUACUGUGAGAUCGAAUCUGUUUUAAUUAUUUUCUUCAUUUAUUGGUAUUUAUAUGUUCCUUGAUUUUAAUUGCUAUGGCCUUGUGUAUGAUUGAUUAGUGCGCAAUAAUUAAUUAUUCAUAUAGGCUAUUUUUGCUAAAUAGGGGUAAUUGAAUCCGUAAUUGUUCGUUAUCUCUACCUCAGUAGCAACUGGCGUAAAUGGGUUUAUGUCAGGGGAGCAUAUGAUCUAAUUUAAACAAACCCUCGUAGCGUGUUUGUUGGUUAGGAUUGGGCCUUUCUAAUUAUUAAUGCAAUCUAGAAAUUAAAUCCUACGGUCGUACCUAGGGUUGUUUUUGGGUUAGAGAAAUAGCUAACGGUCGUACCUUAGCUAUCGAGAAAUUAAGGAAGGGUUGGUUGUUUAUCGCGUGCAUGACAACUAUAACUAAUCUAUUGCUAAAUGUUGGAAUUAUUUCUGCAUCAAUGAUCAGUGCAUGAACCAUUUCUGAUGUGUACCCUUGGCUAGAGUUUCCCCAAUCAUUUCUUUUAAUUAAUUAUUUUCUGCAGUUAAUUUAUUUAGUUAGCAUUUAAUCCAAAACCCCCCAUACUUUGGACUCUAGAAGAAACGAAUUAUCCCCAAUCCCUGUGGAUUCGACCCUACUCACCGCUAUAUACAAAAUCUGUAUCUUUAUUGAGUAGGUAUUUAUUAUUGUACAGGUUCGGCACCUGUCAAUUUUGGGGUGAACACAUUUUGUCAUUAAUUGUUGAUUGUUGGGGGACGUUUUUGGUAACACUUGAGUCUAUUUUGCUGAGUUCUGUUGAUAGAGCAGUUAUUUGGCACAUUUUACAGUGUUAUUUUGUCCUAAUUUUGGCUAUUCAUGGUGUUAAGAAUUGGAAUAUCACUCAUAUUUGAUGUUUGUGUGAAUUGUAGGUGGUCGGCAUUAAAAAUGACCUCUCAAGGCAAAUUUCUAGAAGACUCUUCGUCUCAGAGCAUGGCCACGCCAGAGAAGGUCGAUGUUACCGAAAAGCCGGACCCCGGUCCACGUGAACCGCAAGGAGCACGGGAUUAAAGCUCUAAAAGGCUAGCUUUUGUUUCAAUCAAUUGGGUCAGACAUGACUUGGCUCCUAGAGGCUUCAAUUAAAAAAGAAAAGAAAGGGCCAGACGUCGAGGGAAUGAGAAUGAGGAAACUAGGUCUACAUGGACCAGCUACACGGGAUAAAAACUCCAAUGAAGAGAAGAGCUCUGCUCCGCGUGGAUUUCCCCUGCGGCACUAUAUAAGACAACAAAAAAGGUGAUGCAGCGGAGAAUAUAGAUUAGCUUUGAUUUUCUUUUCGAGAGGGGUCAGGCGAUUGCAGACUUUUGUAGCUUUUCGGUUGUGACACUUGGACUCCUUGGCUUUUGUUUUGACUCUGCACAAUUUACGUUAGUUUUUGUUCGUACACUUGCGGCACCAAAGCAAAGACGAAGGCAGUGCCUUCUCUGUUGUUACUGCAAUUAAUUCCCCUUCCCCAAUUUUCGGCGAAUAAUUGAAUGAAUUCAAUUAAAUCACGCGGGAUUGACACGAUAAGGAGCGGCUAAUUUUCUCCUCUACCCAAAGGUUGACGCGAAGGCGCGGUCCAUAAUAUCUGUGAGAUCUAAUCGAAUUUUCAUUAUUUCUUUCAAUUUAUUGCUAUUCGUACGUUUCCUGAAUUAAUUGUUCAUGAGUAUUUUACUAAUUGAAUAUCAACGGCCGGGUAUUUGAUUUAAUUUAAUAGUCUACUGCCACGUUAAUUAAAUAGAAUCCGUAAUUGUUCAUUUAGUUAACACCUCGUGGCAACCACCAUAAUUGGCUUUAUGAUGGGAAAACGCAAGAUCUAAUUUAAAUAAACCCUCUUAGCGUAUUUAUUGGUUAGGGUUGGAUUCUUCUAGCUUUAAUGCAAUUGGGUAAUUAAAUUCUCACGGUCGUACCUAGGGUUGUUAUCUGGUUAGAGAAGCAGUCAAUGGUUGUACCUUGACUAUCGAAAAAGUAAGGAAGAACUGGUUGUCAGAGCUUAUUGAUAACUAUAACCAACCUAGUGAUGAAUGGAUGAAAUACCUUUGCAUUGAUGAGCAUCUGUCUUGAGUCCAUUGAAGUGCCGUUGGUUGAGUAAUUUCUGCGUCUUUUUGUUGAAUUGGAAGGCUAUUGUGACACUUCCAUUGCACUUUCGGAAUGCAUUGUUUCUGUAUUUGACUAAAUUCAGGCCACCAGUGCUUCUUGAUUGCAAUCACUGUGCUGUUGGGGUAUUUGUACAGCUUUGAGUACCUGAAUUGUGUUUGUGUUGGUUGGAGUACCAUUUAUAGAGAAUGGUGAGACCUAAAUCCUCCUCUAGGUCUAGGACACCUAGAACUUCUCAGCCUCCUCCCACCCUAGGGGCUAACGAUUGGCUCCAACUCCGAAUGCAAGUUAAGAGACCGGAGAUUCGAGUGACCCACAUUGACAUCAACUUGCAUACCAUGGUGCAGAAUUUGGCAACAAUUAUGCACCAUGCGGGUCUUGUUCCUCAGUUUCCGUCUGACCCACCCCUGUUUUGACGACUUCAGGGAAGCACCGGUGCUCUUUUGCUUACUUUUGCUAUUAAAUUAUCACAUUGAGGGCAAUGUGUGAUUUAGGUAUGGGGGGGAUCAGUUGUGGUACUAGUAUUUCCAGUUUUUGAUUUUUAAGUGUUUUUCCUUUGUUUUUAGUUUGAUAUUUUUCUCUUUUUCGUUUAUUUCUUUUAUUCGUGAUCAGCUCUUAUUUGAAUACCAAGUUUUGAUGUUGGAUUGUUGCCUCUAAUUCUGCUCUUGCCAAGUUUUAAUAAUAAAAGGGUAUCAAGUUAAUAUGGUUGAAUUCAGGAACAUCUCUUUGGUGAAUAUCAAUAAUUGCUUAACUUUUCCAAGUUUUGGUUAACUUUUCUAGGCAUAGGGAAUGAUUGUUGGCAUUUUUCAUGUAAAUUGGUCCAAUUAUUAAUUUUAGUUCUCUAUGUUUGGAAAUUUGAGGCUGACUGCUGUUAUUUUUAGUUAUUGUGUUAUAUGAUUGUAAAUAAUAGAUAACUGUACUCCAUUAGUUGUUACUACUGAGUAACCGGGGAUUUUCACCUAAAGUGUCGAUUCUCAUGUCAAAAGGUAGCAGUUACUAUGAGUGCGUGGUCCCGUAGCGAUUGGAGCUAAGUAACCGGGCUCCUCCAUCUGUCAAAUGUUGGAGUUCGCAUCAAAACGCUCUAAGGGUUAUAAACUAAGUCUUUUGUUAUUCAAAAAAAAAAAAGAAAAAAAGAAGCAGAAGAAAACAAAAGAAGCAGAUUGUGUUAGUAUAUGAAAAAGUCAGCUUGCCGAUUUGUGAUCUUAAUAUCGAGAUUUUGGUUAAUAGUUGGACCGUUUGCUGAUAAAUAUGAGCAACCAUUCCUUUUUCUUAGAUUAGUUUGCUUUAAAUUGGAAGAGUUGGUGGUUGGGAAGCUAAUCGGGGUAAUUUUUCUUUGAUCUUGACCUGUGAUGCUUGAUAUAUGUUUUUCUGGAUAUCUUGGCAAUACGGUAGUUGGAGCAAUAGCCAUUGUCAAAUUUUGGUGUUCAAUUUCUGCUCUCAUGCUUGAGGGCAAGUAUGGUUUAGGUGUGGGGGGAAUUGAUAGGGUGUUAAUUGUUAAUAAUUUUAUUGCUAUUUUUCCCCUUUGUCCUUGCCAAAUAUUAUUUUAAUUGUUAACAUAUACUUAUUUUUGGUAUUUGGACCAAUCUACAGGAAGUGGAACUGACAAAUGCUAAAAAGGAGAUUUUAUUGAGAAAAAUCCUUCACAUGCUAGAGCCUCCAGCGGAUAUACAAGUUGGGCCCACAUGGUGUUACAAAUUCGGUUGCUGAUGGGGAGCUCUUAUUAUUGGGAGUUGACUUGUACGUGUAGGAGUCCUCCUACCAAGAGGAAACAAGAAAAAAGGAAUUCGGCAGAGGCCCAUCUUUUGUACUUAGCUUUCUCAAUUCGGUAGGGACCAUGGACUAGAGGUUUUCAUUAGUGAUUGGACUUUAAAAGGGAAGAAACGUAUAGAGGCUUGGGGAUUAUUAUGAUUAGCGUAGCUUUAGUUUUAGUGGUUAGCUAGCGUUUCCUUUUCAUGCGCACGAGGUGCUCGACAAUAUUUUUCAACGGGAAAAAAAAACAUCUUUUACUCUUGCUUUCUAGUGAAAAACUUGAUGCCUUUGCAAUCAAUUAAUUUGCGUGGAGAUUUAAUUAUGCGGCGUGGCUAAGCCUUUCAUCUAGUUAAGGAUCAACUCGAUGGUACAGUCCCAAAUAUCUGUGAGAUCUAAUUAGUUUUCACGCGUUUCUUAAUUUGUUAAUAUUUGCACGUUGCCUAUUUGAAUUUUCAAGGGAUUAUUUUGUUAAUUGGAUGUCAAGGGCCCGAUGUUCAAUAUGGCUUAUUAAUCUCCUUCCAAAUUAGUCAAUUAAAUCCGUAAUUGUUUGAUUGAUUAAUAUUAGUGGCAACUGGCGUGUUUAUACACUAGGGGAACGUGCAAUCUAAUUUAAAUAACGCUCGUAGCGUGUUAUUGAUCGGGGUUAGGUUUUUCUAGUUAUUAAUGCAAUUGAAAAAUUAAUUCCUACGAUCGUACCUAGGAGUAUUUUCUGAUUAGGAAUAAUCAAUGGUCGUACCUUGAUUAUCAAUAAAUAAAAGAAAAAUUGGUCGUUAGAAUUCGUCGGCGACUAUAACUAGCCUAUUAAUAAAUUAAGUGAACCUCCCUUGCAUCAAUGAUCGAGUAAGUGGACUGUGUCUGAGUAGUUGUAUCAUUGGCUAGAAUUUAUCUAUUCUUGAUUUAAUUCCUGCCUAUAUUCGUGCAAGUUAAUUAUUUAUUUUUAGUGAAUUUUUUAAUUAUUUUUAGUUUUACUCCGAUAAAAUCCUCCUUUAUCAAUUGGAAUCUCAAAGAGACAAAUAUCCCCAGUCCUUGAGGAGAUGACUCUACUUGCCACUGUCUACUAUUUAGUAAGUUUUGUCAACUAAUUAAUUCUGAUAUAUCGGAUUAAGCAAACUUUUCGAGAAUAGGGUGAAUCAAGUAACCCAUUACACACCUAGAGUCCCUGCUCCAGUAUUUAGGAUUAAUUAUUGACUGUUUUUAGUGGUAUUUAUAUUUUUAUUAUUAUUAUUGCAUAGGCUCGACACCUGUCAAUUUUUGUGAUGUUGACCCAAACAACAAAGGACGGGUUAUGUGAUGUUGACCCAAAUAACAAGUCUUCACUAGUGAAUGUGAUAUUUGUGAUAUCCACCUCUUUAUUACCAGUGGGCACGUGAGUUAUCUCACAAGGAGAUUCGCGAGUAUCAUCCUUUGUUCUUCAAUAUCAUCAACUUGCGUUGUGUGACAUGAGACCAUAUCAAUAUCAAAGAAUCUUUUAGAUAUGAAUUCUUUUAAAAUGAUAGAAACUCGCGACUUUUGCUUGAAUACUUGAUUUUCUUGAAGAUUGUGAUUAUUAUUAUUUUUCUCUAUAUUCUUCUCUUUUCUCUUCCAGACCAUUCUACUUCUUGUUAAGGCCUUGUUUACCUUAUUAGAUGGACGAGAGUUUCAUCUUCAUCUUCGCGUGAUCAGAGUUCAUCCAUCAUCAUCUACGUCUGAUUGUAAUGACUUCUCAUCUUCAUAUUCAUAUUUUUGAAGAGCUGAAGGGGCGAUUUUUUGUUCAACUUCUAUAGGAUCAAAUGAUCCAAAUUGAAUGGUUGGCAAUAUAGGUAUCGUAAACUUUUCGACUUCCAUGGACUGUAGUGAAUCAACGGAGGUUUGAUUCAUACUUGCUUUGUUUUUUUCAAGAAAAUUUUUUUCUUGUCUUGCCAAAUCCAUCAUCUCAUCUUUAAAGACAAAGUAUUUUUGAAUGGGAUGUCCAACCAAGCAAUGAUACUUGAUUUGGAUCAUCCGUAUUACUAAUCUCGUCAAGUCAGUUCAUCUUGGAAGCAUGAUCAAGUUCAUGCUUAACAAAUUAUCAAAUAUACUAGGAACAUCAGAAUCAAGGAAAUUGUACUUCUUGUUUUGCAUCUCCUUGAGUGUUGGUUUUUUCUUUCCUUCGUCUUGAUGCAUACUGGUUUUCUUGUCUUCUCUUUUAGCAGUUCUGAGAAUAAUCUUGAAAGGUGUUAUACUUGCAGCUAUGGCCUCUUUCUCACUUUGAUUGGGGGCUUGCCUCCUUUCCUCACUUCUUGUUUCUCCUUAGCCUUGCGAGAAUCAGGAAUUGGCGGCUCUUGUCCAUCAAGGUUAAUUUCUAUCUUAUGAGUUUUUGGGGAUAAUUCAUCAAAUAUUUCUGGUUAUACCCCUUACAAGAUAUAUCUGAAUCCCCAAUGCAAGUCUUGAAUACACAUCUCAAUAGCGGAAGACUCGAAAAUUCGAUCCUUACAGUUUAGGCUUAGAUUUUUUCGAGCGAUUGAUAAAGUUAAUAACAUGUUCAUUCUUUCACUAGCACAUAUUUUAGAGUUCAAUUAUGCUGACAGUCCUUUUCGUGCUAUAGAAGCAAUUAAGGAAUUCCUACUCUAAUUGCUCCCAACUGUCAAUGCUGCUAGAUUCUAAAUCUGUGUACCAAUCAAACGUGUUACCCUUCAAUGAGUGAACAAAUUGCUUAACUAGCAAGUCACCAUUAGUGCCAGCAUUGUUACAAUUUUCGACAAAGUGCGCAAUAUGUUGUUUAGGGUUACCUUUGUCAUCAAAUUAUUGAAACUUUGAAAAUUGAAAUCCUACAAGCAUCUUCAAACAUUUACUCUUGUGGUGUAAGGUUUGAUAUAAUUGCUAUAUGACUUGGUAUUUCCACCAAUCUUGUCCUUGAUCGUACCUUUGAUAAACUCCUUUAAAUUAUCAACAUGAAUGGUACUAUCAGGAGAGAUUGAAAACUCCUUCAUUAUUCGUGACUUGGUAUCCUCUUUCUCUUUCUUCCUUGAUGAUGAGUUACCUUCAUAUUUUUUACCAUGGCCAUUAGUUUGGCUAUUUUGGCAUCUUGACUUUGCACGUGCCCUGCUAGCCCUUCGACAAUUUGGCAAGAUUUGAAAUUUGAUCUCUACGGUUGUGGUGUUAGUCAUCAUGAUGGGCAUUACCACAGAAGUAGCUAAAUUGCUUGAGCUAUCAGCAGAUUCAUCAUGGACUCCCUUCUUGUUGGGAAAAAUCUCAAAAUUUUUUCUUUCAACCACAGCAUUCGCCUUAACCCUAUCUACUAAUUUCUUAGCCUUGCUCCUUGUCAUAGGUGUAGUAUACUGCAUCUCCUGAGUUGUUGGGAUGCCAGCAACUGAGCCUUCAAGAGCAAAACUCAUCUUCUUGGACUCCAUUGAUUCUUGAAACAAGUAAGCUAUUCAAAGAAAAGAGAUGAAAAACAGAGAUGGUCCCACCAGACGUGUCAUAAAAUUUGUGAGCAUAAAUUUUGUUGCCUAAAAUAAAGACAAGAAAAUUUGCAUAAAUAUCAAAUUUAUUAAAUCAAAUAAUAAAUGGGUUAUAAUUUUUGAAAAUUCUUGAAUUAAAGAUAUUAAUCUUCUAAUUCUUCUCUUCAAAAACUUCAAUUGAAGGGUUGAAAAGACUUGUUUACCGAUCAAGAGGGUGUUUCCUACGAUUUUGACAUAGAAAACCGCUGAUUUGAUGAUGACGUUAAAUAGUUGAUGUUGGGUUUGGAUUUUAUUCCACCAAUCGUUCAUUUUGUUGGAUUUGAGUUUUAUACCACCAACUGUGGGAUAAAACCCAAUCCCAAUAAAAUGAACGGUUGGUGGGAUAAUACUCAAAUCCAAUAAAAUGAAUGAUUGGUGGGAUAAAAUCCAAACCCAACACUUGUAUCUUUAAAUCUUCAAUGUCGAUAGAAGGAGGAUUUAUUUUAACUUGAUUUGGAUUUGAAUUUAAGGGAAAAUGCUCUCGAGAGAAUUUGACAGAAUUUCUUCAAAAUUUAGAAAUUUCAAUGUGUUUUUGUACUAAGAGAAUACCUUUAUUUAUAGGCAAAAUAUGUAGAUUAUGUCUUCAAGAAAAUUCUCCAGAACCUUCUUGCGUUUGGGUAACUUGUACCUCAAGAAACUCAUUUAACUUAGGUUUAAAUAGUGGGCCUAUUCAAAUAAUCCAUUGUGAAUUAAUACAUCAAUUAAUCCACUUUAAUUUAAAUGGGUAACACAUUGAUUUGAUUUGAUUUAAUAGCCCAUAUAUCAUUGGUCUAUUUUGUCAAUCAAAACAUAAUAGACUGCUAUAAUUUAAUUUAAUGUAAUCAAGAUCAAUUUAAUUUAUUUAAUCUUGACUAAAUAAAUUUUCUUUGUCUACAGCAUGUACGUGUAAUUUUCCAAAUAAUGAUACUUUUCAAAGAGAGUUUUCAAAUAAUGAAAGUUCUAAAACAAGGCAUUCACCGAAUGCGUGAAUGUAUCUUUUUAAACAACGCAUUUAGUCAAUACGUUUUUAAGGAAAAAUGCCUAUACAAAUAAAAGAAUGAAUUCUAUAAAUGUGUCUUUUGAGGAAACAACACAUUUACUAAGUACGUUUUUUCACUCUUUGGGAAGAAGUUCAAAAAACACCACCAUUUGAAAGGUAAUUUUAGAAAAUCCCACUUUUUGAGAAUUUACUCAAGCUUGUACUUGACAAAAUGUGUUGGGAAAAUUGUGACGUCAGGUGAAUUGUAAAACUGUUGUGCCAUCGUAAUGUAUGUUUUGCACUAGAUUGAGUAAGAAUUAUAUCAAAAUAGUCGGCCACAAUAUAGGAAUGUGAAAACUUUGUGUUAAGUAAGUUGUAAUAUUUUUGUAUCAUCUAACGUAUAUUUGAAAACGAUUGAGAAUAUAAUAUAUGGAAACAACAGGUCACAAUGUUGAAAUGUCAAACCUCUUGUUUCAAACCAAAUACUUAUUAAACUCCUUCAUAUCGCUAACGAAUUUUGAUUCUGAAGUAAUAAUAGUUUUAUUUAAUUAUUUGCCUUUUUUGGAACAAUAUUAAAAUGUAGCCAUAAAUUUAAAUUCCAAAAUUGUUGAAUACUUGAGGAAUUCUAGAAAUGGCACUGAGAGUCAAAGUUCACCUUAUUCAAAAGUCACCAGCCAUCUCAGAGUGCAUGUUUCUAUUGAGUUUCAGGUUCAAUGUGUACCCACUUCCACUUUUGGCUGAUCAAUCAGGACUAAGGUUCCGUUUGAUAAAACUGAAUCUGAAUUCUGAAAUCUGAAUACUGAAACAAUUAAUUUGCUGAAUUUUAAGUUCUGAAAAGAAAUAUAUGAAUGUCUGAAUUUUAAUGUUAAAUCUAUUUCUACUGUUUGAUAAACAUUUAUAACUGAAUGCUUAAUAAGUUAAAUUUGACAAAUUUGCCCUUAAUCUUUUCAUCCAAAAAAGAAGUAGAACCUAUGAUUUAAUUAGGUAAAAAUGUUAGGUAUGAAAAUGACAAUAUUUAUUUUUAAAUCAAAUUAAUAUAAAAGAUGAAAUAUAUUAUAUGCGGAGUGGAGAAGAUGUAAAAAUCAUUCAAAAUGGAGAAAAAAGAAAUAGAAAAUCAUUAGAUAGAGAAUAUUAGAUUGUUUAAUUAGAUAAGAAUUUUGAACAUAAUUAACAAACAAUGGUAGAUUUGAUAGAUAAGAUAAGGUAAUUGAAGUAAUUCUAUUGAUUCUUAUCAGAAUUAAGUAUUCAGUUAGGAUUUUUGUGCUGAAAAAAAUACACACAAUUUCAGCACUACUUAACAAGUUCAGCAAAUAGAUUUUCAUUUAUCAAACAUUCAAAACAUCUAAAUGUCUAAAAAAAUUUAGAUUCAACACUUUUUUAUAUUAUUAAACAGACCCUAAGAGAAUAAAAUAACUUGCUUGCUGUUAGCGAUGGCAACGGGGCGGGGUUGGGGCGGGGGACCCCUCCCCCGUCCCCCGCCCCGUUGCCUAUUAGUUCCCCCUGUCCCCCGCCCCCCCCCCCGCUUCCCCCGCGGGGUUAAUAAAAUUUUAUUAUAAUUAAAUUUUAAUAAAUAAUCAAUUACUAAAAUAUCAACACAUCACCAAAUUAUUAUUCAUUGUAAUUUUACAAUUAAAACUCAUAAAAACAAUCAAACAAAAGUUAUUUGAAUACAAUCCAAUAUGAUGAAAUAAAUAUAACUAAAAUAGUUAAGUUUUCGCUUUUAGUACAAAUGCAAUCACUAAUUCAUUAUUGUGUUUGUGCUUUUCUUUUGAGAAAAAAGUGUUAUUCUAUUAAGUGUAAUUAGAAAUUUAGUAUAAAUGUAUUAGUAAAUUUAGUAUAACUAAUUAAUAAAUUUUAUUAGUAGACAUGUAUAAUUAUUCAUAUAAUUGAUAAUAUCAAUUAUAUUACAUAAACUACUAUACAUUAUAUAAUACAUCUAACUAAUAAUAUCAUUAUCAUAAGUUUAUAACUAAUUAACUUACAUAUUAUAUAUAAUUAUAUAUAUAUUUUUUUUAGGGUGGCGCGGCGGGGGAUGGGGCGGGGGUAUACUCCCCCGUCCCCCGCCCCGUUUCUAAGCGGGGGGAAAAAUUCCCCCCCCCGCCCCAACCCCCGCCCCGAGAGCCCCCCGUGGGCACCCGCCCCCAUUGCCAUCCCUACUUGCCGUUUUUAAAAAAGGAUUCAUUAUUUUUUCUUUGAGCAUUGGUAUCUCCACCCUCAAUGACACUAAUCUGGAUUCAAUAUGAGGAGUGUCCGUAGAGGCUGACUCUUACUCGAGAGUAAAGACUUGACCCAGAGCUUUUCAAGGCGUCAUCAUAUGUAGGAGUCAAACUUAUGAACUCUGUGCAUAGAUAAUUUAGCUCCAGUCUGUGGAAUGUCUUGAUGUUAGGUGAGUUGUAAUAUUUUGGUAUCAUCUAAUGAAAUUUUUAAAAGAUUGAGAAAUAAUAUAGAGCAAAACACCAAUUUAUUCCCUAAAUUAUUUUGCUAAAAUCAAAAUACUCCGUAAAUUUAUUUUGAGUCAGUUUAGUCCCCCAACUAUUUUUACAAAGCUGAAAUAGUCCUUAAACUUUAUUAUGAGCCAAUUUAGUCUCUCAACUAUUUUGUUUAAGUGAAAUAGUACCCCACCUUUAUUUAUUUGGCCAGUUUGGUCCUUGUUUGACUCAUCCACCCAAUUUAUCAACCUUGUGCACUAACAAUCAGGGGCAAAAUAAGAAAUUUAGUCAAUGCCCUUACUAAAAUGAUAGAAGAAUUAGAUAUCUGGCAAAAUUAAAAACAAAAUUGAAUCAUAUAGAGAACAAAAAAAUAUAGUGUUUCUUAUGGAGGAAAAAAAUGGAGCUGAUGCCUAAAAUCUCACAUGGAUCCAACUCAGUCCAUUGAAUGGAGAAAAGGGAAAAUAACACAACAAGAAUAUGUUAAAAGUUGGAAAAUGUGCUAUAAUUAUGAUUACUCCUUUAAGAAAUAAAGCUGAAAGAAGCUCAAUUUCUUUUUGUUUUCCAUAUUAUUCAAUUUCGUUGUCGAUUUUUCGAUAGAUGUAUGUUUUUUUUUUUGUUUUAAUAAGGGCUAUGAUUGGAUUUCCUAUUAUGCCAUUGGCUGUCGAUGCUACACUUGAUAAAUUAGAUGGAUCAUCCAAAUAAAGACAAAAUUGGCUAUGUAAACAUUAGUGAGGGACUAUUUCAGCUUAAGAAAAAUAGUUGAGGGACUAAAUUGGCUUAUAAUAAAAUUAGGGACUAUUUCAGCUUUGUAAAAAUAGUUGAGAGACUAAAUUGACUCAUAAAAUGUUUAGGGACUAUUUUGACAUUAAGGAAAUAGUUUUGGGACUAUAAACAUUAGGUCACAAUGUUGAAAUAUCAAAACCCAUGUUUUGGACCAAAACUCAUAGAACUUCUUCACGUCGCUAACGAAAUUUGAUUAUGAAGUAAUGCUAAUUUUAUUUAUUAUUUGUUUCCUUGCUGGUCUUCUGUCUUUUUGGUUAUUCCAAAAUUGUUGAAUAUUUAAACGAAUUCUAGAAAGGGCACUGAGAGUCAAAGUCUUAUUCAAACAGCCAGCUAUCUCAAAGUACAUAUUUUUUUAUUAUCAGGUUCAAUAUGUAUCUAUUGCAAUUUUUGAAUGACCAGCCAUGACUAAGAGAAUAAAAUAAUUCACUUGCUGUUUUUAGAUAUGAAUUCAUGACUGUCAGUAGUCUAUAAAUACACUUAUUGCUCACCACUCUUUGCACCGCAAAAUCUCUUCAAGAUCCAACAAACCCUCCUGUUCUUGGUCUUUGUCCAUUUGUGAAAAAACAAAUUAAAGCGUCAUGGCCCCUAUCACUUGUAGUGCUGAGAUGACCUCCCCAAUCCCUCCUGCAAGGUUGUUCAAGGCCGCCAUCCUUGAUGACCACCCUUAAUGCCACAGGCUAUUAAGAGUGUGGAAAUCCUUGAAGGAGAUGGUGGCGUUUGAACCAUUGAGUUGAGCACAUUUGGUGAAGGUUAGAUGUUAUAUUAAAUGUAGAACCCCAAAUUUAAGGAUCUAAUAAUAAUCAAUGCGUGCAGGGUUACAGAAUUGGAGGGAUAAAACAAAUACUCAAAAUAUACGUGGAAGAAAAGAAAAAUAAUAAAUUCAACUCACAAUAUUAUUGAAAUUUCAAACAAUGAAGAAAAUCAUACCACAAUGAAUUCAACUGGUUCUAAUAAUAAUCAAAGCAUACAAGGUUACAGAAUUAAAAGGAUAAAACAAACACUCAAAAUAUAUGUGGGAGAGAAGAAAAUAAUAAAUUCAACACACAAUAUUAUUGAAAUCUCAAACAAUGAAAAAAGUCACACCAUAAUAGAAAACCUUGCUAAUGCUUCUAGAUUCUUUCUCUUGAGAAACCAACCUAAAUAAUGUUCUAUUUAUAAUCUACCAAACUUGUUAGGAAAGAAACCACUUGCAUAAGAAAUUACCAAAUAAUACAGAAAUUCCUAAAUCACACAACUACUAAAAACAUAACUCAAAUAAAACUAAAAAAUAAAUAAAUAUUACUAGGCUUAGUUUAAUUUGUCAACAUUGCCUCCUUUAAACCAUACUAUCCAUUGAGAUAGGUUCAACACCAUCUCGAGCAAUAAUUUCUAUGCAAAUCUAUGUUGUAGUACACUUGACAUGAAACUCUAACUUGUUACCAGUUAUUAAUUUCAUUUUUACACGUAACAGUGGACACACUAUGUAUUGUGUAAACAACUUCUCAGCAAUUUCUUCUUGAUCAAAGAACUCACUUAUACAAACCCAUUCAUCACCAGAAUCACCAUAUUUACCACCAAUGUAAGUGCCUAAAAAUACAAAAUCAUAGAUUUCUUUCUCGCUAAAAUUAUCAUCACCAAAUAAUUCAAAAUAACCACUACUACAAUCAUCCAAAAUUUUCAUACUGUCAGUCAACUCUUUUGGAGUAAAAUAUUUUUCAACUCCGAUGACAUCCAUAUCUAUUAAAUCAAACAUUCUCCCAUCACUUUGAAGAGAGUCCGAACCAACGAAUUUUUCAACAACAAUUUCAUGUUCUCUUCUCUUAUCAAAUCAAAAUUUUUUUCUUCUUUUGUCAAAUUACCAUAUUAUUUUUUUCAACAAAUUCAUUACUUCUAAUUUCUCCAAACAAGGUACGCAAAUCAAAACUAUCAAUUGAUUCAAAAUUUUCGAUAUCACCCAUAUUAUCAACAAAUCUAUCAUUUUUAAAAUCCACAAACCAAUACCAAUAAAUAGACUUCGGUUUGAAAGCAUAAUUUCUCCCAAUCGUGUGCAAAACAUAGUAAAUAUCCUUCCAAAAUCUCUAAAGUAUUUUAAUUAGUACGACCAAUAAAGGUUUUAUAAACACUUUUUGCCAUUAUUUUACGCAUCACUUGAAAGAAUAAUUGUGCCUUUUUCUUAAAAACAUGUUUUGACAACUUACUUGCAUCAACCCAACAAAGAAUAUCAUCCAAAUUACAUUGUUUAACAUAUUUUUCCACUAUUAAAAUCCAACCAAAAUAUGUAUGUCCAUUUGUGCUUAUAGGAGUCAAUAUGAAAAAUUUUUCACCGUGAAUCAGAUCUUUAUAAUAUUCCAUUAUUUAACAAUUUGUAUACCUGGAUAAAUUUUUUUCCUCCAUCCUGUCAUGUUUUCUUGGCCUCCCUGGUUGACUAACCAAAUUAUUGUUGUAUGUAUACCCAUGCUCGUCAAACCUCAUUUGUGUACACUCGUAAGGAGUGGUUCUGAGCUUCUUGUGAAUGCUCAGUACCAAGAAGUAGAAGAGAGAAUGCAUAAGAGAGAAUUAACUUGGCUAUAGAAAUAGGAAACAAUUGAGGGAUUUUUUAAGAAAUUAAUUCUCCAGCUACCACUUUUGGAAAUUUUCUAUCAACAACUAGUUACCAAAACACUAGCACAUAAUAAGAAAUCAGGAUAAUUUCAGAAACCUCCCUUGAGGCUUUUAAUAACCUCAAGAAGCUCCCCUCAAUAUUUUAAAAUUACACGUACCUUCCCUAUUGGUGCAAAAGUACUCUACUACCCCUAAUAGGAUACUCAAAAGACUUUUUUUUAUGGGAAAAAUGAAGCUCAGAAAUCCAAGCAAAAUCAAAAAAAUCAAUUGAUUUUCUCUUUUAGCCUUUUACACUUUUGCCUUCUACCUUUGCUCACUUUCCCAUCCCAAUCUUCCUACACCCGCUUUCCCAAUCCCCUUUCCCCAACUUUUCUCCUCUACUUCAAGACCAAUUUUUGUCUAUCUAUCCUGGCUUGUGCUUUGUUCCAUUCCCUUCCCUUCUCCUUCUUUGAUUUCGCCUACAUCUCCCUUUCUCUUUGCAAAAGUGACUAGGCUCAUGUCUCUCUUUUUCCCCCCUAUUCUAAGUGUAGUGGGUUUGAUUAUUUUGCAUCUAUUUUAUUUGAUUUGGGUUGAUUAUGGGUGAUAGAACUUGGCGAUGUCAAAUAUCAAAAGUUUGAUAGAUGGAUAUUGGGCUUUAGACAAUGAUUUGCUGAAAAAAAUGGCUGCAAUGAGACAAAGAGGCAAGGGGAUUUGAGUGUGGGGUUGAUUGUUGAUAAAUUGUUGUUUUGGACAAAAUUUGAGGUUGAGUUUUAUUAAAUUUGAUAGCAAGUGGCGAGUUUUGUUCAGGUUGCGGGAAAUAAAUUAGAUUGUGGUUUCUUGGGCACCCACAGUUGUUGGAAUUGGUUUUGAUUCAAAUUAGGGUGGUUACUUGAUUUUCCUAAUAGUGUUGCUUAAAAGCACACGAUCAUCAAAAUUCCUUAUUUUUAUCUUUUGUUUUUUCUUGUAGAAAAGAUUUCACGACUUUCGUGAUAGUCUAAUUUGGAAGAAGGCAAUCAAGGGAUGCAAUCAACAUUUAGCAAAAGCUCUUGUUCUUUCCUUUGUAAUUUUUAGGGUAAAAAGGGUAGUUUAGGGUAUUUGAAGGAAAUGAUAGUCUAUUGGGUCUAUUUUCAAGCAUAAAUAGUGAACGUAAGGGAGGUUGGUGUAAUUUCUGAAACCUAAGGGAAAUUGUCUGAAAUUGUUCGAGACCUCAGAGGAGGUUUUCGAAAUUAUCCCUAAGAAAUCAAAUGCGAAACUUGAUUAGUACACGCACACACGACACCGCACCACGCCGCGCGUGUGUUGAGGAUUGGUGUCCGUAACCAACGACAAGCAGGUUUUCAAUUUUUUUUUCCUUUCCUGGAUUCUCCAGAGAUGGUGUCAGCUUCUAUUAUUGAUGAGCAGGAGGAAAUCCACAAUAUACAGUACACAUCACCCAUAUUCUUUUUAAUUGAACAAUGUAUGAAAUUAUGGUGAUUCGAAAUUAAAUUAUAUGUUUAUUGGGCACUGAAUCCAAAAUAAGAGUUGGAAAUGUAUUGUGACAACAAUUGUUAACAUAGGCCACAAAUGAUCAAAACAAAUAUUUAAGGUUUAAUAUGACAUUAUGGGUUCAGAAUAUAGUUACUUGUUAUGAAACAACUAAAAGUAUGGAUAUCCAUUUGUAUUUUCAAGAGGAUCAAUUCAUAAUUCAUUGCUCCCAAGAGGAUUAAUUCAUAAUACAUUGCUACAUUAUGUAAAGGAAUUGCAUUGGAUGAACGGUUUCAAUCCAUAAAAGCUAUUUAUGUAUUGGAUGAACCGUUUCAUAUGGCUAUUCAUGUUCUUGUAGUAAUGAGUGUUUAAUAGAAUUGAUGUACCUUUAAUUUUGUAGUACCUAUAUAUACAGGUACUUUGGCACCUCUUGGGUAUACUUUUUGAUUAGUUGGAAUAAUAAGAAAAUUAUUCUUCAUUUCUGUACUUCUUUCUCUAAUAUUUCAAUUCCUAUUAUAGUAGUUCAUUUUUUUUAGUUUUACAACACGUUAUUAGCAUGAGUCUCUACUUUUGAACAAAAAGGUGAAAACGGAGCCUCUACCUUAAAAAAAAGUGAAACACGAGAUUCUGCCAAAAUUUUGCCCGUAUUUUUCCGGCAACUUCUGUCCACUUAUUGAGAAAUGGAUGCCAAAUAUUUGGGAUUAAAUAAUGGUGAUGAUGAUAUUUGUCUCAUUGAUAGUGCUACUACGCACACUAUAUUGAAAAAUAAAAAAAAAAUUUCUUGUAUGAAAAUGGGAGAGACAAAUGUUAAUACCAUAACUGGUAGUGCAAAAUUGAUUGAACGCUCCGGAAUAGCCUCUCUAUUUCUUCAUGAAGGGACUAAAAUUGUCGUAAAUAAUGCACUACUGUCUCCCAAGUCUCGGAGAAAUUUAUUGAGUUUUAAAGAUAUCUGCGAAAAUGAAUACUAUAUAGGGAUAAUGACUGAGACAAAUGGAGAAUUUUUAUUAAUCACAAGUAUCAUUUCUGGGCAGAAAUGCGUAGUAGAAAAAUUACCUUCUUUUUCUUCUAGCUUAUAUUAUGCACAAAUUAGUGCAAUUGAAAUUUAUCACCUAGUAGACCAGAAGUCUACUCAUCCCAAUAAUUUUAUGAUUUGGCAUGAUCGUCUCGAAAAUACUGAAUCUAUAAUGAUGAGACGAAUAAUCAAGAAUUUACAUGGUCACUCAUUGAAAAAUUAAAAGAUAUUAAAAGCAAAUGAAUUCUCCUGUGUUGCUUGUUCCCACGGAAAAUUAAUUAUUAGACCAUCACCAGUUAAAGUUGGGACUGAAUUCCCUACAUUUCUAGAACGAAUUCAUAGUGAUAUAUGUGGACUCGUAGAUCCACCAUGUGGACCAUUUCGAUAUUUUAUGGUGCUAAUUGAUGCAUCAACUAGAUGGUCACAUGUAUUUUUAUUAUCUACUCGCAACUUGAUAUUUGCGAGAUUGCUUGCUCAAAUAAUUAAAUUGCGAGCACAAUUUUCAGACUAUCUAAUAAAGAAAAUUCAUUUAGAUAAUGCUGGUAAAUAUUCGUCACAUGCUUUUGACAAUUAUUGCAUAUCUAUUGGAAUAACUAUUGAACAUCUUGUAACUUAUGUUCACACACAAAAUGGUCUAGCCGAAUCAUUUAUUAAAUGGUUACAAUUAAUUGCUAGACCAUUGUUGAUGAGGUCUAAACUUCCUUCAUCUGCUUGGGAAUAUGCUAUAUUAUAUACAGCAAUACUUGUGAGAAUUAGACCGACAAGUUAUCAUACUUAUUUUCCUCUAUAAUUAACUUUUGGUUAUAAGUCAAAUAUUUCUCAUUUACGAAUAUUUGGUUGUUCGGUUUAUGUUCGAAUUGCACGGCCCCAAUGUCGUAAAUUGGGUCCACAAAGAAGAUUGGGGAUAUAUGUCGGAUAUAAAAUCACCUUUAAUUAUUAAGUAUAUGGAACCAUUGACAGGUGAUUUAUUUACUGCAAGAUUUGCAGAUUGUCAUUCUAAUGAAUCACAUUUUUCGACAUUAGGGGGAGAUAAAAAUCAAUCGAAAAAGAAAAUCACUUGAAAAAUAUCAUUCAAUUUUCUCGAUUCUCGUACCAAAGAAUGUAAACUAGAAGUUCAAAGGAUUAUACAUUUGCAAAAAAUUACAAAUCAACUACUGGACGUAUUUAAUGACUCCAGAAGAGUUAUUAAAUCACAUAUUUUUAUUGAAAAUACUCCGAUUAAAAUUAAUGUCCUUGAAGGACAAAUUACAAGUGUUAAUGAGUGUAAAGUGCGCCUGAAGCGUGGGAGACCUCUUGGUUCUAAAGAUAAAAAUUCUCGAAAGAAAAGAGAAAUUGAUGAAUCAACAAUUAGUGACAAAAUUCAACCUCCUGAAGAAGUCGCUCCUAAAGAGCCAAUUCUUGAAGAUAAUGAAAUUAUAGAAAAUUCAAUAAAUUUUGUCGCUUCAGGAAAAAGUUGGAACAAAAAAAAAUUAUUAAUAGUAUUUUUGCAUAUAAUGUAGCACUUGUUAUUAUGGUAGGUAAUGAAGAUCGUGAGCAUAGAUCGGUUGAUGAAUGUCGACGUAGAAAUGAUUGGCCAAAAUGGAAAGAUGCGAUUCAAUCUGAAUUGGACUUACUAGCUACAAGAAAAGUUUUUGGGCCUGUAGUCCAAACACCUGAAGGUGUAAAGUCAGUAGGAUAUAAAUGGGCAUUUGUGAGAAAAAGAAAUGAGAAAAAUGAAAUCGUGAGGUAUAAAGCAAGACUUGCAACCCAAGGAUUUUCACAAAGGCCUGGAUUUGAUUAUGAUUACACGUAUUCACCUGUAGUGGAUGCUAUCACAUUUAGAUAUCUUGUGAGUUUUGCAGGACAUGAAAAAUCAGAUAUGCAUCUAAUGGACGUCGUUACUGUAUAUUUAUAUGAAAAUUUUGAAAAUGAUAUUUAAACGAGAAUCCCUGAAGGAUUCAACAUGCCUGAAGCAUGCAAAUCAAAUUUUAAAGAUAUUUAUACUAUUAAAUUACAAAGGUAUUUGUAUGGGUUCAAACAAUCUGGACGUAUGUGGUACCGCCUCAAUGAAUGUUUAACUAAAGAAGGCUAUACCAAUAAUCUAAUACAUCCAUGUGUCUUUAUCAAGAAAAAUGGACUAAUUUUAUGAUAAUUGUUGUCUAUGUUGAUAAUCUUAAUCUGAUUGGAACUCUUGAAGAGAUUCAAAAUAGUGUUGAAUAUUUGAAGAAGAAGUUUGAAAUCAAAGAUUUUGGAAAAACAAAAUUCUACAUUGAUUUACAAAUUGAGUGAUAGGUUGCAAUUUUAUCAUUUAUUUUAUUAUUAAUUUUCCCUAUUACUUAACCCAAUGUGAAUUAAUUAUUAGAUUCUACUCACUUUUAGUAUUUUACAUAUAUUUCAGGGAGUAGAACGAAAAUACCAUAAUAAGUGCCGAUUUGACAGUUAUCAGGAAAGAGUUCAAGUAGCAGGCAUCCAGGGCAUUUUUGGAACAAGGAGAUACAAGUCCUUUUUGGUAAUUCGCAGAGCGCAGCAUUAAAAGGAGGAACGAAGGGCUGAAGUAGGGAGUCUUCUUCCCCCUGGGAGGAACCGCCGCACAGCAGAGGGCUGUCUGGUCCUCUUAGUUUUUCCGUUUCUUUAGUUUUAGCUUCGGAUUUUGACUUUUCUUCUCGUAGGAAUUUUGGGUAGCCUUGAGCUUAGCAACUUUUGUUGACCCUUUUUUGGCCUUUUAGCUAGUUUGUUCUUACGCAUGGAAGAUGGCUGAAUAGCUGAGGCUUGUUCUUUGUUUUUCUUUGACUUUUCCUUUUGGUUUGCUUCCUGCGGACGCCCAGACCGAAGGAAAACUAUGAAGUCCCUUUUGUAGCUUUCUCUCUUUAUUAAAUAGACGAAUUGAAUUCCCUCAACUUGCGAAUUGAUGGCCGCAGCUUUUGCUUCAAUUUCUUGUGGGUUUAGUUCAUUAAUUAUGAACUAAUUCUACAAUUCUAGUCAAGGGGACAACUGACGAUUUGGUUCGACAAUUACUGUGAGAUCGAAUCUGUUUUAAUUAUUUUCUUCAUUUAUUGGUAUUUAUAUGUUCCUUGAUUUUAAUUGCUAUGGCCUUGUGUAUGAUUGAUUAGUGCGCAAUAAUUAAUUAUUCAUAUAGGCUAUUUUGCUAAAUAGAGGUAAUUGAAUCCGUAAUUGUUCGUUAUCUCUAUCUUAGUAGCAACUGGCGUAAUUGGGUUUAUGUCAGGGGAGCAUAUGAUCUAGCUUAAACAAACCCUCGUAGCGUGUUUGUUGGUUAGGAUUGGGCCUUUCUAAUUAUUAAUGCAAUCUAGAAAUUAAAUCUUACGGUCGUACCUAGGGUUGUUUUUGGGUUAGAGAAAUAGCUAACGGUCGUACCUUAGCUAUCGAUAAAUUAAGGAAGGGUUGGUUGUUUAUCGCGUGCAUGACAACUAUAACCAAUCUAUUAAUAAAUGUUGGGAUUAUUUUUGCAUCAAUGAUCAGUGCAUGAACCAUUUCUGAAGUAUACCCUUGGCUAGAGUUUCUCUUAGUUAUUUCUUUUAAUUAAUUAUUUUCUGCAGUUAAUUUAUUUAGUUAGCAUUUAAUCCAAAACCCCCCAUACUUUGGACUCUAAAAGAAACAAUUACUCCCAGUCCCUGUGGAUUCGACCCUGCUCACCGCUAUCUACAGAAAUCACUUUUAGUUUGAGCAGGUAUUUAUUAUUGCACAGGCUUCGACGACCUGUCAAUCUUUGGCGCCGUUGCCGGGGACUGGUGCCAGAUUAAAUUGUUUCUUUUUGAGUUUAUCUUGUUUUCAUUUUUUUAAUUUAUUUUUCUCUUAUUUUUUAUUAUUAUUAUUAUUUUUUUUAUGGCUGCUAACAUUCCAUAUUUUGAUGAUAGACUGGAUUUUGUUCCUGAAUGGGGUUAUGAGACUCAUGUUUUUCCUAACGAUCAAUGGGCUGUUGCAAAUUGUGGAACUUAUUUUGACUCAAGUUAUUCAACUGACACAUGCCCCGUAUUUCAAGAUAAUUUAAGUUCUCCACUUGAUACUUUUGGAGAUUUUUCACCCCAAUAUCAAACGUGGUAUGACCCUUAUUCAAACGGGUAUGAUCAAGGAUGGUGGGAUAAUUCCAAUUUUGAUUAUGCGACCGGGCCAAUGGAUUUUCAACAGCAAGAGUCUCAGCAAUCAUCCUCCGUGUCAGGUAUGUCUCUUGAAGAAAUGAUAGGUUUACUAAUUGCUAAUUCAAAUCGAUUUCAUCAGGAGACACAAGCGAGCCUAAAUCGAUUUCAUCAGAGGACACAAGCGAGCUGUCGCGACCUGGCGGAUCAACUGCGUCAAUUGACAGCCAGGAUGCAGCGAUUAGAGGCUCACCUUGAAGAAUUGCCCUCGCAAACCAAUAUCAAUCUUGAGGAAGAUGAGAGUGCAAUUGUCCGGGCAAAUGACAUGGAACUGCAAGAGUUUCAAGAAAACGGAUUUAAAGAUGCAGUUGAAAAGGAAGCUGAAGUGCAAGAAAUGAGACUCCAAGAUCAACUCGUUCAAGUGAAUGAAUCCAGUGAACAAUCUCCAAAUGCGGUGACAUCUUCUCCACUCCUUAAUCAAUAUUUUCCUGGCUCCUAUUCUUCAACUCCUGUUACUGAAAUUGAUUUUAUUAUACCAGAAAAUUUAAAAUUUCAUGACAGGAAUAAGUUAAGAGUGGAGAUGGCAAAAUAUCUUGAACCAAUGAAUGCGUGUGAUGGAGGAGUGAGUGGAGAAUGCAGAUCAUUGUUGACUUGUUUAGCGCCAUUUACUAGUCCAUGGAAGCCCGUAACUCGUGUGCCCAAGAAUUACUCCAUCUAUGAGGGUUACCAGGAUCACGUUGAAGAUGAAGCAUUGAAGCGAGCCACAAGAUUUUAUCCUCCAUGAGCAAAACAUGAUAAUGUCUAGCCAAAGACAUUAAAGAAAGGCGCUCAUUGGGAGGCAACCCAAUUUCUUUUAGUUGUUUGUUUGAUUUUAUUUGUUAGUUUAAAUCUGUCUUCCUUGAAUUUGACUGAUUUUGGGUGUUAAUUUUCGUUUUUACUGAUUUGUAGGUGACCUUCAGUCAUGACGCGCCCGCGUGGUGACGUGCAGGAAGCUCACGAUCAGAAACUUCUGGGAGCUCUCUUACCCUCAUGACGUGCCCGCGUCAAGUCACCUGGAGAGUUCCAGAUUCCGUGCCUUCAUGGUGUGCCCACGUCACGUUCACGGGAGAGAUAAGUAUUUAAAAAAAAAAUUCAAAAACGAUUGUUGAUUGUUGGUUAUCUCUGCUUUUGAAUCUCGAAAAUAAAAUUUGCUAAUGAAAAUAAAUUUCAAAAAAAUAAAAAAAAAUUUUUUAAAAAAAAAAAUUUAAAUUUUUGUUUCACGGUAGCUUAGAUUUUCAAAUCCUAAAAAAAAAAAAAAACACAGAAACUCUUUCUUAUCAACGUAGCUUUAGUGUCAAAUAUUUUAAAAAAAAAAAAGUCUCAAAUGAAAAAAAAAAAGGGCUUUUCUUUUUCUUUCUUUUCUUUCUUUCUUCUUCUUUCUCUUUUCUGUCUUCCUUCUCCCCUGUUUCUUCUUCCUCUCUGUUGACCGAAGCCCUCUGUCCGCCGCCGCUGCUGAAGCGCCCUCAGCCGUCGCGCAGCAGCUCCUCACUCGAAGACGCCGCGGCCACAGCACCUCUGCACGCGGCCUCCACCUCUCCAUCGCGCGCCGUCAAGAGCUCCGCCGACCCACGACGCGCGAGGCACCAGCUCGCGCGCCUCCCCCACCUAGCAACUGCUGGCCGACCAGCCCCACCACCAGCCCGCGCCGCACCUGCUGGCCGACCUAUCAACUCCUAAGCUCGCGAACCUCCUCAGCUCAGCUCCACCAGCGAGCUGCUCCUCGCUCACUCCAUCGCGUGAAGACCAGGCGAGCACGGCCCGCAGCCUCUCACCGCCACUGCGCACCUCUGACCAGCUCGCAGCACCUCUCUCUGCCCUCCGUGCGCUGCCCGCGCGUGGCACCAGCGCCUCCACAGCUCGUCGACGAAGCCCAAGCUGACAGACCACGCCGCUCGUCCACUUCCACCACUCGCGACGCACAGAUCAGCGCUGCCGUUGGUUGCCCAACCUCCCUGGUGCCAGGUUUUUCUUACUAAUUUUGUGGUCUACGAUUCCAAUUUCUUGAUGAUGGGAUUUUUGAUGAUUACGAUUUCAUUGAGUAAAUUUGAUUGGCUUGCAUCUGUGUUACUGGAGCCCGUGGGUUGGGUUAUGACCUGCAACUGAUUUGCCUAGUCUAAUAUAAUUGUCAUUUGUUUGGGCUCUUGAAGUACUGUCUAGUGUUGUUUGUAUUUCUUAGUGAAUUGAGUUUGCCGUUUGAUUUCAUUCUUCCCUGUGCGUACACCAGUGGUACUGGUUGUGGUAGUUGCCUAACAUUUAUUCAUUCUCAUUGGUGUGGCUGUUGGGAUUGAAAGCUCAGAACUUGUGACUAAGUUGUUAUUGCCUAAAUGCUGACCUGCUAUUACUAGACUUGCUGAUUUCUUGGGAGCAUUUGUUGGGAUUUUGGGUGGAUAUUAGCAAGUGGUAUAUUGCUUGAUUUUUUUUACCUGUGCCUUGCUUGGAGUUUCUAGUGCAUGUUUGGGGCUGCCUUGGGAGUUAUUUGCCACAAUUGAUUGCCGUUUUGGUUUCUUCUGUUUCUGGUACUGCUUGUGCUGAUGGAUUUAUCAGUGUUUUGGGCGGCUUAUUUGAAUUGCUUCUUCCCUGUGUGUUUGGUCAGCUGUUUGCUUGAAAACCCAAACCCUUGUGCUUAUAUUUGCUCCCAGUUGAGUUAUGUGUUGGACUUUCCAAUUGGUGACAACUUUUGGGCUUUAGGGGUGAGUUCAUUUUGUCAUUAUUUGCUACCUUGUUGGGGUCAUUUUUGGUUUCACCUGAGUCUAUUGUCCUGCCUUCUGUUUUGAGUCCAUUGGAGUGACGUGAGUUGAGUAAUUUCUGCUUUUGUUUGUUGAUUUGGAAGGCUACUGUGCCACUUUCAUUGCUUAUUGCUUAGUGAUUAUGUCUAAUUAACAAUGUGCAUAGCAUGGCGCAGAAUUUGGCAGCAUUCAUGUAGCAUGCCGGUCUUAUACCUCAAUUGGGUACCUCUAUUUGGUUGGCUGCGUUCUUAUUGUCCAAUAUCUAUGCUGUUUUCAAUGGAAUUGCUGAUCUUGGGUUAAGACUUUAGCUGGCCAACUGGAGCCAUUUGUUGAGAUUUUGGGUGAACUGCAAUACUGCACUCGUUUGUUCAAUUGGGAGGUUUCUUUUGGUAUUCUGGUUGAGUUAUUUCUAAAGUUGCCUGAUGAAUUGAGAGACAUAGAUGGCUAUUGCUCUGCCCUGAUAUUGCUUGGUUGCCAGUGCGCAUUCUCUAUGCCAAGUGGCAAGGAUGUCUCAGAACUCGGCUUCCCUCCACUGUUCCCUCCUAUCCCUUAGCUGUUCAGCAGGGAAGUCUCGUUAUCCUCUUCGCUUUAAUUAUUUUAUUACCUCCAUUGAGGACAAUGUAGGAUUUAGGUGUGGGGGGAGCAGUUAUGGUGCUAGUGUCUUUCGUUCAUUUUCUUUUUCUUCUUUUUAGUGAUUGGCUCGUAAGUGCAUGCCAAGGUUUGAUGUUGGAUUAUUGCCUCUAUUUCUACUUUUGCCAAGUUUUAAUAAUAAAAGGGUAUCAAGUUAAUGUGGUUGAAUCCAAAAACAUCUCUUUGGUGAAUAUCAAUAAUUGUUUUACUCUUAUAAUUUUUUGGUUAACUUUCCUAGGCAUAGGGAAUGAUUAUUGGCAUUUUUAGUGAAUUGGUCCGGUUAUUAACCUUAGUUCUCCAUGUUUGAAAAUGAGGCUAGCUGAUGCAAGUUUUCUUUUGGUUCUUGUGUUAUAUUGAGUUUUUGUGAUUUUUAGCUCUGAAUAAACUUGACUGUACUCCGCUAUUAGUUACUACUGAGUAACCGGGGAUCUGCACCUAAAAGUGUUGAUUCUCGCGUCAAAAGAUAGUAGUUCCUAUGAGUACGUGGUCACGUGGCGAUAGAAGCUGAGUAACCGGGCUCCUUCAUCUGGCCAAUGUUGGAAUUCGCGUCAAAAGGCUCUAAUGGCUAGCGACUAAGUCUUUUGUUACUAUUGAAAAAAAACGAGAAAGAAGAAGAAGAAAAAAAAAAGAAAAAAAAGAGAAAAGUAGAAAAAUGUGAAAGAAAAAGUGAAUGCUGUGUUAGUGUAUAAUAAAAGUCAGCUUGCCGAUUUAUGGAUUUAAUGUUGAGAUUUUGGUUAAUAGUUGGACCAUUUGCUGAUAACUGUUAUGCGUCAUUCCUUUUUCUUAGAUUGGUUAACAUGAAAUUAGAGGAAUUUAUGGUUUAGAAGCUAACCGGAGUGAUGUUUCUUGGACUAGACCAUUGAUGCUUGAUUAUUAUAUUUUCUUGGUAUCUUGGCAAUAUGGUAGAUGGAGUAAUAGCCAUUGGCAAGUGUUGGUGUUUAUUUGCUGUUCUCAUGCUUGAGGACAAGCAUGGUUUAGGUGUGGGGGGAAUUGAUAGGUUGCAAUUUUAUCAUUUAUUUUAUUAUUAAUUUUCCCUAUUACUUAACCCAAUGUGAAUUAAUUAUUAGAUUCUACUCACUUUUAGUAUUUUACAUAUAUUUCAGGGAGUAGAACGAAAAUACCAUAAUAAGUGUCCGAUUUGACAGUUAUCAGGAAAGAGUUCAAGUAGCAGGCAUCCAGGGCAUUUUUGGAACAAGGAGAUACAAGUCCUUUUUGGUAAUUCGCAGAGCAGCAGCAUUAAAAGGAGGAACGAAGGGCUGAAGUAGGGUCUUCUUCCGCCUGGGAGGAACCGCCGCACAGCAGAGGGCUGUCUGGUCCUCUUAGUUUUUCCGUUUCUUUAGUUUUAGCUUAGGAUUUUGACUUUUCUUCUCGUAGGAAUUUUGGGUAGCCUUUAGCUUAGCAACUUUUGUUGACCCUUUUUUGGCCUUUUAGCUAGUUUGUUCUUACGCAUGGAAGAUGGCUGAAUAGCUGAGGCUUGUUCUUUGUUUUUCUUUGACUUUUCCUUUUGGUUUGCUUCCUGCGGACGCCCAGACCGAAGGAAAACUAUGAAGUCCCUUUUGUAGCUUUCUCUCUUUAUUAAAUAGACGAAUUGAAUUCCUUCAACUUGCGAAUUGAUGGCCGCAGCUUUUGCUUCAAUUUCUUGUGGGUUUAGUUCAUUAAUUAUGAACUAAUUCUACAAUUCUAGUCAAGGGGACAACUGACGAUUUGGUUCGACAAUUACUGUGAGAUCGAAUCUGUUUUAAUUAUUUUCUUCAUUUAUUGGUAUUUAUAUGUUCCUUGAUUUUAAUUGCUAUGGCCUUGUGUAUGAUUGAUUAGUGCGCAAUAAUUAAUUAUUCAUAUAGGCUAUUUUUUGCUAAAUAGGGGUAAUUGAACCCGUAAUUGUUCGUUAUCUCUACCUCAGUAGCAACUGGCGUAAUUGGGUUUAUGUCAGGGGAGCAUAUGAUCUAGCUUAAACAAACCCUCGUAGCGUGUUUGUUGGUUAGGAUUGGGCCUUUCUAAUUAUUAAUGCAAUCUAGAAAUUAAAUCUUACGGUCGUACCUAGGGUUGUUUUUGGGUUAGAGAAAUAGCUAACGGUCGUACCUUAGCUAUCGAUAAAUUAAGGAAGGGUUGGUUGUUUAUCGCGUGCAGGACAACUAUAACCAAUCUAUUAAUAAAUGUUGGGAUUAUUUUUGCAUCAAUGAUCAGUGCAUGAACCAUUUCUGAAGUAUACCCUUGGCUAGAGUUUCUCUUAGUUAUUUCUUUUAAUUAAUUAUUUUCUGCAGUUAAUUUAUUUAGUUAGCAUUUAAUCCAAAACCCCCCAUACUUUGGACUCUAAAAGAAACAAUUACUCCCAGUCCCUGUGGAUUCGACCCUGCUCACCGCUAUCUACAGAAUUAAUUUUAGUUUGAGCAGGUUUUAUUAUUGUACAGGCUUCGACAACCUGUCAUUGAGCAUUUGAAAAGUGAAAUUUUUGUCCACCAAACUGCUUAUACCCGGAAGGUAUUAAAGUAGUUUUAUAUGGAUAAGGCAUAUACAUUAAGUACCCCAAUGGUCAGAUCAUUAGAUCCUAAUAAGGACCCUUUUAGACCGCGAGAGGAAGUUGAAGAGAUACUUGGUCCUAAAGUACCAUAUCUCAGUGCAAUUAGUGCACUAAUGUAUCUUGCUAAUUGUACAAGACCUGAUAUAUCAUUUGCAAUAAAUUUAUUAGCAAGAUUUAGUUCUCGCUCACAAGACGACAUUGGAAUAGUAUUAAACAUAUUUUUUGUUAUCUCCAAGGAUCAAUUGAUCUUGGCUUAUUUUAUUCAAAUAAAUCUAAACUUGAAUUGUUUGGUUAUGUUGAUGCUGGAUAUUUAUUUGGCCCACAUAAAGUAAGAUCUCAGACUGGUUAUCUAUUUACAUAUGGAGGUACAACCAUUUCUUGGCGAUCUACAAAGCAAUCAUUAGCUGCCAUUUCAUCGAAUCAUGCUGAAAUAAUAGCAAUUCAUGAAAUUAGUUGAGAAUGUGUUUGGUUAAAAUCAAUGACCCACUAUAUCCGGAAAAGUUGUGGGUUAUCCUCCGAAAAAGAAAAUCCUUCAACUAUAUUAUAUAAAGAUAAUGCAGCUUGUAUAACUCAAUUGAAAGGAUGAUAUAUUAAAAGAGAUAGAACGAAAUAUAUUUCACCAAAAUUCUUUUUUACUCAUGAUUUACAAAAGAAUGGUGAAAUUGAUGUGCAACAAAUCUGAUCAGAUAAUAAUUUGACAGAUUUAUUUACCAAUGCAUUGCCAACUGCAAUAUUUAAGAAAUUGGUGAAGAAUAUUGGAAUGCGACGACUAUAAGAUCUCAAAUGAUAUUUGCAUCCGGGGGAACAAUCAAUACACAAGAAUAGUGUACUCUUUUUCCUUCAUUAAGGUUUUUAUCCCGUUGGAUUUUUUCCUAGUAAGGUUUUAAUGAGACACAUUCUUUGUGUAAUGGACAUCCAAUGGGGAGUGUUAUGAAACAACUAAAAAUGUGGAUGCCCAUUUGUAUUCUCAAGAAGAUCAAUUCAUAAUUCAUUGCUUCCAAAAGGAUUAAUUCAUAAUUCAUUGCUACAUUAUAUAAAGGAAUUACAUUGGAUGAACGGUUUCAAUCCAUAAGAGCUAUUCAUGUAUUGGAUGAACCAUUUCAUAUGGUUAUUUAUGUUCUUGUAGUAAUGAGUGUUUAAUAGAAUUGAUGUACCUUUAAUUUUGUAGUACCUAUAUAUAGAGGUACCUUGGCACCUCUUGGAUGUACUUUUUGAUUAGUUGGAAUAAUAAAAAAAUCAUUCUCCAUUUCUGUACUUUUUUUUCUAAUAUUUUAAUUCCUAUUAUAGUAGUUCAUUUUUUUUUUAGUUUUACAACAUUACUCAAAGAAGAGGGUUAUUGGACUAUAUGUUUAUUGACCUCUACUAGGGAUGACAAUGGGGGCGGGUGACGGCAAUGGGGGCGGGUGACCGCGGGCACCCGUCCCGCGGGGGGCUAAUGGGGAGAGGGAUGGGGCCGGGGCGGGGGGUAGGGGAGUGUACCCCCGCCCCAUCCCCCGUCCCGCUACCCGCUUUAAAAAAAUAAAUAUAUAAAAUAUAUAUAGGUAUAUAAUUAUAUAUAUAAUAUAUAAUUUAAUUGGUUACAAACUUAUGAUAAUAAUAUUAUUAGUUAUAUGUAUUAUAUGAUGUCUAUUAGUAUAAAUAAUAUAAUUGAUAUUAUUAAUUAUACUAAUAAUUAUAUAUGUGUACUCAUACAAAUUAUUAAUUGGUUAUACUAAAUUUACUAAUACAUUUAUACUAAAUCCCUAAUUACACUUAAUACAAUAACAUUAUUUUCAUAAAAAAAACACAACCACAAUAAUGAAUUAGUGAUUGUAUUUGUACCAAAAGUGAAAAUUUGAUUACUUUAGUUAUAUUUUUUUCAUCAUGUUGGAUUGUAUUCAAAUAAUUUUUGUUUGAUUGUUUUUAUAAGUUUCAAUUGUAAAAUUGCAAUGAAUAAUAAUUUGAUGAUGUGUUGAUAUUUUAGUACUUGAUUAUUUGCUAAAAUUUAAUCAUAAUAAAAUUAUAUAACAAAUUUUUAUUAGCUCAGCGGGAGCACCCGCCGGAGAAGCGGGGCAGGGUGGGGACGGGGCGAGGGAAGCGGGGGAUGGGGGAGGGGUCCCCCGCCCCAACCCUCUUCCCCAUCUCCCGCCCCGUUGCCAUCCCUAACCUCUACUAACUUAUUUAAGGUCAUUUUAUAUCACUAUCCAAAGAAGAAUUAAGGUCAUUUUAUAUCACUAUCCAAAGAACAAUUCUUGGGCGUUAACAUUUUUCUUACAUGCCAAGACUAUUAAUGAAAGUUGACCCAAAUCUCUCUCUCUCUUUCUCUCAAUUCUUAGGACUGAUGCCAAUUCUUACCAUUUAGAAAGAAAAAUUAGAUUGUUUAUAUAUAUGAUGAGUUCCCUCUAAGUCAUGGUUAAGAAAAAUUCUUAGUUAGACGCAGUUUUAUGAAAUGUGAAUUUCCUUUUCUUUGUCUUUAUUCGUUAGUAUUAUUGGGGUUAUUGUAUUAUGAUUGCAAUGCACAGAUACAUGGAUUUUUGACAUUUUUUUCUCAUUUUUUCUUUUUAAUUGACUCUGACUAUGUCUCAAACUCGAGACAUCAAACCUGGAGAAGACUUUUGUCCAAAAUGCUUGUAAAAAUUCAGAAGAAUAAUGUUGGACCUUAUUAUUUAAUAAUGGUGCAAUUAUGAGAGUCAUUCCUGGUUUAAUUAUCAACAUCAUGUCAUUAUUAUUUUUUUGUUUCAUAGAAAAAUAAAGUAUUCUCCGACUCGACAUUAUCAUAUUAUUUUCAAUUGGCAGCUUUAAGUGAGAAAGGCCGGUGAAAAUUUUGGGCAUUACUAGUUUAUUUAGGCCUCACGCGCUCCGUGAAGGUGCCGACGUCAUCUUCGUUUUAAUGGAAAAAUUUGAGCGCGCUUUGAUCAUAAGGAAUUCACAAUCAUCGGGCCAACAAAGAAAGCACUAAAUGGUUAAAACAAACCAUGCAAAUUUGCUCAGCACUUAAACAAUAGACUCCUAAACCGACCAUUUUACUGUCUUGCCAAAAAAGGGCAUUAAAGUAAAAACAACCCAUGCCUAACACAACUAACAAACUUCAGCACCUUCACUUCACUGCCACGUCAUCAACAACAUCUGUAAAUUUCCAAGGAAGUCCACGCACUAAAGGUGCCAUGGGGGACCUCAGGUUAGUGUUCUUAACAUCAACUCCUGUCUUUAUAUUCUUAGGAAAUAUUGAAAUUAAACAUUAUAACUAAUCCUGAUUUCCUUAUGCUGUAUUUGUACACAAUUUGGCAACUUGAUAAAAAGUUUGUUCCAAUUUAUUCCAAUUUAAUUUGUCAGCUAGUCGAAUCUAAUUUGAAUAGUAUUUAACUUUGAAAUUUGAUAAAAAGUUUGUUCAAACUUGGUUUACUAAAUAAACAAGUUAAGUUUGAACAAAAUUUCAAACUUAUUAAAAUAAUUAAAUACGUUUGAAUACUAGGGUAUUCAAUUUAAUUAGACUCGUUUGCACCCAUAAUUAAAGCAUGCACUUUUUUAUAAAUUUAGGAAUCAACAUUAUCUAUUUGAUAGCUAGCUAAUGGCCCAAAAAGUUAAUUGCCUUAAAUUCUUUUAGCAGCCAUAAAGUAUAGUUGGAGGGAUUCCCUUGAAAUUGAUUAGAUUCUUCUAUGUGACUGUGACGUAUUACUAGUCCUACCCAAAAAAAAAUGGUAUUACUAGUCCUUUUUUCUUUUUGUGGCGUGCCACCGCCGUAGGGGGCGGGGAGGGCAGUCAGUGCGAGAAUUCUAGAUGGGGUAGAAGUAGCCAAAGUUCACCUUAUUCAAAGUAAACAACCGACAAUCUCAGUUGUCGACUUUCCUGUCGAUUGCGUAUAUAUUACUAUCUUUUACCAUGACUUUAGAGGAUACCUAAUUUUGCUUGCUAUUAAAUAAUAAUUCCUGGCACCACAUAAUUCUUUCAAGAACUACCAAAACCUUCUUGAAAUCCCUCUUUUUCCUUUUAGUUCAUUUCCAAGAAACAAAUUGAACCAUCAUGGCCCCUGUCACUUCCAGUUAUGAGGUCACCUCCUCAAUCCCUCCUGCAAGGUUGUUCAAGGCCACCAUCCUUGAAGAGAAGCAUCUUCACAAGAUCUUGCCACAGGGCGUUAAGAGUGUCGAAAUCCUUGAAGGAGAUGGUGGAGUUGGCACAAUUAAGUUGACCACAUUUGUUGAAGGUAAGAUAUCAAUACAAAGUGAUUAUUUUCACACAUUUGAAGUCCUCAAAAUGUUCUUUUUUUUUUUUAACAUUUUAUUUGUGGGGGUAAGUAUGUAUGUAAGCCCUAAUAACCUUUUUUUUUUUGUUGGGUUAAAUAUUUAGGUGGCGAGCUUAAGACUGCCAAACAGAGAGUUGAUGGAAUUGACAAAGAAAAAUUUACAUACAGUUAUACUGUACUUGAAGCUGAUGGAUUUAACGAUGUAAUCGAGAAAAUCUGUUGUGUCAUCAAAUUUGAACCCUCUGCUGAUGGAGGUUCAAUCUGCAAAACCACUAAUACAUACUACCCCAAAGGUGGUGCUCAGAUCAGUGAGGAACACCUCAAGGGAGGAAAAGAGAAGGGUUUGGGAAUGGUUAAGGCUGUUGAGGCUUACCUCCACGCAAAUCCUACUGCCUACAACUAAUUAAAAUGAAUGCUACUGAAGGACUCUUCGACAUAUUUUCUUCAAGAUUGAAGUAUAAACUGAGGGUGUCUGUUUCCUUUUUUGCUUGGUUUGCUUAAGCUGUUUGGUUAAGUUAUUCGCAGCAAGAGAAUAAAAUAAUUCACUUGCUGUUUUUAGAUAUGAAUUCAUGACUGUCAGUAGUCUAUAAAUACACUUAUUGCUCACCGCUCUUUGCACCGCAAAAUCUUUUCAAGAUCCAUCAAACCCUCCUGUUCUUGAUCUUUCUCCAUUUGUGAAAAAACAAAUUAAAGCAUCAUGGCCCCGAUCACUUGUAGUGCUGAGAUGACCUCCCCAAUGCCUCCUGCAAGGUUGUUCGAGGCCGCCAUCCUUGAUGACCACCUUCUUCCCAAGAUCAUGCCACAGGCUAUUAAGAGUGUGGAAAUCCUUGAAGGAGAUGGUGGAGUUUGAACCAUUAAUUUGAGCACAUUUGGUGAAGGUUAGAUGUUAUAUUAAAUGUAGAACCCCAAAUUUAAGGAUCGAAUAAUAAUCAACGCAUGUGGGGUUAUAGAAUUGAAGGGAUAAAACAAAUACUCAAAAUAUACGUGAAAGAAAAGAAAAUAAUAAAUUCAACUUACAAUAUUAUUAAAUUUUCAAACAAUGGAAAAAAUCAUACCACAAUAAAUUCAGCUGGUUCUAAUAAUAAUCAAAGCAUACAAGGUUACAGAAUUAAAAGGAUAAAACAAACGCUCAAAAUAUAUGUGGGAGAGAAGAAAAUAAUCAAUUCAACACACAAUAUUAUUGAAAUCUCAAACAAUGAAAAAAGUCACACCAUAAUAGAAAACCUUGCUUAUUCUUCUAGAUUCUUUCUCUUGAGAGACCAACCUAAAUAAUGUCCUAUUUAUAAUCUACCAAACUUGUUAAGAAAGAAACCACUUGCAUAAGAAAUUACGAAAUAAAUUAGAAAUUCCUAAAUCACACAACUACUAAAAACAUAACUCAAAUAAAACUAAAAAAUAAAUAAAUAUUUCUAGGCUUAGUUUAAUUUGUCAACAUUGCCUCCCUUAAACCAAAUUAUUCAUUGAGAUAGGUUCAACACCAUCUCGAGCAAUAAUUUCUAUGCAAAUCUAUGUUGUAGUACAUUUGACAUGAAACUCUAACUUGUUACCAGUUAUUAAUUUCAUUUUUACACGUAACAAUGGACGCACUAUAUAUUUUGUAAAAAAUUUCUCAGCAAUUUCUUCUUGAUCAAAGUACUCAUUUAUACAAACCCAUUCGUCACCAGAAUCACCAUAUUUACCACCAAUGUAAGUGCCUAAAAUUAAAAAAUCAUAGGUUGCUUUCUCGCUAAAGUUAUCAUCACCAAAUAAUUCAAAAUAACCACUACUACAAUUAUCCAAAAUUUUCAUACUGUCAGUCAACUCUUUUGGAGUAAAAUAUUUUUCAACUCCGAUGACAUCCAUAUCUAUCAAAUCAAACAUUCUCCCAUCACUUUGAAGAGAGUCCGAACCAACAAAUUUUUCAACAACAAUUUCAUGUUCUCUUCUUUUAUCAAAUCAAAAUUUUCUUCUUCUUUUGUCAAAUUACCAUAUUAUUUUUUUCAACAAAUUCAUUACUUCUAAUUUCUCCAAACAAGGUAUGCAAAUCAAAACUAUCAAUUGAUUCAAAAUUUUCGAUAUCACCCAUAUUAUGAACAAAUCUAUCAUUUUUAAAAUCCACAAACCAAUACCAACAACUAGACUUCAGUUUGAAAGCAUAAUUUCUCUCAAUCAUGUGCAAAACAUAGUAAAUAUCCUUCCAAAAUCUCUAAAGUAUUUUAGUAUGACCAAUAAAGGUUCUAUAAAUACUUUCUGCCAUUAUUUUACGCAUCACUUGAAAGAAUAAUUGUGCCUUUUUCUUAAAAACAUGUUUUGACAACUUACUUGCAUCAACCCAACAAAGAAUAUCAUCCAAAUUGCAUUGCUUGACAUAUUUUUCCACUGUUAAAAUCCAAUUAAAAUAUGUAUGUCUAUUUGUGCUUAUAGGAGUCAAUAUGAAAAAUUUUUCACCGUCAAUUAGAUCUUUAUAAUAUUCCAUUAUUUAACAAUUUCUAUACCUGAAUAAAUUUUUUUCCUCCAUCCUGUCAUGUUUUCUUGGCCUCCCUGGUUGACUAACCAAAUUAUUGUUGUAUGUAUACCCAUGCUCGUCAAACCUCAUUCGUGUACACUCGUAAGGAGUGGUUCUGAGCUUAUUGUGAAUGCUUAGUACCAAGAAGUAGAAGAGAGAAUGCAUAAGAGAGAAUUAACUUGGCUAAAGAAUUAGGAAACAAUUGAGGGAUUUUUUAAGAAAUUAAUUCUCCAACCGCCACUUUUGGAUCUUUUCUAUCUACAACUAGUUACCAAAACACUAGCACAUAGUAAGAAAUCGGGAUAAUUUCAGAAACCUCCCUUGAGGCUUUUAAUAAUCUCAAGAAGCUCCCCUCAAUAUUUUAAAAUUACACGUACCUUCCCUAUUGGAGCAAAAGUACUCUACUACCCCUAAUAGGAUACUCAAAAGACUUUUUUUAUGGGAAAAAAGAACCUCAGAAAUCCAAGCGAAAGCAAAAAAAUCAAUUUAUUUUCUCUUUUAGCCUUUAACGCUUUUGCCUUCUACCUUUGCUCACUUUCCCAUGCCAAUCUUCCUAUAACCACUUUCCCAAUCCCCUUUCCCCAACUUUUCUCCUCUACUUCAAGACUAAUUUUUGUCCAUCAAUCCUGGCUUGUGCUUUGUUCCAUUCCCUUCCCUUCUCCUUCUUUGAUUUCCCCUACAUCGCCCUUUCUCUUUGCAAAAGUGACUAGGCUCAUCUCUCUCUUUUUUCCCCUUAUUCUAAGUGUAGUGGGUUUGAUUAUUUUGCAUCUAUUUUAUUUGGUUUUGGUUGAUUAUGGGUGAUAAAACUUGGUGAUGUCAAAUAUCAAAAGUUUGAUAGAUGGAUAUUGGGCUUUAGACAAUGAUUUGCUAGAAAAAAAUGGCUGCAAUGAGAGGAAAAGGCAAGGGGAUUUGAAUGUGGGGUUGAUUGUUGAUGAAUUGUUGUUUUGGACAAAAUUUGAGGUUGAGUUUUGUCAAAUUUGGUAGCAAGUGGCGAGAUUUGUUCAGGUUUCGGGAAAUAAAUUGGAUUGUGGUUUCUUGGGCACCCACAGUUGUUGGAAUUGGUUUUGAUUCAAAUAAAGGUGGUUACUUGAUUUUCCUAAUAGUGUUGCUUAAGAGCACACGAUCAUCAAAAUUCCUUAUUUUUAUCUUUUUUUUUUUGUAGAAAAGAUUUCAUGACUUUCGUGAUAGUCUAAUUUGGAAGAAGGCAAUCAAGGGAUGCAAUCAACAUUUAGCAAAAGCUCUUGUUCUUUUCUUUCUAUUUUUUAGGGUAAAAAGGGUAGUUUAGGGUAUUUGAAGGAAAUGAUAGUCUAUUGGGUCUAUUUUGAAGCAUAAAUAGUGAACGUAAGGGAGGUUGGUGUAAUUUCUGAAACCUAAGGGGAAUUGUCUAAAUUGUCCGAGACCUCAGAGAAGGUUUUCGAAAUUAUCCCUAAGAAAUCAAAUGCGAAACUUGAUUAGUACACACACACACGACACUGCACCACGGCACGCGUGUGUUGAGAACUGAUGUCCGUAACCAACGACAAGCAGGUUUUCAAUUUUUUUUUCCUUUCCUGGAUUCUCCAGAGAUGGUGUCAGCUUCUAUUAUUGAUGAGCAGGAGGAAAUCCACAAUAUACAGUACACAUCACCCAUAUUCUUUUUAAUUGAACAAUGUAUGAAAUUAUGGUGAUUCGAAAUUAAAUUAUAUGUUUAUUGGGCAACGAAUCCAAAAUAAGAAUUGGAAAUGUAUUGUGGCAACAAUUGUUAACUUAGGCUACAAAUGAUCAAAAUAAAUAUUUAAGAUUUAAUAUGACAUUAUGGGUUCAAAAUAUAGUUACUUGUUAUGAAACAACUAAAAGUGUGGAUGUCCAUUUGUAUUCUCAAGAGGAUCAAUUCAUAAUUCAUUGCUCCCAAGAGGAUUAAUUCAUAAUUCAUUGCUACAUUAUGUGAAGGAAUUACAUUAGAUGAACGGUUUCAAUCCAUAAGAGCUAUUCAUGUAUUGGAUGAACCGUUUCACAUGGCUAUUCAUGUUCUUGUAGUAAUAAGUAUUUAAUAGAAUUGAUGUAUGUUUAAUUUUGUAGUACCUAUAUAUAGAGGUACCUUGGCACCUCUUGGCUGUCCUUUUUGAUUAAUUUGAAUAAUAAGAAAAUCAUUCUCUAUUUCUAUACUUCUUUCUCUAAUAUUUCAAUUCUUAUUAUAGUAGUUCAUUAUUUUUUUAGUUUUACAACACGUUAUCAGCACGAGUCUCUAUUUUUGAAUAAAAAACUGAAAAUGGAGCCUAUACCUUAAAAAAAGCAAAAAAUGUGAUUCUGCUGAAAUUCUGCAUGUAUUUUUCCGGCAACUUCUAUCUACUUAUUGAGAAAUGGAUGCCAAAUAUUUGGGAUUAAAUAAUGGUGAUGAUGACAUUUGUCUCAUUGAUUGUACUACUACGCACACUAUAUUGAAAAAAAAAAUUCUUGUAUGAAAAUGGGAGAGACAAAUGUUAAUACCAUAAGUGGUAGUGCAAAAUUGAUUGAAAGUUCUGGAAGAGCCACUCUAUUUCUUCCUGAAAGGACUAAAAUUGUCGUAAAUAAUGCACUACUAUCUCUCAAGUCUUGAAGAAAUUUAUUCAGUUUUAAAGAUAUCUGCGAAAAAUGGAUAUCAUAUCGGGACAAUAAAUGAGACAAAUGGAGAAUUUUUAUUAAUCACAAAUAUCAUUUCUGAGCAGAAAUACGUAGUAGAAAAAUUACCUUCUUUUUCUUCUGGCUUAUAUUAUGCACAAAUUAGUGCAAUUGAAAUUUAUCACCUAGGAGACCAGAAUUCUACUCAUCCCAAUAAUUUUAUGAUUUGGUAUGAUUGUCUCGAAAAUCCUAGAUAUAUAAUGAUGAGGCAAAUAAUUGAGAAUUCACAUGGUCACUCAUUGAAAAAUCAAAAGAUAUUAAAAGCAAAUAAAUUCUCUUGUGUUGCUUGUUCCCACGGAAAAUUAAUUAUUAGACCAUCACCAGUAAAAGUUGGGACUGAAUCCUCUACAUUUCUAGAACGAAUUCAUGAUGAUAUAUGUGGACUUGUAGAUCCACCAUGUGGACCAUUUCGAUAUUUUAUGGUGCUAAUUAAUGCAUUAACUAGAUGAUCACAUGUAUGUUUAUUAUCUACUCGCAACUUGGCGUUUGCGAGAUUGUUUGCUCAAAUAAUUAAAUUGCGAGCACAAUUUUCAAACUAUCCAAUAAAGAAAAUUCAUCUAGAUAAUGCUGGUGAAUAUUCGUCACAUGCUUUUGACGAUUAUUGCAUGUCCAUUGGAAUAACUGUUGAACAUCCUGUAACUUAUGUUCACAUUCAAAAUGGUUUAGCCGAAUCAUUUAUUAAAUGGCUAUAAUUAAUUACUAGACCAUUGUUGAUGAGAUCUAAACUUCCUUCAUUUGCUUGGGAACAUGCUAUAUUACAUGUAGCAAUACUUGUGAGAAUUAGAUCGACAAGUUAUCAUACUUAUUUUCCCCUAUAAUUAACUUUUGUUUUUGAGUCCAAUAUUUCUCAUUUACGAAUAUUUGGUUGUUCGAUUUAUGUUCUAAUUAUACCGUCCCAACAUCGUAAAUUAGACCCGCAAAGAAGAUUGGGGAUAUAUGUUGAGUAUGAAUCACCUUUAAUUAUUAAGUAUAUGGAACCAUUGACAGGUGAUUUAUUUACUGCGAGAUUUGCAGAUUGUCAUUUUGAUGAAUCACAUUUUUCGACAUUAGGGGGAGAUAAAAAUCAACCGAAAAAGAAAAUCACUUGAAAAAUAUCUUUGAAUUUCCUCGAUUCUCAUACCAAAGAAUGUGAACUAGAAGUUCAAAAGAUUAUACAUUUGCAAAAAAUUACAAAUCAAUUACCGGACGCAUUUAAUGACUCCAGAAAAGUUACUAAAUCACAUAUUCCUAUUGCAAAUGCUCCGAUUAAAUUAAUGUCUUUGAAGGACAAAUUACAAAUGUUAACGAGUCUAAAGCGUACCUAAAGCGUGGAAGACCUCUUGGUUCCAAAGAUAAAAAUUCUCGAAAGAAAAGAGGAGUAGAUGAAUCAACAAUUAGUGACAAAAUUCAACUUCCUGAAGAGGUCGCUCCUAAAGAGCCAAUUCUUGAAGAGAAUGAAAUUAUAGAAAAUUCAUUAAAUUUUGUCAUUUCAGGAAAAAGUUAGAAUCGAAAAGAAAUAAUUAUUGAUAGUAUUUUUGCAUAUAAUAUACCACUUGAUAUUAUGGUAGAGAAUAAGGAUCACGAGCCUAGAUAGGUUGAUGAAUGUCGACGUAGAAAUAAUUGGGCAAAAUGGAAAGAUGUGAUCCAAUCUGAAUUGAACUCACUGGUUAAAAGAAAAGUUUUUGGACCUGUAGUCCAAACACCUGAAGGUGUAAAGCCAGUAGGAUAUAAAUGGAUAUUUGUGAAAAAAAAAAUGAGAAAAAUGAAAUCGUGAGGUAUAAAGCAAGACUUCUAGCCCAAGAAUUUUCACAAAGGCUUGGAUUUGAUUAUGAUUACACGUAUUCACCUGUAGUGGAUGCUAUCACAUUUAGAUAUCUUGUGAGUUUUGCAGUACAUGAAAAAUCAGAUAUGCAUCUAAUGGACGUCGUUACUGCAUAUUUAUAUGAAAAUCUUGAUAAUGAUAUUUAUAUGAGAAUCCCCGAAGGAUUCAACAUGCCUGAAGCAUACAAAUCAAAUCCUAAAGAUAUUUAUUCUAUUAAAUUACAAAGAUUUUUGUAUGGGCUUAAACAAUCUGGACGUAUGUGGUACUGCCUCAAUGAAUGUUUAACUAAAGAAGGCCAUACCAAUGAUCCAAUAUAUCCAUGUGUCUUUAUCAAGAAAAAUGGAUCAAAUUUUGUGAUAAUUGUUAUAUAUGUUGAUGAUUUAAAUCUGAUUGAAACUCUUGAAGAGAUUAGUGUUGAAUAUUUGAAGAAGAAAUUUGAGAUCAAAGAUUUUGGAAAAACAAAAUUCUGCCUUAGUUUACAAAUUAAGCAUUUGAAAAGUGAAAUUUUUGUCCACUAAACUGCUUAUACCCCGGAAGGUAUUAUAGCAGUUUUAUAUGGAUAAGGCACAUACAUUAAGUACCCCAAUGGUCAGAUCAUUAGAUCCUAAUAAGGAUCCUUUUAGACUGCGAGAGGAAGAUGAAGAGAUACUUGGUCCUAAAGUACCAUAUCCCAAUACAAUUGGUGCACUAAUAUAUCUUACUAAUUGUAGAAGACCUGAUAUAUCAUUUGCAAUAAAUUUAUUAGCAAGAUUUAGUUCCUCGCCCACAAGACGACAUUAGAAUGGUAUUAAACAUAUUUUUCGUUAUCUCCAAGGAACAAUUGAUCUUGGUUUAUUUUAUUCAAAUAAAUCUAAGCUUGAAUUGCAUGAUUAUGCUAAUGCUGGAUAUUUAUCUGACCGGUAUAAAGCAAGAUCUCAGACUGGUUAUCUAUUUAUACAUGGAGGUACAGCCAUUUCUUUGCGAUCUACAAAGCAAUCGUUAGCCGCCACUUCAUCGAAUCAUGCUGAAAUAAUAGCAAUUCAUGAGGCUAGUCGAGAAUGUGUUUGGUUAAGAUCAAUGACCCACUAUAUCCGUAAGAGUUGUGGGUUAUCCUCCGAAAAAGAAAAUCCUCCAACUAUAUUAUAUGAAGAUAAUGUAGCUUAUAUAACUUAAUUGAAAGGAGAAUAUAUUAAAGGAGAUAGAACAAAACAUAUUUCACAAAAAUUCUUUUGUACUCAUGAUUUACAAAAGAAUGGUGAAAUUUAUGUGCAACAAAUCCGAUCAGAUAAUAAUUUGACAGAUUUAUUUACCAAUGCAUUGCCAACUGUAAUAUUUGAGAAAUUGAUGAAGAAUAUUGGAAUGCGACAAUUAUAAGAUCUCAAAUGAUAUUUGCAUCAGGGGAAGAAAUCAAUACACAAAAAUAGUGUACUAUUUUUCCAUCACUAGGGUUUUCGUCCCAUUGGAUUUUUUCCUAAUAAGGUUUUAAUGAGGCAUAUUCUUUAUGUAAUGGACAUCCAAUGGGGAGUGUUAUGAAACAACUAAAAGUGUGGAUGCCCAUUUGUAUUCUCAAGAAGAUCAAUUCAUAAUUCAUUGCUCCCAAGACGAUUAAUUCAUAAUUCAUUGCUACAUUAUGUAAAGGAAUUACAUUGGAUGAACGGUUUCAAUCCAUAAGAGUUAUUCAUGUAUUGGAUGAACCAUUUCAUAUGGCUAUUUAUGUUCUUGUAGUAAUGAGUGUUUAAUAGAAUUGAUGUACGUUUAAUUUUGUAGUACCUAUAUAUAGAGGUAUCUUGGCACCUCUUUAGUGUACUUUUUGAUUAGUUGGAAUAAUAAAAAAAUCAUUCUCCAUUUCUGUACUACUUUCUCUAAUAUUUCAAUUCCAAUUAUAGCAGUUCAUUUUUUUUUUUGGGUUUACAACAUUACUCAAAGAAGAGAGUUAUUGGACUAUAUGUUUAUUGACCUCUACUAACUUAUUUAAGGUCAUUUCAUAUCACUAUCCAAAGAAAAAUUCUUGGGCGUUAACAUUUUUCUUACAUGCCAAGACUAUUAAUGAAAGUUGACCCAAAUCUCUCUCUCUCUUUCUCUCAAUUCUUAGGACUGAUGCCAAUUCUUACCAUUUAGAAAGAAAAAUUAGAUUGUUUAUAUAUAUGAUGAGUUCCCUCUAAGUCAUGGUUAAGAAAAAUUCUUAGUUUUAUGAAAUGUGAAUUUCCUUUUCGUUGUCUUUAUUCAUUAGUAUUAUUGGGGUUAUUGUAUUAUGAUUGCAAUGCACAGAUACAUGGAUUUUUGACAUUUUUUUUCUCAUUUUUUCUUUUUAAUCGACUCUGACUAUGUCUCAAACUCGAGACAUCAAACCUGGACACGACUUUUGUCCAAAAUGCUUGUAAAAAAUCAGAAGAAUAAUUUUGGACCUUAUUAUUUAAUAAUGGUACGAUUAUGAGAGUCAUUCCAGGUUAAUUAUCAAACUUGUAACUUGAAAAUAAUGUCGACAUCAUGUCAUUAUUAUUUUCUAGUUUCAUAGAAAAAUGAAGUAUUCUCCAACUCGACAUUAUCAUAUUAUUCUCAAUUGGCAGCUCAUGUGAGAAAGACAAGAAAUUCACAAUCAACUGGCCAAGAGAGUGCCAACAAAGAAAGCACUAAAUGGCUUAAACAAAGCAUGCAAAUUUGCUUAGCACUUAAACAAUAGACACCUAAAUCAACCAUGUCACUGUCUUGCCAAAAAAGGGCAUUAAAGUAAAAACAACUCAUGCCUAACACAGGUAACAAACUUCAGCACCUUCACUUCACCGCCACGUCAUCAACAACAUUUGCAAAUUUCCAAGGAAGUCCACGCACUAAAGGUGCCCAUGCCCUUAGGGGACCUCAGGUUAGUGUUCUUAACAUCAACUCCUGUCUUUAUAUUCUUAGGAAAUAUUGAAAUUAAACAUUAUCACUAAUCCUGAUUUCCUUAUGCUAUAUUUGUACACAAUUUGGCAACAAGGUUGUCCUUUUUUGGGCCAAAUUGGACAAGUAAAAAAAAGAAAAUUAAAAGGUUUAUCUGCAAACUGUAGUUCGGCCUGCCUCUUUUUUUUUUUUUUUUGGGGAUAAGAUCGUCAUGUAUCAAUAUUUCUGUACUUAGCAUUGGCUUCUUCUCGCCUGAAGAACACACGAACCACCGGAUGAAAGUGGUGAAUGAAAGUGCACUUAACCCUUUUAAUUUUUCAAAACAAUGCUUUUAGAAAAAAUAAUAAAGACUUUUUUGAAUUUAAUUUUAGAGAAGAAGAAUUUUAAACUUUUUUGAAUUUAAUCUUACAGAAGAAGAAGUUUAAAAUGUACUUUAAUUUUCACAACUGAUGAUGAGAAUAGCAAAAUGUAUACGGACGGUGACAAAAGUGCCGUCUUAUCCUUUUGCUGACGGCCCGUUUUCCAAUGAGAGGAUGCCUCUGCUUCGUAUUUUAUCCAUAUUGAUAUAUAUUCUUUUCUGUCCCCCUAACUAUUAAAUGUGAAAGGUUGCCCACCAAAUUUGACGAAACCGUUUAUCCUAAUUGAUUAUUAUCCAUAGGGCAUAACUUUAAUAUUCUUCUUCCAACCCGUCCGUCAAUGACCACUAACCACCUCUAAUCUAUUCUCAAAUUUUAAUGAAAUUGCGCAAUUAGUUUUCAUUUCUCACUUUUAUUUCAAAUUUGGUCUCAAUUUAAUGUGAAUCCCAAUAAAUAAGACCGGAGUUGAAAUCAAAGAACGUAUUUCAAUCACCAUCGGAUAAAUUCUUCAUGUCUAGUUUUGUCCUUGAGAUGCAUAGAAAAUGUAAGCUGAUCUUGCAGUCUACGAGAAAAACGAAGUCUAAGAGAAUAAUUUUGUCAAAACUUGACAAUGGAAUGAACCGGUGGUCGCUGGUUGGCAGCUGCUAGAAGUCAUAGCAGUUUUAAAACAUAAUUGCAGCAAGUAAAAGAUUAAAACUACGUUGUGUACUGUUAACGACUUACAUUGACAAAAUGGUUAAGGACAGAGUUGAAAGAUGAAUCAAACUGUUCGACAUUCGAUUCGAAUUUGACUUGGUAAAAACUUAUUCCAAUUUGAUUUGUCAGCUAGUCAAAUCUAAUUUAAAUAGUAUUUAACUUUGAAACUUGAUAAAAAGUUUGUUCAAACUCAGUUUACUAAAUAAACAAGUCAAAUUUGAACAAAAUUUCAAACUCAUUAAAAUAAUUAAAUACGUUUGAAUACUAGGAUAUUCGAUUUAAUUAAAUGCGAUUGCACCCCUAAUUAAAGCAUGUACUUUUUUUAUAAAUUUAGGAAUCAACAUUAUACAUUUAAUAGCUAGCUAGAGGGUCAAAAAGUUAAUUGCCUUAAAAUUCUUUUAGCAGCCAUAAAGUAUAGUUGGAGGGAUUCCCUUGAAAUUGAUUAGAUUCUUCUAUGUGACUAAAGAAUUUCGGGUGUGACGUAUUACUAGUCCUACCCUAAAAAAAAUGGUAUUACUAGUCCUUUUUUUCUUUUUUAGCGUGCCCCCGCCGUGGAGUGUGGGGAGGGUGGUCUGUGCGAGAAUUCUAGAUGGGGUACAAGGUGCCAAAGUUCACCUUAUUCAAAGUAAACAACCUUCCAUCUCAGAUGUUGAAUUUCCUGGCAAUUGCGUAUAUAUUACAAUCUUUUACCAUGACUUUAGAGGACAGCUAAAUUUGCUUGCUAUUAAAUAAUAUUUUCGGUAGUCUAUAAAUACUCUUGGUCCUAACUGCUUCUUGCACCACAUAAUUCUUUCAAGAACUACCAAAACCUUCUUGAAAUCCCUCUUUUUCCUUUUAGUUCAUUUCCAAGAAACAAAUUGAACCAUCAUGGCCCCUGUCACUUCCAGUUAUGAGGUCACCUGCUCAAUCCCUCCUGCAAGGUUGUUCAAGGCCACCAUCCUUGAAGAGAAGCAUCUUCACAAGAUCUUGCCACAGGGCGUUAAGAGUGUCGAAAUCCUUGAAGGAGAUGGUGGAGUUGGCACAAUUAAGUUGACCACAUUUGUUGAAGGUAAGAUAUCAAUACAAAGUGAUUAUGUUCACAAAUUUGAAGUCUUCAAAUUGCUCACUUUUUUUUUCUUUUAUUUGGGAAAAGCUAAUGACUUUUUUUUUUUUUUUUGGUUGGGUUAAAUAUUUAGGUGGCGAGCUUAAGACUGCCAAACAGAAAGUUGAUGGAAUUGACAAAGAAAAAUUUACAUACAGUUAUACUGUACUUGAAGCUGAUGGAUUUAACGAUGUAAUCGAGAAAAUCUGUUGUGUCAUCAAAUUUGAACCCUCUGCUGAUGGAGGUUCAAUCUGCAAAACCACUAAUACAUACUACCCCAAAGGUGGUGCUCAGAUCAGUGAGGAACACGUCAAGGGAGGAAAAGAGAAGGGUUUGGGAAUGGUUAAGGCUGUUGAGGCUUACCUCCACGCAAAUCCUACUGCCUACAACUAAUUAUAAUGAAUGCUACUGAAGGACUCUUCGACAUAUUUUCUUCAAGAUUGAAGUAUAAACUGAGGGUGUCUGUUUCCUUUUUUGCUUGGUUUGCUUUAAGCUGUUUGGUUGAGUUAUUUGCAGCUAUGAUCAUAAUAUUUGAUCGAAGUGUGCUUUUCUUGCAAC